rnacentral:lncRNA from 1 species
AAAAAAAAAAAAAAAAAAACUGAGUAACGUCGUUUUGUUUCAAUUGAAAGGCAAACGACGUCGUCGCCGGACCCGUAUCUUGAAAAGAUACAUAAAAUCCUCCUCCACAUUCUCCCUCUUCUUCUUCCAGUUUGUUGAGCUAGGCAGAGAGAGAUGUCGAAGGGGAAGAAGGAAUUGAUGGCGUCGGCGCCGUGGAGGGUUGAAGAGGACGACGGCGGAGAUAAGUUCUCGGACGCGAAGAUGAAAGUGACACGGCAGCAGGCGGGGCGGAGUCAACCAUGCACGUCCCUGGCAAGAAAACCAAGCGCGCUGCUCACGACUACGACGCCGACGACUCUCUCACUGAGAUCGACCCCGAGCUCCGCUACAGCUUCCACCGUAACUAUCAGGUUCCUUCACCAGUAGUUCUCAAUUUCUUUACAAAUUCACUAUAUCUAGGGUUUAAUUUGCUCUCGAGUAGUAGAAAUUUUGAAGAAAGAAGAAACUUCUCUUAGGUUUAUGUAUAUGUGUACACUGACAAUAGUUUAGCUAGGAGAAUUUUCCAGUGAAAUCUGUAAAACAAAGCUGAGAGGUGCACAGAGCACUUCUCAGAGAGUGGAAUCAUGCACUGCCAAAAGGCUUUGUGAACAUUUCCUAAAUAUAGAGCCGAAUCAGCUCUGCCGAGGAUCAAUUCUCGAUCGGAAUGUUGUAGUUGAGUUUCACAUGUUUCUCUUUUUAAUUUCUGACCAAAAGGGAACAAGUGAAUUUUCUGUGAAGAGUUUAUGCCGAAAAUCGAUUAUCUGCCUCGCAGGAAGACUUGGCCAUAGUGGGGCUCAUUUUUACUACUCCAACGGACCAGGUUAGGACGAAGAGGGGUGCAAUGUUGACUAGUAGAAUGUCUGUCUAUAUGGCCCUGUCUAGAAUGAGGUUUCCUUUAGUGACCCCCAUCCAAUUUUAUUGUGCAUUUGAUAUACUUGGGAUAUCUUUUUACUGAAGUGAUGUUGAGAGGUUUAGGAGAGUGCAUAAAUUGACACUGAUUUAUCUUAGCUAUUGUGAGACUCUAAAAAGAUGAUCUAUAUGCCGAUACAGGAAUAGGUAAGGGAAUCCACAACUGUUAAAUUUAUGUGAAUGUUUGUCAAAUAGUUUACAGAGGAGGUACUAUGGGUUUUACAGAACAAUCUUGGUAUUAGACAAUCUCUCUGGACUUGGUGAAUGAUAUUUCUGGGAAUGGGAGUAAUUGUUUUGCAAUGAUAUUAAUGUAUUUUCUCAAGUCACAAGCUUCAUGUGCUUCAGAAAGUUAUAAUGUGAAGUUGUGUACUUGUAAAUGCUGGAGUGGACAAAACUCAGUUUAGAAAUUUAGGGGAAUGAUUUUAUCAAUUUCUUACAGUUUUACCCCCACUUUUAUCUCAAAAUAGUGCAGUGCUAAAAACACUUCCCAUUUAAGAGUAAACAUAUUCUAUGAUUAACAUGUCAUAUUGCGUUUUUUUAAUUAACUAAAUAAACAGAAAAUGAUUGAUUUUACCUAUCAUCUUGCAUAUACUAAAGCUUCGGCUCAUAGCGAUAUUGUUUUGGACUGUUUUAGUAAUUUAGAUGACAGUGACCUCAAGUUGAAUUGACUAUCUAGCAGCUGCUCAGUUAUCCUUAAAAUUACUUGACUUUCACAAAUUUGUUCCCUUUGUGUUUAUUCUUAGUGUGUUUAGUAUCCAUGAUUCAUAUGAUAUUUCUGUACAAUAAAUCUGAUUUUAUUUAUGGCAUCUCGAUUUGCAGUUCCUUCAACGAGUUUUUAGCAUUGAUACUAUCGUGAAACCUCUUCCGGCUUCUAUGGCUUACAAUGUCUCCCGCAACUUGAACUUCUUUACUCGCAUUUUCACCCAGUUUUUUGGUAAGUUUAUCUGCUUAUUAUGUUCAUUCGUGCCCAGAUGCUGAAACAUUAUUAGAGGAAAAUAGAACAAAGAAUAUUCUUGAGUUUUUCUGUCCAUGAGCUAUAGCUAUACUUAGGUGCUUGUAGAAGUCUGGAAUGUAGCUUACCAUGUUCCUUUGAUUAAUUUUGGGGUGUCUGAUUCUCAUUACAACCCGGUACAAGUAGUUUAGUACUAUUUUCUUUUAUGAUAAGAAAUAUACUAUUCUUGCCAAAAUACCUGUUAUUUAUUACACGUCGUUUAGCCAUGACACUAGUACUUAAUGUCUUCCAUGCUGAUAAUUGGCUAAAAAAUUCAGUGUAUAGAUGUGCCAACUAUAUCUUUUAUUGUCUUCAUGAUGUAACCAUGGUUCUAAAAGGCGUCGCCUUGCCCCGCCUAGGCGCCGCCUAGGCUAUAGGCGGAGCUCAGCCGCCUGGAUUUUGUUCAAAUCGUUUCAGUUAGGCGGAGAGCCGCCCAAGGACCGCCUAGGCGGUAAAGGCGCCGCCGAGGCGAAGCUUAGACUAGGCGGAGGCAGAAAAAAAACUCCAAAAACUAAAACAUGUAGAAACUUGGAAACCUAAUCGGAUUCCCAAAUCGAUACUUCUCAUCGUUCUGCCUCUUCCAAACCCAACGACCUCGACGCCGUUGUCAGCAGCGACCUCGUGAUCGACUCUUUCUAUCUUGUUCAGUCAUGGCGUCAUCUCUUGACUCUGGUGAGGUACUUCUUCAAACAAUCAAACCUCUAUUUUGAUGAAUAAGUACUUCUUCAGACAAUUCAAAAGACUUUUGAAUUUGAUUGCGCUCGCACCUCUCCUUGACAAAUCCUUGAGAGAGCACAACCUAUCUGGAACAAGAGAGGAAUGUAGAUGACACCGGCGAAGUGGGCGAACUGGAGAGAGAGAAAAUACAGUGAUGAAGAGAGAAGAGUAGAAGAUGGAUAACUCAUCAGUCACCUAUCUUCUUGGGUAACACACUUGCACACGUGCACCUUUAAUGGCCUUCAAUUUCAAAAUAAGUUUAAUAAGGUGUGAGGAUAAUUAUGGGAUAGUUAUCCCAAUUUUAUUAAGUACUAAUUAUUCUGUUUUUGAUAUUUAUUCAUUUUUUAUUAAUUUUAAAUAUUAUGUUUAGUUAUUUAUUAAUUAAAUAUGAAAAAAAAGUAAAUCGCCUAAUCCCCGCCUAGUCCCCGCCUAGGCUGUCCAGGCGCUAGGCUAUGGGUCGCCGCCCGCCUAGCGCCUAGCGCCUAGCGCCUAGCGCCUUUUAGACCAUUGGAUGUAACCGAUAUGCUUAAUGUGGUUUCUUGUGCAGAUCCUGAAGGUGUUGCGAAUGCGCAGAAAUCACUCGGUAUAGGACAGGAAGAGAAAGCUCGUCGCGUGCGGUGAUGCAUAUUAAGGAUCUAGAAUGCAGUGUAGUAGUAAACAUUCAGUUCUUGUUUUAACUUUCCUUGGUUGUGCUUGUUCUUAUCCUUAAUAAUAUUCUAUCCCUUCAUGAUCAGAAAUUGGAUUUCGAAUUUUAAUGGCAGAAAAAUUUAACUCUCCUGCUAUAACUAGAGCAUAAAUGCCACAGAGCAGCAAUAUCUAGCUGGACACAAAUUGGUUAAUGGGUUGAGUUUGAGUUCAGAAUGAUUGCUCUCGACACCAAUGGAGCACGCUUCAACACAGUAGACUUCAUUAAAAGGAGUGGAAUUGGCAUUUCUCUUUUUGCAAACCAUACUCUUGCACUUGAUUGAUUCCUGUCUGAAGUAUUUAUCUUGUUUACAGAAACGUGUAUGUUAGUCUGAAAUAGUCUUCAUCGGUAAUUUAACUACUUGAGACGGCAAUGGCACAAGCGCAACAACUAAGAUUGGCAGUGACCGAAACAAGAUCUGCUUUCGGCUUCCAUUAUGUUUACAGCAUGAAAUGUACAAUGGUGAUAGAGUGAAUUCAGUAUUUCAGAGAAGUAUUAAACUAAUUAGAUAGCAAGAAGGGAACAUGAUUUGCCUAUCUAGUCCAUAAUUCUUGUGUGAGUAAAAUCUACCAGAUAAAAGUAGAAGGAUCAUGCAUUUACAACCUUUUCAAGUUCUCUCACUAUAUAUAUACGAUUCACUCUGCCUCUGUUUUUCAUACAUUGUUUCUAUGUGGGAUUGCUACGAAGCAGCAUUGACCUCGCCACCCUUAGUGCCUUUGCUUCGCAAUCUAUGUGAGGGCAGGAAGGCGUUACGGGAAUGUCACAUAACCGACCUGGUUUCUCUGCAUUUCUUUUCUUCUGUUUUGAAAGGAAGAAAAAGAAAUGUGGAAAGGCAGGUGGUUUAUGUGACAUUUGUUGUUUGAAUACGGAAAUAUCCAUCUUCAAAGUUGGCGCUCCUCCAUAGGGAAAGAACGAAAGCGAGAGUUUGUGGACAAUGCAAACGGUCCUUUUACUAAACCCUAUACAUUAGAUGUAUAGACUAUAAUAUACGAUUCACACCCCGAGCUCUUCAUUCUAUCUUCUUCUCCAUCAACUUUAUGUCUAUACUUCAGCAGUGCCAUACGCUCCAACGCAGUUUAUACUUCUGUCAGUCUUUAGUACAGUCUACAAUUUGUUUAUUUUUAAUAUUUGCUGUAUUGGAAUAGUCUAAAUUGUUGCAGCAAACUGGAAUGAAAGUUAGCAUCCUAGCUCAAAUUCUGUAUAUAUAUCAAGAAAGUUGAUCAGUGUUUCUCAUUACAAGUACUCAAAUUAAUCUAGAAGAAAACUGGUGUUUCUCUGAAUCACUUGGAACAAACACGGGAAGCUGGCCACCUCUUUGUGAUCUACCCUGUUGAUAUGUAGAACUUCUGUCAUGCUCGGAAGCCAGUGAACCGACAUUUCGUGUUUUUCUAGCCGGUGGUUCCUUGAGAACAGGUCCACCAAAAAAUAUGGAUUGUCCCGUGUACAACAACUCUGCUCCUGAGGAGGAACCACCAGAUCUGGAAGAUGACACAAAACGUCCAGCUUCUUGAUCCCAGAACACCGAGGAUCUCUUAUUUCCUUGAAGACUUGAAUUACCUGUUUCUGUAGGCAUCUGUCUUACAUGUACAUUUACAUUCCCUUCACUUUGUUUUUCUGAUAAUGGAGAUUGAUCAUUUGAUGACUGAUAAGUGGGGUUGAACUGAUCCAAGUUUGAAGUUCUUUGCUCUAGAGGAGAAGGUGUGAGACUAGAGACAUGAGGACUGCUUAAGUUACUACCAGCAUAAUGUCCAAUUUCAACAUCUUCUCUGCUAGCACGACUAGGUGGAUAUGAGCUCAUAGGUGAUAAUUUUGAUGUCCCAGCUCUAGUGUUUCUGUUGUUAUACCCCUGAUCAGUACUAGUUGGACUACUUCUUCCGCUCACAUUACCACUCGAUACAUAGUGAGCUUCAUACUGAUGAUGUUGAGAACUAAUUGGACGAAGCACAGACGAUGAUGCUCUAGCUUUGGCAGCUGCUUUGCUUGCCUCGUUAGCAUCUAAUUUAGCAAGCUUCCAUGCACUUGUUCGGACUGGACGUUGGGAUAACUUUUUUGCCUUAUCAGGCUGCUGUAUUUCAUCUGGAUCCAGUGUUGAUGGUAAGCGUCCUGGCUCCAAAUGUGGAAUAAUUUCAUCCUGCAUCUAGAGCACCCAUGAAACAAACACUUUUAAUCUUAUUGAGGUUAUGAGGAACUUGCAAAAUGAUCUCGUUGCUGUGCUCGAAAACAGUGUUUUACAAAAUCAUUAGUCACCACUCACCACACACAAUAAUUCAUAUCUUGUGUAUGCAUAAACAAUAAUUAACAUGACCCCAUUACAGUGCUUGAAAUCAGUGUCUUACAGAAUCAUUAGUCACCACACACACACACAAAAUUCAUAUGUUGUUUAUGCAUAAACAAUAUUCAUCAAUUGUAGUUCUAUUGUCAGAAAAACUAACAUUUUCAGAACUCAUUUUCUAGGGGAUCAAAUGGAUGCUAUUGGUUGACAAAUUUUAUCCGGAUAGCCCUUUUUUGGAUUACCCUGUUUCUAAAUUUCAUAUGUAAAUGCCCUAGAAUUAGCAAACAUUCCUGUAUAGAUCAUUUUAGUAUGUUAAGUUAGUAUCAGGAGGUCCUGUUUUAUUGUGUUUUUAGGUAGAUCAUACUGAUAAAGUUCUCUAACUCUUACAGGCCUUGCCCCGUGUAUGGUUUUGUACUGUUUCUCUUGUUCCUUUUAGCGAAAGUUACCUUCUUAUUAAAGAGUAGACAAGUAAUACUACCUGGUGAUCCACAAAGAUCCUUGGCGGGGUGCACCAAGCACCUUUAUAUGGCAAAUUCAUUCCAAGAGAGCUUCUUCCACUUAUGGCAGUCACAGCUGAACUUGUUGGCGAAGAUGCAAUGCUUUGCUGAUUGCCUCCGUCCACAGAUGGUCCAGGAGGUUCACUUUGUGUUCUCAUGGCAACGACAUACUCAUAGGUUGUAAUACCCUGCACGUAAACUCUACUUAUAAUUUUUUGUGCAGUAUAACUGAUGCAGUGUAGUUAUUGAGAGUGCCUCUACCUUUCGAAUCAAAAUUAUGUGGAAAAAGAACAGCUCUGCUACAGGAUAAAUGGCAAGGAAGGAAAUAGCCGUACAUAGGGCCUGCAAACAUUUAAAUUGGGUGAAUUUGACAGGACUGUGAGAGUAAAAAGUAAAGAAGCUAAAGACACAAGGAAGCAAACAUACCACUACAGUGGCAAAUGGGGGCUGAGAGAAACCAACUCCAAGCCUAUCAGCUAUUUGCCUUUUCAUACUCUUUUUAUCAGCAAAGCAUCGAACAAGGACAGCAAUACCAACGCCACAUUCAACAGUAACCUGGGGCAUACAUCCACAAACAUCAUAUAUACGAGAGAAUAAUUUGUUUGGACAUAAAGACUUGGAAUUAUAUUUAAAAAUAGAUUAUUGAAAACCUUACCCAAACAACGCUUGCAGCCAUAAGAGAUAUGAACGUGAGAUAAUUUUUCCUCCCCACACAAUUAUUUAGCCACUGCAAGAGACACAUGGAAAAAUAAAUAAAUAAAUAUGCUCUUCAAAUAGCUAAGGGACAAGUAGCUGAGAAUGCAAACUGAGCACUAGGAUAAGUGCCACAGGAAAUGGCAACUAAUCAUCCAAGUAUAAAACAUGAGGCCAUGAAGUCGCAGAGAAUAAUAUAUAGUACGACAUAAGAGAUUACCCGACAAUGAUGAUCAAAUCCAUCAACACAUUUAUCACAACUUCUACAAUGUUUGCUGAACUUGCGGACCUACAUAAGAACAUAACAGCAUCAGGGUGACCUGUUAAUGAUGUUUUCCUUCUGUUGUUUAGUCUGUAAAAGAUCAGGUUACAUUAUCAAUCUGUAACAUGAAUAAUGAGGCAAGACUUCGUGCAAUAGCAUCAGAAAAACUGAACCUUGUCUACAACUAAAUCAGAGGACUAACCCCCACCAAAUCACCCUUGUGGGCAGCACAUCUGUCAAGGUAUACAUCCAAGUGCAGUCCAAAGAGAAAAUAAAAAAUGCGAAACUUAACUAGAAAUCUCAUACCUCAGCAUUGCACAAAGUGCAGAAGAGAGGAUCCUCUCCUGAUUCCUGUUGUAAUUGCAAGAGAUCUUCACGUUUGUGGCAAUCUUCUCUUACAAGACAACCACAGAAGAAACCUCCAACUUUUGAACACCAACUUGCAUCAUUACUGAAUGACAUGUCCUCUAAUAAAAGUACAUAAGGUCAUAAAGUUCAGAGGACAAAGGUAUAAGAACUUGCUAACAUAUACAGCUCAUGCUGCCAUGCACCAACUGAUAGAAUGAGUUUUAGUUUUAACGUUAUUUAGAUAGGUGAACAAAUCUGAUUGAUUAUCCAUCCCAUAAAGAACGUUAUAAUCUUAUGGAUGGAACCUAUUUAGUUGUUUGUAGAGUCAAGCAAGGGUGGUUACCAUAUCAUCUUUUAUAUAUCCAACCUCCUUAAAAAUUACAAUUGUACAAAUGUCAUGAUGGACCUUGAAUUCAGUGUUUUUGGCCACAAUGUGUACUUUAAUUAUAUAUUCAAUUUCAUACACUAACCAGGAAUAUCUGUGUUAUCGUUUUCUUUGUGAAAAAAAGUCUUGUCAGCUUUGAGUAGUAUUCCAGGAUCAGCAGGGUCAAUUGCUGUACACCGAACAUAAAGUAUGAAUACAGAAAGCACCUGAAAAUCAAGACUAGGACAUUAGACAAUGAUAAGAAGAGGUAACAACUGGUGAGAGAUUUUAAGGCACGUUUGGCUUACUACUGCAGAAUAUACACCAAUUGCCACAUACUCAUAGAUGUCAUUUCCAAGAAAAGGAGCACAGAACGCAUAAUACGCAACCGUUAGCAAGAAAAAAACGGUUAUAGCCACAACCUGUGCACAUUAGAAAGAAAAAUUGGGGUGAGUAUAGCAUUUUCAGGAAGGCUGAUACCAUCAAACAGGCUCCGAAAUCCCGACAACACAUGGACCUAACAAGCCAUGGUAAUUAUUUGGGUACUGCAAACUAGUCAAAUCAAAUCUGGUUAUCUAUCCGCUAAAAGCAAACCAUAAUAGAUUCACCUAUUUUGACUUAUUACAGAUUUACAGAUGCUUCGAUAGUCCUCAUUUUCCAUCUUAAGUUUUAUCAGUGUUUAUCUCAGUUAUGUUCCAAGUUCAAAUUGAAACAACUUAACUUCAAUCCUCCAGGAGACAAUUCACAUGCUACAUAAUACUAUGGCUUGUUUAGUUUUUUUUCUUUUUUGGUCACAACUAUGGCUUGUUUAAUUUGUUCAAUAAUUCAUCCAUGAGUUAAUAUCAAAAUUAGCAAUCGGUGAAAAUUAUUUGAGUCCAAUAUGGUGCAAGUUCUUCCACCUAUUACAAAGUGAUUGUGGGAGACAGAGAGGCCAGAAGCAAAAGAAUUACAGGCCUCUUUAGUAAACAUGGCAACUAAAUACAGGAACAUAAAAUGCAGAGAAGUACAUUAUUAUCAUAAAACAUACACAAAAUCAGAAUCGAACACAUUUCAAAGCGACAUUUAGAACGAAGAUUAAGAGGCAAUAUAUAUGGACCUGAAAAGUGUGAGCAGGGAGUUCCCAUCCAUGACGUCGAGCCAUGACCAAGAACAAAUUCUUCCAAAUUCAAAUAGGGUCAACACUCGCAUCUAAAAACUGAAAACCGCCAUGAGAACAAAUCGUAACCAGAGUAUGAGAAGGACUGGUUCAAAAGACGUGUCCCCAUUGUUGUUCACAAUCUAAAGGCUGAAAAUAAAAUACAAGUUGUCUGUUUUAAGAGUUCAAUGCAGACCCAGAUGGCAAAAACGGGUUUCGAGGCAACCCAUUUAGUCUGAAUUUGGAUUCAAGUGCUUGUGGAAGGAGUUGAGAUCAGAUGAAACUGACUGACUCAGAGCAGAAGAAGAAGAAGAGGAAAAUGUCUUGUGCAGUUUUCUUAUUUAAAGAAGCAAAGGACAGAAACACAGAGAGAGAGAGAGAGAGAGAGUCUGAAGUAGAGAAAUUAGUAGUGGUAGUUAUUCUGAGAGACUGUGCCGGCGAGCCUUGCAAAGGUUUUUGUUUGUUAGUGCUUAGUGCAUUCUAGUGAUUCUACCAUUGCCUCUCCUCACUCCAUUGCAUCUAUUUAUUUAUAGAAUAAAAAUAAAGCAAAUAUGACUUGGGCCCUAUUAUAGGCCUCAUCAACUCUAAAUUUUCAGAAAAUUAUACAAUAACACAUUACCAAAUUUAAAAACACAAAAACUCUACUUUUAAUAUUUUCAGUACAAAUUAGGACAUAAGCCCAGACCCAAACUAAUAGUACCAGAUUUGAUCUAGACUUUCAUAGACAAAAUGACUAAAAUACCCCUUUUUCAAAUAAUUUUACGUAAAAUGACACGGCAGUAGCACGUCUCUCGUCGACACAGUAGUAGCAUAUCUCCAGUCGACAUGGUAGUAGCACCUUCCUACACAGCAGUAGCACGUCUCUUGUCGACACGGUAGUAGCACGUCUCAUAUUGACAUGGCAAUAGCACGUCUCUGGUCAACACGACAGUAACACGUCUCCGAUCGACAAGGCAGUAGCACGUCUCAUGUCGACACGGCAGUAACGCGUCUCUAGUCGACACGGCAGUAGCAUGUUUUCGGUCGACAUGACAGUAGCACGUCUCUCGUUGACACGGUAAUAGCACCUUCCUACACGGCAGUAACACGUCUCCGAUCGACUCGGUAGUAGCACGUCUCAUGUCGACACGGCAGUAACACGUCUCCGGUCGACACGCCAGUAGCACGUCUCCGGUCGACACGCCAGUAGCACGUCUCAUGUCAACACAGUAGUAGCACGUCUUUGGUUGACACGACAGUAGCAAGUCUCAUGUCGACACGGUAGUAGCACGUCUCUCAUCGACGCAGCAGUAACAUGUCUCUCGUCGACACGGUAAUAGCACAUUCUUACAAGACAGUAGCACGUCUCCGAUCGACACGGCAGUAGCACGUCUCUCGUCGACACGGCAGUAGCAUGUCUCAUGUCGACACAGUAGUAGCACGUCUCAUGUUGACACGGUAGUAACACAUCUCUCGUCGACACAACAGUAUCACAUUUUCGGUCGACACAGCAGUAGCACGUCUCAUGUCGACAUGGCAGUAGCACGUCUCUCGUCGAUACGGCAGUAGCACGUCUCUCGUCGACACGGUAGUACGUAGCACGUCUCAUGUUGACACGACAGUACGUAGCACGUCUCUCGUCGACACUACGUAGCACGUCUCUCCUCGACACGGCAGUAGCACAUCUCUAGUCGACACGGCAGUAGCACGUCUCUAGUCGACACGACAAUAACACGUCUCAUGUUAACACGGCAGUAACACGUCUCUCGUCGACACGGUAGUAUAGUACGUCUCCUGUCGACACGGCAGUGGCAUAUCUCUUGUCGACACGGCAGUAGUAGGUCCAUAGUAGCAGUAGAAUAUGUAGUGAAAUGUAGUUUGGUAAAAUAUGUAGUGGCAGAUGGCAUGUGGACAAUAGUUUGUCCUAAUUUGUUAAUUUUUGUUCUUAAAUGUAUAAGAUAAUGUGUAAAUGAUGUAUUUGUAAACUGAAAUUUGGUCAAUAACUAAUAUGUAGUUUACUACUAAAUUUUAGGGCUUAGGGUAGGGCUUUGACUUAGUCAACAAAACUUAAGGUCGGGUAGGAUAGGGCCGAGCCUUGAAAAUGUAAAUCCUUACAUGCCCUAAAGGCCCAUUUCGUUAAGGCUAAAAGGGUCAGGUAUGGCCGGCCUUUUAAAUAGGGAAAUGGGCUAGUUUUAAUUUUUUUUUUUUUUUCUUCAAAAUUUUCUCAAGGAUUAUAUCACUUAAACUGGAUAUCAGUAAGGCCUAUGACAUGGUUGAAUGGAUAUUCCUUCGUAAUAUUAUGCUGAAGUUGGGAUUUAGUGAGAGGUGGGUUAAACUAGUUAUGAAGUGUGUGGAAUCAGUCUCUUUUAGUAUUUUUUGGAAUGGUAAGGCUAUGGGGAUGAUUAACCCAUCAAGGGGGUUGCGCUAGGGAGACCCACUCUCACCAUACCUCUUUUUACUUUGCUCAGAAGGUCUUACCAGCUUAUUUCAAAAUGUGGAGAGAGAAAGGUUGGUACAUGGAGCUAAAGUUUCUGAAGGAUCCCCGCCUAUUUCACAUCUGUUAUUUGUGGAUGAUAGAAUGCUAUUUGGGAGAGCGGAGAUGCAAGAAUUGACUCUGUUGAAGUAGUGUUUACUGCUUUAUGAAAGAGCGGCAGGACAAAAGGUGAAUUUUCAAAAAUCAGCAGUAGCAUUUGGUCCAGGACUGUUAGAAGAGCAGAAAUCCUCUAUUGCUACUUUCCUUGGGGUUCCAGUGGUUCCAUUUCAUGAAAAAUAUUUGGGUUUACCUACAAUAGCUGGGAAGAAUAAGAAAAAGAUGUUCAAGAGGAUUCACGAGCGACUCGACCAACAUUUGCAGGGAUGGCAGUCGAGGCGGCUCUCCAAGGCUGGAAAAACAAUAUUAAUAAAGGCUAUUGCGCAGGCUAUUCCCUCUUACACCAUGUCAGUUUUAAAGUUAUCAAAAGAAUUUUGUCGUACUUAUCAAUCGAAGGUAGCUAAUUAUUGGUGGGGAUCUGGUGGGAAGAAAAAUGGUAUUCAUUGGUGCAAAUAGGAUCUGCUUUGCAAAAAUAAGAUGUAUGGAGGACUAGGCUUCCGUGAUAUUGAAUGUUUUAAUCUAGCACUACUAGCAAAAACUGUUUGGAGGAUCGUAAUGCAGCUGGACUCUCUAGCCAAUAGGAUUUUACAAGCUAAGUAUGUUCAUGGUGGAGACUGGGCAGCGACACCAAUUGGACCAAAACUAUCUUUCAUUUGGAGAAGCUUGGUGUGGGGGAAAGAGCUUUUAUGUGCUGGUAUUAGAUGACGUGUUGGUAAUGGUACCGCAAUACAAAUCUGGGAGAAUAAAUGGCUUCCCUCUCCAUGGUCUUUUGAAUAGUAACUCCACGGUUUAUGGAUAGCAACACUAGAGUGAGUAUUCUGAUGACGAGUCCAGGUAUGUGGGAUGUAAAUUUUAUUCAAACUCACUUCCUUCCUGUGGAUGUGGAUAAAAUUUUGUCCAUUCCAGUAUGUGAAAAGAGUGGAAGUGAUGUAGCUAUUUGGCCCUACACAAAUGAUGGAUAUUACACUGUGAAAUCUGGUUACUGGUUGGCAAUGGAGUUAAAACAGGUGGGAAAGAGCACGAGCAGUAGUGGCAAUGGAGUAUUAUCUGGGGUCUCUCAGUCCCAAACAAAGUCAAGCUUUUUCUUUGGAGAGCUUGUCAUGCCUUCUUGCUUUGUCUUGAGCAUUUGUUUAAACGAAAAGUGUGCUCUUCAGAUAUUUGUGGUAGGUGUGGUGGUGCUACUGAAUCGAUUUUACAUAGUUUAUGGGAGUGCCGCAUAGCUCAGAAAGUGUGGAAGUAUACCUGGUUAGCUGGAGUGGUAAAACUAUGGAAAUUUCAGUCUUUUAGUGAUCUCUUACAUAGAGUGGCUAUAGAGGGCACGAAUAAAGAAUUGGAGUUUUUUGGAUUAGUUUGUUGGUGGAACUGGGAGUGUAGGAAUGAUACUAUGCAUGGUAAGGAGGAACUGAAGCUUGAUAACUUGUCCAUCGGUGUAAGAAAUGGCAGUCAGAACUAGCUCAGACUCAAAGCACUACAAACCGAAUACUGGUGUUGUUGUAAAUGAGGUAGUGUGCACCCCACAGGUCAUUAAUACUUCUAGUUCUCUAUUGUAUUUUGAUUGGGCUAUGGAUAAGUUAAAUGGAAGAGUGGGAGUAGGAGCUGUGGUGUUGAACCUAGAACAUGGCCUUCUAGGUGCCUUAUCAAUACCACUUCCUCUUUCUCAAAAUCCAAAAGCCACUGAAGCACUUGCUUUGUGGUAUGAAUUGAGUAUGGAAAGAAGCUGGGAAUAAUCGGAAUAUCAAAUGUUGAUAUAAGAGGUGAUGCACUAAAUGUGCUUAAUGGCUUAAGGACUCGUGGUUGGGACUUCAGCGAGAUAGGAGGCGUUCUUGAUGCAAUGAGGUUGAUUAUGACUGAUUUUGAGAUAGUUUCGUGGAGGCAUGUGAAGAAACGUUUUAAUGUAGUAGCACAUGAACUAGCUAGAAGGGCUUUGUCAUUAACAGAAGGUUGGCUUUGCAAGGAGCAAGGGCCUAAAUGGCUCUUUCAGUUAAUUGCUGGUAGUAAUGUUUGAUGCACUGGUGGUUCUCUUUUGAAAAUUUUUACCCAUAUGACGUUUGGUCUGAAGUUAAUAAAAUUCAAUUUCAAUCAAAAAAAAAAAGGAUUAUAUCACUUAUAUGUAAUACAUUCUAUUUUUUAGUCAUAUUUAAAAUACAUGCAUAUACAUUAUACUUAACUUAAAACAUGUAUCAAUAAAUAUUAAUCUAAGUGGUUAUAUUCAUAUAUCUCAUGAAUUAUCUCUCUAAAUCAUCAAAAUUCAAUCAUUGUUUAACAAAGAGAAAUUUUAUUGACACAUUCCUAAAUAUUAGAUACGUUGCAUAUGCAUCACUUUUUUUUAUACAAAUUAGAUAAGACUUUGUAGGUACAUAAAAUUACCAAAAGAGACAUUUAUAUCAAAAGUAAAGAAACCUAGUUAAAAAAAAAAUAUAUAUAUAUAUAUAUCCCGCUUAAGACUAUUAUUCUCCUCUACGAGAACAACGUAUGUGAAGAUACCAAGCCCUAAUCAUAAAUAGCUAGCGACAACCAUAGUUUCAAGCAAAAACUAAAGACAACGUAAUGGAUUCCAGUGGUAUUUCUCAACCCCUAAGUGAGGUAUGACUUCUCUAUCUUUGAUUAAAAUUGAUCUGCUAGAAAAUUCAGAUUAGAGGGUUUGUUGUUUGAUUAGACAGUACAAAUUGAAGUUUGAAAAUCAUUCACACAUGCUAGGUCGCUCAAAAGCAUUUACGUUUGAACACCAAACUAGAACUUGGGAUGGUGCUAUAUAUAAUUAUAUAUAUACUCUUCUAGUUUGCUUGCCAUUGAUCUAACUCAAUGAGAGAGAUCUCAAGCAAAAUCGGUGCCCUGGUGACGUAAGAGAUCUCACUAAUGUGAAUUUUUUUUAAUAAAUUAAGUAGCAGAUCUAGAAAAUAUGUGUAUUUAGUGAAUGAGUUGUGUAUUUAGUGAAUAAGUUGUAUAUUUUAAAUGGGAAAAUGCUUAAGACACCAAAAAUUUAUACCAAAACUCUAUCCCAAAUGAUGUGGCACUACCACAUCAUCUCCUACAUGGAUUAAUUUCCAUAAUUUAUUUUUCAGUUAUAUAUAUCAUUACAAACUUCCAAUAGUAAAAUAUUUUCUUCUGCUAAUUCGUGUGCUAUACUCAACACUCAACCAAGUUUAUGUGUGAAAGAAUUAUAGCAAUUAUGCUCCCUCAUUGAAGAAAGAUUUCAUGGUGAGAGUAACUCUUAUUGUUAAAUGAUUUAAUUAGAGGUUUGUUCCAAGUCCAAUUGGAGAUGGCUUCUUCAUAUCAGGUUAUUAACCUUAUUCAUGAAUGUAUGUUAGGUAUUAUAUAUGGACAAACAAUCUAACAAUUUGCUUAGUACAAAUCCCACAAGCUUCAUAUAAUUACACAGUGGUAAUUCCAAUUAUAUUGGGUAGCCGGUCGUAAGAAGUUAGGAUGCGUGGGGACUGAUACUAUCAUCAGGUGAAGAGUUUUUUUCUUUUUUUUUUCUUUUUUUGUUAGAGAAGAAGACGUUUUUCAUGAGAAACAAAGACAUAAAUAUAAGAGCUUUAGAGCAUACAAUCUACAUAGAUCUCAAUCAGUCUGACAACAACCCAUUGGUAGAUCUGGAUAAAAAAGUGAAGGCUUGGAUGGUGAUUUAUGGGACACAAAGGCCAAUGAUGAAUUAGGGUUCUUCUUGUUCCUCUCUUUGAUUUGUUUUUCUAAUAUUUUAAUUCAAGAAACUGUUUUUUUUUUUAGAAGAAGAAACUUGUUUUCUUAAAUUAGCCAAAAUCCAUGUCAGCAUUAUUGAUAAAUAAAAACGUUGAGGUGGCUUAUGCCACAUCAUUUGGGAUUCAAAUUUUGUAAAAUAUUUUGGUGUCUCUAGCAUUACUCUUUUAAAUGAGGGUAUUGUAGAAAAUUUGAGUAUGUGUAUCUAGUAAAAUGUUAAAAUUUGGGUAUUGUAUCUAGUAAAAUGUUAAAAUAAUAAAGUUAAUAGGUGGUGUAUUAAGUAUGGUAUGUGUAUCUAGUAAUUAGGGAUGUGUUAAUAAAAUUUCUCUUUAACAAAACAAAAGGAAAUCAAAGAAAUAAAGCUUACAAAACCAAUUACAAGAAAGAAAAUUAGUUGUAUUGAUCUAAAAAAUAAUAGACUUAUUAAAAACAAUAGAAAAAAUAUAGAAUUAUUAGGGCCUAAAGGGUGGGUUUUUAGGGCCGGGCUUGGCCCUAAAGGGCUUAAUAGGGUAGGGCAGUAGGGUAGGACCGGGUUUCAUUAGCUCGACCCUUACCCUACCCUAUUUGAGAAAGGCUAUAGUCGAGCCUAGAGGGUAGGGCGGGUUAAGGCUGAAGUGUCAAAUGAUGAGGUCUACCCUAUUACUUAAAUAAUGAUAAAUUUCUUCAUUGAUUUACCCUUUCAUCUUCCCUUACCUUAUCGAUGAGAUGUCUACUUGGUCGGUAAUUCAUUGCGUAAUAAAAACCCGAAAGUAAAGAACAGCACAACUCACGGUCUCACACUGGACAUUAUUGUUCGGCCAGUUCAUAUCGCAAUACACGCGUGUAUAAUGAAUACGCAAGAUUUGUGAAGUCACCUUUAUUUUUGUGUUUUAUGGUUUGCCUAAUAGUAUAUAUAAAUUGUUUUGUUUUAUAUUAUAAAUAUAUAAGUUAGUUUGUUCCGAUAAUUCUCCUGUCAUCUGUCAAGAGUAAAAGACCUAACAUAUUCCAAAUGACUAGUGGUAAAAUGUUCAUCAGUAAACUCAACUGGGUAAAGGUUCACCAUAGAGUAAGAGCUAACUAGACCAAAUGUAACCAAGUACCAUAUACUUUGGCUGCCGUAAUUUUGGUGAUUCACAGUUUGACAACGACUGAAAAGUAAUAUUCCAUUAGUUAGACAGUCAAAAUCAACCGAUCCGGGUAUGGCCCAUGUACCAAAUAUUUUGCUGUUUUCUUGCUAACUAGUGAGUAGUUAUUAUCUUUUACCAAAUUUGGAGUAAUCCAUUGGCCAAAGAAAAAGAUAUUAAAAAGAAAAUUGGAGCAGUCCAUAUUGUGGCGGUAAGGUAACUUUGUAAAUUACUUCCUACUUACUACGGUAAAAGGAGUGGUUUCACACUUACGGUGAAAUUUGUCUAUUUUUUUUUUCUGGGUCCUUUGUUUUCCUCGUCAAGAUCUCUUGAUGUACGAAGCCGCUCUAGGGGUGUCAAACUGUCAAUGGGUCGUCGAUGUCACAUUUUGUAUUGUGUUGAAUCAUGUCAUUGUAUUAAUCAAGAAAAAUAAAAUACAUGUAAUACAUAAUAAUAUGUUCGAAAUGUAAUCUCUAAACCUAAUUUGUCUAUUAAAUGGGUCCAAAAUAUUAUUUCAAUUGUUUAAAUUCAAUAAAAAACCGGAUUAACACCGCUUUGGACUGAGAUGUAACCUUCGCCUUUGCUUUUGGUAUUCUAUGCGGCUUUCUCCAACUCUAAUAUCAGGUUUUUCUUUCUCUAUGAACUCCCUAACUUUAGGUUGUGAUCGCUCGGAGAUUACCUGCCUACAUAUUUAAUCACUAAGUCAUGUCGGAUUGAAACUGUCUUUCAAAUGAGAUGAUUGAUCAUAAAUGUGGUAUGUUCAAGAGUAUGCUUACUAAAUAUGGAAAUGAAUUCUACUUACCAAGUGUGCUUAUCAAACGAAAAAAGAUUACAGAAGUCUGUCAAAGCAGUGAGAUUAAGAAUCUCAAUGAUCACCAUUUUAUAAGAACAAUAAUCGAUACCAAUCAAUUAGAAUAGCAACAAAUGGGAAUUUUAUAGUACAUAAACCGAUCAAUUAUAGAAAUGAGCUCUUUGACUUGGUGAUCGAUAUGCUUAGGCUAAGUGAGGUGCAUCAUAGUAUUAAAAAACUAUAAGCACGCUACUGUUUCGUUCAACAACAUGUUGGGGGUUUUGGCCUAAAAGUUUCUGUUGUCUGUUGCCAAUGCUUUGAUAAUGAUAUGCUCUAAAUAAUUCUUUUAUAAACUAGAGAAAAUGUGGACCAUUAAAUUGUUUCAUAUGAUCCAUUUAAAUGAAUACCUGUAAAUAUUUGUAUUGAUCCAUUGUUACUUAUUCUAAUACAAUUUGACUCCUUUUUCGGGGCUGGUGGCCGUUUCGAGCCAUGGUACACCAGCAACGUUGGUGAUCUUUCCAUUGGAUUUGCCUACAUGGUUCUUUGUUGAUGUUGAAGAUUGGCAUGUCAAGGUUGUACAAUUGGACAUAUCUGAGGUUGAAUUGGGGCAGACACUCCUCAUCGGAGGUGAAAGUUGAAGCAGCAGUGACCCCUAGCCUAACACUCCCAACAGUUGAGCGAGUGUAAUUGGAAACUUUUCAAAAAAUCUGUAAAUUUUUCGAUAAUUGUCGUUUCUGUAUAAAUCCAAAUACAAUACACUCCCUAUAAGCUAUUUUGCUGUAUGUCUGUAUGAGUAGCAAAAUCUUAAAUGAUUUGAAAGGUUGUAUCUCCUUCUAGUGACCAAAAAAAUGGUUCUAGGAUUAGGACAAGAAUCAAAUACAGUUGGUGACUACAACUUCUAGUGUUUUUCUGUCAACAAAGAAUCAAAUACAGUUGAACAAUGUUUGGAACUUGAAGAUUUCUAAGCCACCUAUAUCAGGGGUCGGAACUUGAACGCACAACCAGAAAAAUAAAAUUGAUUUUCUUCGACCAUUCGAUGCCAAGAGUGUUUGGCUUUCAAGUUUCAGUAUUUCUGCAAAAGAACACGUUCCUAUCCUUGCUUACCAAACGAGAUGUAAGGGGGAACGUCCUUCAUAUGUAAGAAGACCAGAAAUCACUAUGGAAGUUUAAGAUAUCACCAUCAGAAUAGGAUUUCAAUGGCAGUACAGAUAGUUGUAAAGCAUGAACUAUUUCAUUUCCUUCAGCCACAAAACUUUUCUAUAUUCAAUAAAAAAUUAACUAAUUUACAACGCCAUCAGACUCAGAUAUUCAGAUCAGCAUAAUCUAAGGACUAAAGGAUGCAGUGGGAUUAUUUCAUAGCUGUAGUCUGGCUGAACAUCAUUGCUCCUCAGGGUUAGCCACUAAUCCUACUAUGCUAUUUUCACAAACCAAAAAUAAGCUCAAUCAAGGAUCGUACAUAAAUAAACUUACCAACCUAAAUAAAUAUAAUUACAACCACUGAACAAGGUGAAGAAUAAUAAUUCAAGCAAAUCCUAUGGUACAGCCAUAUAGGGCAGGCCGGUUGAAAGACCUUUUUCUAAGGAUCUCAUAGGCACCAUGUUUCACAAUCUUCGAUUAAUCACUCACAGAGUCGGAUUGAUUUUUCUCAUACAAGCAAUAUAUCAAAGGAGACUUGGACAUUUGAGGUUCCCUUUCCAGAACAGAAAUCACAUCCUUGACAGAUAUACUACGAGCCACCCUCGUCUGAGGCACCAUAACUUGAUUUUUCCCAAACUUUCUAACAGUCCCUGUGGGAAAAAAGAUAUUACAAUUAACAAAGCAGCACAUACUAGAGAGAGAAAUCGAAAUAUUCUUGCACAAAGUUCUUACCAAAAAUAAUAAAAUUUACCCAUUGACUUUUCCAUGCCUCCAUGGAAGUGUUACAUGAGAUGGUUGCAAGUAGAAAAAUGUCUCUUAUACCAUAUUAUGAAAUGUGAAUGCGGAAUACAAUAAAUGUAUAACAUAGCUAACAAAAAAGCAUGUUUGCAACCAGGAAAAGAAAUACAAUUAGGAAGGCAACAAAUGAACUCCAAUGAUAAAGUCCACAAUAAGUUGCAACCCCAUGGGCAUCCAGCAUGCCCUAGUAGACCAAGACAAAUGAGAUAGGUCUCUAUUGCAAAAGUUGAAAACUAUGCUAAGGAAGACCGACUGUACCCCACCCAUCUAAGGUAUAUCGCUGUAGGUUAGCUUUGGAGAAGUGAGAGUCAUGCAGAAAUGAUAUCAGAUUUUCUAGUUUACUCCAAAACAUCAGACUAGAUGUCUCAAAUGAGAACAGUAAAAUAUCAGAGCGAGAGAAAUAGUACAAAUAGCAAAAAAUUGCAAACUGAAUCCUACAUUAUCUGAUUAAUAAAAAGAGAGCAAAAAACAGAAGCCAAUAGAUGUUAUUAAGAUGAAAUUGAAGACAGGAGUACAGUUGCUGUCCACUAAUAGAAAAAACAAAUAUGAAGUGUCUGUAAUCUGAAACUUAAUGGCAAAUGUCCAAGGCAAACAAAAGCAACUUUAAAACACAUCUCACUGCAUAACAUUUUCUUACUUUUGGUGGAACACCAGUACAUAGCAUAAAUGCAAGAGAUUACCACAUUCAAAUUUGCAAGGAAGAAGAAAGGUAUGUCCCAAAAGUCAGGAAAUGGAAGCACUUACUGAGGUCAAACAAUUAACUCUACCCUGAACCUCCUAACCCAAAAAUUUUCACGACUCCUAUAACUUAAUUACUUCCACACUACCCAAGUACCCAGUACACAAAUGCUAUAUAAAGGAUUUGACCAGCAAUCAAGCUUAAUGACACUUACCAGCUACAGAAACAGGAGCUGCACCCCCUCUUUUCUCUGCUUCUUGAUUGUUCUUCAUAAUUCUUCCAGCUGCUGAUGUAGGCUUGCGAUUUACAUCUUUACCUGGCUGAGACCCAGAUGCCACAUCACUCCCACCUUCACGUUUUUGGCGAGCUUGCUCAGCCAUAAGUUGCCAUUUUGACAGCAUGUCAUCUCCUCCAACAGCAGCACGAGCAGCAACAUUUGCUGCUGUUGUCCUCAUUUUGUCAUCAUCUUCUUUGUUUGCCUAAACAACCAGAAAGUCAGAAGAGUGAGAAGACUAAUUGUUCCAUCCGUUCGAGAAUAAAAACAUAUUGCUAAGCGGUAUCCACAUACCUUAAAUGAUUUUGAACGACCUUCAUCUCUGUCUUUAUCACCAUCAACUCCAUUGCUAAGGUCAGGCUGUAGGCAGUCAAAUCAAAAAUUUGAAUUUAAUUAAAUGCACAGAGAUUCAUGUUUAUGCAACUAUUCAUAUGUGCCUGUUAGCCACUAGUAGUUUACCAUGGGUGACUGCAUAACUGAAAUUUGGACUAGAAAAGGUCACUCACUUCAUUAAGCUUCCGGACCUUUUCUGCCUCAGCCUGCUUCUUUUCCCAUUCUUCUUUAGCUUUCUUGUUCUGAUUCAUAAUUUGUUGCUGAACAUCCGAGGUAAUGAUGGUGUGGUGUUUUGUUUUCUCAGCAUCAACCCGCUAGCAUAAGGAGAUUCAAGCAAAGUCAGGACAUACAAAAUUCAGUAUUUUGACACUAGCUCUGAGAUAUUUAAAACAAACCUGCUUUGACAAUCUUAUCAAAUUAUUUAUCAGUCCCCUCAUUCUUUCCUCCACACACUGAAAUUCAAGUGGCUUAGAAUAAGAUGAUAAUACGCAAGUAUCUAUCAACAAAAAUAAACAUAGAGAGUAACCCCUGACCAGUGACAAGCAUCGUUCCACAUCAUGGCUUAUACUUUUCAGACCACUUCUGAACACUGCUUAGGAAAAAAAUGUGGAUAUACCAUAAAUCAUUAUGUGUCUGAUAUCCGUCCAUAACAAUAACAACUUGAACACAUGAAUGAGAAAUAGAUAAAAGAGAGAAUACGAUCAUUAACUGAUUUCUGCCAAUUUUUUCUGUAAGGGAGUCUUCUGCAAAAUCAGCCUUUCUUCUUCUUCUUGCACAACUCUUCGAGAUGCUUCUGAAGCUCGACUGUCAUCUUUGGGCCCAGAAAACAGCUGCUCCUCCUCUUCCUGGAUCAUCAAGAAUGUCAAUAGGUUCUGAGCUUUUUUAACUUAUUAUUGAUGUUCACUUAGUUGGAAGAUAUUUACCCUUAGAUUAACUCCACUAACAGCCGUGACAUCAUUGAGUUGUUCAAUGCUUUGAUCCGAAAAAGCCCCAGACACUUUUUGCUUCUUACCACUACAACAUGUAACGAAUUUAACAGAAAGUAAUGGAUGAAGUGAUUUUAAAUCAUCCAGAAGCUGGGAGUAACAUACAACAAAAGAUAUUAAAUUUACCUUGAAGGCGGUGGUGGAGAACCAAGUGCUUCACUAGGCUUCUUUUGGCCAACAGAAGUUUUUUUUGCAGGUAUUCUAUUAUUAGUACCAGCAGGAGUUCCAGAAGGUAUCUUAGAGCCUAACUGGUAAAAAUGAGAAUCAGACAAGAAAAUAGUUGUGAGUGAAAAGAUGUUCUUAUUAGAUCAGAAUAUAAUGGAACUUAAUGAAUAAAAAUAAAUACAGAAAAACUGGAACAAGCAUGAAACUAGGCCAUCCAGAGAAAUUGUAUCCUUAAUGUUCUAGCCUAUUAUUAUAGAACCAUUAAACAUAAUGAGGGAACAAAUAAAAUUUCAUUAACUAACAAUAAUUGCACUCUGAUCCUCAAAUCAUAUCCCAUAUCAUAUCCCAAUUUAUGACCACAAAAGAUAUCUCAAUUUCUUUUCUUUAUUGUUCUUAUUAUAGCAUUUCUUUGUUUACCACCAUUGCAAAGGUGCCAUAUAACUUCAAUAAACUUUUCAAAAACAUAUCAAUGGAACAUACGAAUUCCACAGUACUACCCAAAAAUAGAAAUUUAGAAGAGAACUGAGAAGAUGAAUUUACAUUAGGAUCAGCUUGAGUCAUUGUGGUUGAAGAAAUAGGAGUCAAGGGGGGCCCUGUGCUUGUAGAUGAGGAAAUCACCAUGCUCCCAGGGGGCCCUGCACUUGAAAAUCCCAUUCUUGAAGACUGCUUCUCUAAAGACUCAUCCAUUGAAACUCCAGGUGAAGCACUUAUUUGUUCAAGUUGCAGAGAAGAAGCAUAAGGCAAACGCUGAUUAUUAGAUAGUGGGGUCUUGUGCUGCUGCUCAGCACUCUGGUCAAUGGGUUCCUGUUUUACAUAAGCCAUUGAUGAUGAAGGGCCAGAAAUCUGCUCUUUAUUUGAAGACUGCCAAGGAAUUUGAUGUUGCUGCAAAGUCGAACUAUUUGUGAAGUGAGGAAGAGAUCCACCCUGCUGUCUGCCAGGGUCGUUCACAGAAUUUUGCCUCUCCAAUUUGGGAACACUCAUGAUGUUUGUUCCCUGGGUUUCUCCGCCAACUGACUGAGCUGAACCCAUGCCUUGAUGUUGAGGAAUUGGCCUCAAAUGAGAGUCAUGUGGUUGCUGUUUGAUAGGCAUUGUACUGACAUUUGUCCCUGGAUAUGGGUGAUAAUUUCCACCAGUAGAUCCAUACAUGGCAAAGGUUGAUUGCGGGUAGUGCAAUUGAUGUUGCUGCUGAUUGCUAUGUACUUGCAUAGGAACUGAGGACCGGUCCCUUUCUUGAUUGGAAGCUCCUGUGCUGGAAGAAGACAUCUGAUUUAUUUGCAUUCCAUGAGGAUCAGACUGACGUUCUGCUUCCCGCAAUUUUUUGGCACUGUUUUCAAUGGCUGAAUGGCUUGAGUCAGUCUGCACAGGAACUGUGGUAAUGUGCGAUGGACCAGUGGAAGGGUUCACACCUCUCUGUUGAAUUGCAAAUGAACGAGGAUCAGUGAACUGGGUAGCACCUGCAUUAAUAGAUGGCAUCCUAGGAGGUUGUUGCUGCAAUGAAGCCUGAGGCGUUAACUGCUGUUUGAGAACAGGCUGCCAGGUUUUCAUAUGAUAAUAGUUAGGUAAGUCAUCAAAAAUAGUAUUACUUCAUGAAAAGGAAUAAUACGGCGCAUUUCUUCUCUUACCUGUGUCUGUACUUUAUGUACUGCCAUCUUGAGCAUCUGGUCCCCAACAACACUUCUAAUGUGUCGAACAAAAGCAUCUUUGGAGAUUUCAUUGUUCUAGAAUAAGCAGCAAACAAUUCAGAGAAUAGAAAAAUGAUCAAAAUAAAACUACUUUACCAUGAACUUGCAGUAGAACCCACCUUCAGUUUACUAAAAAGAGUUGUAAGUUGCAUGGCUCUGUCUUUAUCAAGUUGGGGUAAUAAGACAGGUAGCAACAGACCAAAUGGUACUUGUUUACUGCGAUUCGCAGGGAUGCUUGGCUGCUCCGUGGUCAUUGCCUGUUGACUACUUAUCUUCUGAAGCUUUGCAUACUGAGAAUCAUUUUCUGGUUUAGGUGUUAAGACCUGCUCCUGUGUUGAGACAGGAUGCUUUCCGGACAUCAACAUUCCAGACUGGAGAGGUUUUUGAUCUGCUUGCCCUUGCUGAAGAUCUCCGUGGGGUUGCUUCUGGGGCAACGGAAAAUGAUUAAGUCGUUCCUGUGAUGCAUCACUCUGUUGGGGCAUAUUCUCAGAAAUGGAACGUUGUUGCUUUAACUCCAUUUCAUAUGGCAGUUCUCGCUGUUGUGCAAUAUUUUGGUCAUGUUGAAUUUGACCUGCAGUACUUUCAUCCUGCCUAGCAUUUUGCAAUUGUGGUAAUGAUUGACUAGAAGUAUUAUUGCUUCCUUGAGACAAAACAGCUGCAUCAUUAAAAGAGCAUAAAUAAAUGAGGAGUUCUAGUUAUGAACACAAGUAAAGAAAAACACAUAUUUUCGUCAAGAAACAACUUUUCUUGAGAGAGGCGACAACAAACAAAAGCUGUGGAUAAGUUCAUGACUACAAGAAGAAAAAAAAAAUUCAAACAAGAAGACUACAACAUGUCUAGCCUAAGAAAUGAAAACCUAGAGCUAUAAACACAACUCAACCACUGGGCCUUCGAGUCCAGAAAAAUGAAAAAAGCAGUCUUUUAAUCCAACCAAUACCAUUCAAAACAAAAUCCAAAACUGAAGCCAACAAGGCAGACAAGAAUCUAAAUUUCUUCAAGAGGUCCUCCACCCCACUCCAUUAGAGUCUUUGAAGUCCAGUCUUUCUGUCCAAAUCACCCAAAUUACAGCCACUGCAAUGCCAAAGAGCUUUAGCCUUUUCCCCUUCACCAUAGUCAGUAUGAAAUUUUUCUUAACAGAACAAACAACCCUGCUGGAGAUACCCAGCUCACCCCCAGCCUCUAACAAUCUCUGCGAUAAAUUUGAUGACGCUGCAGAAUAUACAAAAACAUGAUUAGCUUUUUCUCCUUGAAGUCUACACACGAAGCACCCAUGGGGAGUCAUUUGGUCUUCUGCUUUAACGAGCUCUGCCAUAAAUUUGUAUAUGCACUAGUGGCGGAAGAGACUUCCAUGAGAAUCCUUAAAACACUCUAGCUCCCAUCUUCAAACAUCCAAACUUGGCUGUUCUUCACCAAGCUGAAUCCGUCUAUAAGUUCCAUCACUGAAGAUACCUCUCAUAUCUCCUAUUGUUUAGAUUAAAUAUUUCUAAAAAUAAAAAAAUAAAAAAAUAAAAAUAAAAACCAACUCCAGCUAAUAGGAUAUGACAGCUCAGUGGUAUAUUUGAUUACUGUUGCAAUUUAAAUUCUGCAUAACCUGAGAGUAUUGGAAAACAUUGCUUCAAACAUUCACCCCCAACCGUUGUGUCUUCCCAAAACCUCUCCUUCCACAGCAAACAACUAAUUGGUCAAAUUGGAUUUUUAUUUGGACAGCUGAUAUGUUCUUCCAAGGGGUUUAACUCAACCCUCUCUGAUAUCAACCAUUUUCAUGGUACCCAUAAACUUGAUUCAGAUUACAGCAAGCCACAAAGAUUCCCCCUCCAAAAGAAAUCUCAUCGCUUGCAAGGGGUUCCCAGUCCCAAAAAUCCAAAGAAAUUAACUUCAGAUUAUGGCCACAACACUUGCAAACUUUUCCACACAUUUGGGAAGAGCAAAGUGAAAUGAACAAUACAUCCUCCGAGCAGAAAUAAGUUAUAGAUGAAUCCCAUUCAAACCACAAGAUGUUUACCAAUAAAGAUGACGACUAAUUACUUAAAAAAAAAAAAAAAAAAACUUCCAUUCAAACCAAUCAUGCUCUCUGAUAUUUAACCAAACACCAAAGUUGAUAACUGAAAAUCCAAUAACACUAAGCUUAAGAAGAAUACCAGAGUCUGAAUCAGACGGCUGCUGCAAAGCAGAGACAUCUCCUUCAAUGUCCCUAUUCAGUGCCGCCUGAAAGGCCUCCACAUCGGCCCCCGAAUGCAUUGUUUCAUCCUUCACCCAAAAACAAAAAAGAGAAACAGUCGGCAUCAAAUGUAUCCAAACAUACAGCUAUGGCUCAUAAACAGAGAGACAGACAGAUACAACACCUCAUCGUCUUCCAAGAGCUUCAUAAUUGACGGGUCCAUGAUGAGGUUAUGUAUACCCUUCCGGUGAUCCAACCACUUAAAUUAGGGUUCCCUACACGUAUAUUAACCACUUGCCACUCCAAAGCCAAUGAAUCAUGCCCUAAAUAUUCGAAAGCUGAGCUAAAUUAGGGUGAGAUGCACCUAGUAAUUUGAUUCAAAUAAGAAAUUAACCAACUUUAUCAGGUAUAAAGUGCAAAUUAGCAGUAAAGAUGAAAACUUGAAACAAAUUAUGCUAAAAAGCCAAAUGGCAAGCUGAGAUUACAGAAGAAAUUGAAAGGGGAAAGAUAGGGCAGACCUAAUUGCGUCGAAUUGAAGAAAAUGAAGAAAGUGUGGAUGAUUCUGAAGCUUAAAGGUUGAAGCUUGGUGUAUAAAUAAUGGAGGUUUUGAAAUUGGGAACAGAAUUUGAAGAUGGGAUCAGCGAUUUAGAGGGUCUUCCAGAUUGGUUCGACGACGAAAAGGGUUAUGUCGUUUACUGAGGGAAUCAGGAGUUCCGACGGGAAAUAGGGCAGCUUCAGCGGCAGGGGUGGUGAAUCCGGUUUUGCCCAGAAACAAAAGAAAUAAAGUGAAACUUUUUUUUAUAUUUUUUGAUCAAAAGGAAAAGUUUAUUCACGAGGAGAAAAUUACGUCAACAACAGAGAGAAAGAGUACCGCACUUCAAGACUUUACAAAUCUUAAUUAAAAAAACAAAAAUAAAAAUAAUAAAAGCUUUUUUACAGUAUCAAAUAACUCACACACCCAUUGCAUAUGUCCGUGAGAUUUAAACUCAUGACCUUAACGUUGUCGGUUAGCUACCUAACAUAUCAUACCACCGCUCACCAAUAACUAGUUUAGGGCUUUUGGCUUUUUUUCUUCAUGUAUUUAUUUAUAUUAUAGCGAUUUCAUUAAGAGAAAUUUUAUAAACACGUCUUAAAAAUUUUGUUAAUCAAAAUAGUAGAACUAAGAUUGUAAAACUAACAAAUCAAUAUUGAAGCAUACAACAACGUUCCCCCUUUUGUCCAUUCUAGGAGAACGUUGCCUUAAGAGUUUGUGGCAUCAACCCCUACCCUUAAUGGGCGUUGCCCGGAGUUUGUCUCCGCUUCAUUUCCCUUCCCAUCGUGGUUGUUUUGGUCUAUCCUUUUCUCUUGUUUGAUUUGUGCCCCGUUUUAAGUAUCUAGACCUCAAUUGCUUCCUUUUCAUACAUGUGCUCCGUCUGCUUUCCCAAACGAUGAUUCUCUUCCUGUGCUUGUUACAAAGAUGAUGAUUAGACCGGGAAGGUCUGUGUUUGGGCUCUGCCUGGGGGUUGGGGUUGGACUGGAUUUUAUAGUGGCUGAGGGUGUGAUGGCUCCUCAUUUGUUUUGGGUCGAUGUCGUCCCUGCUUUGCGUCCACCACCAUCUCUUUAAUUUCAUGCCUUCUCUAACUGGAGCAGAUGGGGAUUUGCCCAAUUUUUGGCUUCCUUGCGGUUGAUUGCACAAGAUAGGAGGGUUUUCUUAGGAAUUCUUUCACGUUGCAAAUUAGAUCUGAAAAUUUGAGGGUUUUGAUUCUAGGCUGUUUUCCGAUCAUGUGUUGUGGGCUGCGAGGGUGUCGCUGUGGUGGAGCUCGUUGAUGUCGUCAGUUAGAUCGAGUCUUGUAGGCCUUUACUUCUACAACCUUUGCAUGGAUCAGUUGGCUGGUGAUUGAAGCUCUAGUGGUGGUGCUGGUCAAAGGCGGUGGUCGUGUCUGUUGUCGUACAACUUCUCUUCUUAGGCUACCUUUUCAUUUAGGCUUUGCAGGAUUUUGGGCUCUUGUUGCUUGGGUUGCAUGUUUAGGCUUCUAGGUUGUUUUCUUUGUGUUGGGUUUUGCAUAAGUUUGGAUUCAUAGGUUUAGUUUUCUGUUGAAUUCAAGAGUUUAGGCGAAAAAGACACAGGUUGAUGUUGACUCCGAUACGACUUGUCUUGGUUCUUUGCAACUCCAUUAUUGUGGUGUCCUUGUUGUUGCAUUGAGUCCGUUUUAAUUCUCUUGGUCGUCUUUGUUGUUACAGUAUCGUUAUGGAUUUUGUGUGUGAAAUCCGGUAAACUGAAUGGAUUAACUGAUUUUCUAGUACAAAAUGAUGAAAUCCCUUUGCGUUCCGAAAUUGUUGUACUUCUUCGUUUAUUAAUGAUGUUUUCUUGAACACACAAAAAAAGUUAUUGUUAAUCAUACCUCAAUUUUUCCAUGUUUCUCUCCACACCUCUUUCUUAGUGUCUCUCUUUACCCGUUCUUCUUGAUCUCUAUUCUCUCUCCUUCCAAAACAAUUCGAUACACAAGGAACUUAUCAGUCAAUGUCAUACAAUGACUUUAACCCAUUGCGUGAUAAUUAUUUUAACCAAAAAAUAAUCCUUUAGUGGAAGAGCCAUGUAUAUAUAUAACUAAUUACUGAAGGAGUGGUCUUCUAAACUUCCUUAAUGUAUUUUACUUAUAAGUAGCUAGCUUAGUUCCAAAGAUGUCGUUUUCCAAGCUUCCUUUAUAUAUAUAUAUAUAUAUAUAUAUANNNNNNNNNNNNNNNNNNNNNNNNNNNNNNNNNNNNNNNNNNNNNNNNNNNNNNNNNNNNNNNNNNNNNNNNNNNNNNNNNNNNNNNNNNNNNNNNNNNNNNNNNNNNNNNNNNNNNNNNNNNNNNNNNNNNNNNNNNNNNNNNNNNNNNNNNNNNNNNNNNNNNNNNNNNNNNNNNNNNNNNNNNNNNNNNNNNNNNNNNNNNNNNNNNNNNNNNNNNNNNNNNNNNNNNNNNNNNNNNNNNNNNNNNNNNNNNNNNNNNNNNNNNNNNNNNNNNNNNNNNNNNNNNNNNNNNNNNNNNNNNNNNNNNNNNNNNNNNNNNNNNNNNNNNNNNNNNNNNNNNNNNNNNNNNNNNNNNNNNNNNNNNNNNNNNNNNNNNNNNNNNNNNNNNNNNNNNNNNNNNNNNNNNNNNNNNNNNNNNNNNNNNNNNNNNNNNNNNNNNNNNNNNNNNNNNNNNNNNNNNNNNNNNNNNNNNNNNNNNNNNNNNNNNNNNNNNNNNNNNNNNNNNNNNNNNNNNNNNNNNNNNNNNNNNNNNNNNNNNNNNNNNNNNNNNNNNNNNNNNNNNNNNNNNNAUAACCACGAAACGACCCAUCUCUCCUUGUUCUAAUCAUAGUCGUUGAGGCUCAUUUAACCACAUCUAUCGGUGGACGUUCCACAUCCGUAGAUUUUAAUAGAAACGGAUGUCCUUAGUAGAGAAACCCACUUACCAUAGAUAAUGUAUGGAUUUCCUUAAUUUGACCCACUUUCCGAUCAUAUUUUCGAUCAUAGUCAGCCAAUAUCUAGAUAUAUAUGACUAGAUCAUCCUUUCAAAUUUUCAUCUAAUUUGGUUAUCGUUAAGGUAUCAAAAAUAUAUUAAAUCAAUGAACGAACCAAAUAUGUUCAUGCCGAACCGUACGUUCUUGUAAUUCUAAAUCACAGUUUUAAAUGCCUUAACGUUUAUCAAAUUGGCUGAAAAUUUACAGAGAUGAUCAAGUCAUGUAUAUCUAGAUAUUGGCUGGCUAUGAUAAAAAAAAUAUGAUCAAAAAGUGGGUCGUUUAAAGAAAUUCAUACCUUAGCUAAAGUAAGGAGUCAUUACUUGAUCAACAUUGUGUGUGUGUGUAUCAUUCCUAUCCAGAGUGGAGCCGUGCUUUGAAAUUAAAGUUUGUGGCUCCUUAUUUGACUCACUUUCGGGUCAGAUUUCUACAACUUCACAUUUCAAUCUCUAGAACACAAUGUGUAGAUUAUUUAUGCAAAGGUUCAUCUAAUUUGAAGAUCAUAUAAGCUUCCAUAAUCGUGAUUUACACGAACGGUUCUACUUAGACAAUUUUUGUUCUGUUGAUUUAUUUAAUCUAAUUUGGUACCCAAAUGAUUUCUAAAUUAGGUGAAACUUUGCAGAAAUGAUAUAUACAUAGAGAUACUAUAUGGUGGAGAUAUGGAAAUCUGACCCGAAAAGAAGUCAAAUAAAGAGCCCCACACUUUAAUUUCAAAGUGCCUAAAAUGUGAUUAGUAUAUAUUAAUAUAAAAUCAAACAAUAAAUUGGCAAGGAAUGUUUCUUACAGAUUAGAAAGACCCUAAAUAGAGCUUUUGAGCGGCGGCCAUCCUCUCUCUGAAAUCUUGCUCGUCUAGUGGUUCACGAUGUUGUGCGAGCCUUCGUUUGAAAUUAGGGCAUUCUAAUAUUUUGCUAAAGUGUGGGGCACUUUGAAAUGUUCAGUUUUAUGAAUUAGAUUAAGGGUAUUUAGGGAACUUUUGGUUAUGUAUUUACUAAAAUAUUAGAAUGAAAAAUUAAAUAGGUGGUGUAUUAAGCAAGGAAUGUGGAGUAAGUAAUUAAGGAUGACUAUAUAUUAAUUUUAUCUUCUUGUCUUAAUUGGUAGUAAAUAUCUAUGUUGGAUUUCAAUAUUCUUUGUCCAAUUCAGUAAUCCUUAUAUCUUGCUUGUCAAAACCCACCCUGAAUUUCACCCUGAAACCCGAGAUAAUUCCUGCGGGGUCCACCUCUAAGGAAAAUUUACCGAAAAUUCGGCAUAAUCUACCUUGAAAAUGGACAACAUUUACCUGAAAGAUCCAACUUACACUUCUAUAACUAAACAAACCAGCCUCAACACCUGAAGUCUUCCUACUCUCCAAGAUCAUCACAUCUCCCAAUAUAACAAUUACUCAACUAAAAUAAUCCCACAACCAACAACAGACAAUUAAUAAUUUACUACUAGACUUUCAGAGCAUAUCUAAAGUUGAACGAAAAACAAUGAAUAAAGAAUAAGCGGAAGCAGCCUCUGACUAUACCUCGACUCCAUGUACACUCGACCUCAUUUAAACUUAUCCUGCAUACUGGGCAUUUAAAACCAAAGGGCCCAGAGGAAAGUAAUUUAAAAACGUUAGAGUGAGUAGACAAAAAUAAAUUAAAAAACUUGUAUAUUUUCCCACGUUUCAACUUUUAAAACUUAACAUCAUGCAACUUUGAUAAUCCAAAUAACUUUAAAUCUAGAAUACCAUAAAAAUAGACAAAUCAGCUCCGCUGGUUAAUCAAAAAUAGAAAUCUCGUAAGAAAAGAUAAACCAGCCCGGCUGGUUAAUCAAUUAUAUAACUGAGAAAAAAAUAAAAUAAGGGGAAGAGUUAUCACGAUGUAAGAGGAGCCUCCCAGGCUCGGGUCGGUGCCUCCCAAGCUAUAAUAGCGUUCCCACGCUAUAUGCUCGACUCACCUAUGGUGAGGACCACUAAUAAAGACUAGCUAGCAAUAAAUAAUAAUAUCCGAUCGGUGUCUCCCCGGCUCUAGUAGCGUCUCACGCCAAGCGCUCGACUCACCUAUGGUGAGGACCACUAAUAAUAAAGGCUAGCUAGUAAUGAAAUAUGAGCGACCCUAUAUUAUGGUGACUAAAAACAUACGAAAUCACUUAAAUCCAUUGAACUUCCCUAAGAUCAUACGAAUGGUACGGUUCCCAACCGUACUUGAAAAUUAUCACAAGAAAUUAUAAUAAUACUCAUUGACGUGUCUCACGUCAAUAUAUUCUCAAAUCCAUAAUCAAAAGUGAGAUUUAAUUAUCAAGUAUAAAUUGUAAUUAAUUUUUCAAUCCGAAAAUACUCGCUGAAAAUAUUCUCAAUGUCAAGGUCGAUAAUCCACAAUUAAACAAGAAAGUUAUAAAUAGAGAAUUACCGAAAAUCUCAUUUUCAGAAAUCUUUAUAAAUCUCAAAGUCCACCAUAAAACAAUCAUAAUGAAAUCUGAAAUUUAUAAAAAUAUCCAAACUCAAAUAUCAAAUUAAUAAUCGGAGCUCAAAUACAUAAAUCAUGACCAACCAUUAAUCAAUGCUUCAAACACAAAUAAUUUCCAAGAUCAUCUCAUAAGCCGAAAUUAUAAUAUAAGCUCGGAAAAUAAAAUGAUAAAUUAUAAAAUCUUGCAUGCAUAUUUAUUUAAAACCAAAAUGUCCACUCACAAAUUUAGGCAUAAGCCCGACAAUAUCCGAAUCUCCACUCAAGCCAUGUUCCCUUCGUAUCUUGGCACAAUAAGCAUGCUUAGAACCAAACUUCAAUUCCAGAAACUAAAUACUUAAAUAUAAACACCAAAACUCUUCCGUUUAACUCACUACCCUUACUAUGGUUAAACUCACUGGAUUUCCACCAAACUCUACCAUAACCUUAAUUUAUCAAUUCUAACAUUCUAGAUUAAAUACCAAGUAAAUCCAACGGCCGAAUUUUCAUUCUAACAACCGCAAAAUUCUCAAUCUUUGAGAAAUCUCAAAUCUUAUCAAAACUCCUCCAAAAAUUCCAAAUUUUACUUCAUUAAACUCCUCUCCUUAAAACAAUCUCAAAAACAUGAAAAACUACACCGAAGGGGCGGCGCUGCCGCCUACUCCGCGGGCAGUGGCGGUCGACAGCCGAGCUCUGGCGACCUCCAAUGCUUCCCAAAUUUUAACACAACACUCCUCUCAACCCGCACAACAACUUCCUUAACUAGCACAAAAUCCAAUUCUAAGCCUAACUAGGGUAAUCGAACCAAAACAAUUAAAUAAGCCCUAGAACUUUAAUUAAACAUCUCUCCUUACCGAGCACGAAUCGAGCCAAUUCCUUUUGAGGGAUUACUAACCUUGAUAAGAGCUACAAGAUAAGCCAAUAAUCGUUGGCUAUGGUGGCCGGAGGAGCGAGUUCCAACGACGGAACUCCCACAACGCAGUCGGCUUCCACACAUGAUUUCUCCCUCACGGCGGCGCUAGGGUGGCUCUCACCGAUCCAGGAAUAGAGCUGGGUUGAUGGCCGACCGAUUGAGACUGUUGCUGCGGUCUGUGGUGGCCGGAUGAUGGCGAAUGGAGGUGGUGAAUCCGGUGGGUCGGGGAAGAUUCGGGAGAGAGGAGAGAGAGGGGAGAGAGAGAGUGUGGGUGUUGGGCUUCUCCACAUCCUACCCCGUCCAACUUAAACACUAAAAAUAAAACCUUAAAAAUUUUACCCAUUACCAACUAAUGUUUACCCCUUUUUAUCUGAUAACUUUUACAUGUUAACUUCGAUUUUAAUUUAUAGCAUGUCAACGAAUUCGUAUUAACAUCCUCUACGACUUCCAUAAAAAAAUUUCCUAAAAUAACUUCCCUACAAAAAGUCAACUCUAGGGUCCUUAACGGUAAACAGUUACUUAAAACGGUAAAAGCCAAAGUAAUACCAAAAGUAAAUAAUCGUAAUUUAAUUUAAGAAUCGGGAUGUGACAUUGCUUCCUAAACUUGUAAAAGCUAAAAGUACCACUUGGCCAAGAAACUUUAGCACCACAGCUGUUUCACAUUAAAUUUCGUUAUUGCAGUUUAUAGAUUGAAUUCCACUAAACUGGCUUACAGUUAUUUUGAUCAAGUGUGAGUGGCUCAGUCACUUAUUCGUCUUCUUCAUAUUUUAAGCAAGAAGGCUAACGAUAAGUCCAUUCCAAACAAUUGUUAACGAAGAACUGGUUGGCAAUGGCAUAGAAUACGAUAUAACUAGAACAACUAUAUAUUAUUGUAAAGUAAAGAAAAGAAGAGAAGACACAAAGAGGAUAGUUUGGAGGAGGUAGAAGUCUACUAAUUCAUUCUCAUUAGCCUCUUUAUAUAGAGGUAGAGUUUACAUCAGAGUACAUAACUAAUGAGUAAUUACGUUGACAACCACAUAGAUUAUAAUAUUUAUAACAUAUAUAUAUAUAUAUAUAUCUCUCUUAAUAACCUAUUAAAAUUUUGGCUAGCAAUAUUAACUGAAAUAAAUGUUGUCCCAGCUAUUAGAAGUUUUCACUAAGAAUGAAAAAGGAAAGGAUUCUGUCACGAGACCAACUGACAUUAUCCCCAGUCUAAUUGACGUACCAAAAUCAAACUCAACUAUAAAUAUAUGUAGUGACAAACCAAUAAUAACAACUUGAGAGAGAGAGAGAGAGAGAGAGAGAGAGAGAGAGAGAGAGAGAGAGAGAGAGAGAGAGAGAGAGAGAGAGAGAGAGAGAGAGAGAGAGAGAGAGAGAGANNNNNNNNNNNNNNNNNNNNGAGAGAGAGAGAGAUUAGCAUUGGUUCAUGGUGGCAUACCAAUUAAUAAUUCAUUAAAGAAAAAACAAAAACAUUCCUAUUCAUGUAAUGGUCAAUGUCUACGAUGCAUCUUUCUGAAAAAACCCAGUAAUUCAUUAUGUCAUUAUUUGUGAUGAACUUUUAGGCUAAUUAUAAACAUCUUAAUUUCACAGAGGCUACAGUUUGAUUGUGAUAUAUAUUUGAUGGUGAUGGGGGAUGGGUGAAUUCAAUCAAGUACAUUACUAUGGGUUUUAAACAAAGAUGACGAUGGGUCUUCAAAUGUGAAAAUGGGGAAGAUGCCUCAAACCUAGCAUCUGUCAGCUUCUGUAGACCAAGAAAAAAUGGGUGUACUAAUAGUUUAAUUGGUGACUGAGAGCACCUCCUCCUCAUCUCGGUCAAGCUGAAUUGUCACAAUGGAGCAGCGAUGGGGAUAUAUCGGUGAAUGCUAGCGAUGAUAUUUGAUGUGAUAAUUAUUGUAAUUUUCAUAUUGAAUUCCACCACAUUGCCUUACAGUUAUUUUGGGCAAGUGUGAGUGGCUCGGUCACUUAAUCUUCAUCUAUAGACUUUGAGCAAGAAACCUAACGAUGAGCCAAUUCCAGACAAUCUUAGAGAAAAAAAAGGUUGGAAUACGAUAGAAUACUAUUUAUCUAGCAACACUAUGAGUCUCCCGACCUAUUAUAAGUGGGAGGUCGUGAAUUCGACUUACAAUAGACUUGUUAUAGUAUUUAAGUUAUUUAACUAAUCAAAAAUAAUUUAUUAACAAAAUAUUAUAACAAAUCAAAAUUUACGUCAAAACUAGGGGUGAGCAAUUUGCACCGAAAAUGCGGUUACUGACCUGAACCACACCGAAAAAAAUGGUUUGGUAACCAUAUUGAAGUGAAAUGGUGUCGUUUUAUGGUCAGACCGCACCGAACCACAUAAAAGUAGUUUGGUUGCGGUAUAGAGAUAUAAACCGACUGAUUCAAAUCGAACCGCACCAAAUUACUUUUUCCCGUUGGAUGGAAAUUUUGGAUUGUAAUAUAUAAAAGUUUAUUUAUAUUCAGAUUUGUAGUUUCCAAGUUUCUAUGUUUAGAUGAUUUUAGUUUUUUUUUUUUUUUUUUUUUUUUUAUUUUUUUUUUGAAAGGGUACAUGAUAGUUGAUAUAUGGGUUUGUUAAGUGAUCAAAUAUGGUAUUCUUGUUAGUUGAUUGAUAUUUGGGUGACAUUUGUAGACUUACAUGAACUCUAAAUGCAUUUAAAAUUUGUUCAUGUCUUAUCAAAAUUGUUAGGUAACAUUUGGGUAUUCCUUCUUUGUUGAAAUAAAUAAAUUGGUGCAAACCAAAACCGACCCGCACCGCACAGAAAAAUGGUGUAACCGAAAUAAUCGGUUCAACCCUUUUGAAAUGCGGUUGCGGUUUGAAAUAUUGCAAAACCGAAAAAAUGGUUAGUUUGCAGUUUGAGCCUCAAACCGAUCGGAGCCGAACUGCGCCCACGCAUAGUCAAAAGUUGUAUCACAUGACUAAAAGUAUUAUUUUAAAUGAUAAAUAUCAAUAAAUGACAAUUAUUAAUCACAAAGUUGAUAAUACCUCAAAAAGUGACAUCUAGACUUCUUAAUACAUUUGUCAUAAUAUAUUUAAUAUUUUAUAAAUAUUAUUUAAUUUAUCUAAAACGGUUUACUAACGGAUCAGAUCAACCUAUUUUAGCAUUUGCAAAAAAUGUUGGACAUCUAGACAUUUUGAGAACUGAAGCUUUAGCUCUUCGAGCAGAAAUGACUGCAGCCUGGUAUCAUCAUCUUACAUAGUUCCUAGUUAAAGGUGAUUUGAAGAUUUUAAUCGAUUGUAUUACUGGCGAAAUUCGGUGUCCUUGACGCAUUCUACACAUUGUCAGAGAUAUUCAAUAGUUUGCUUCUAUAUUGAAAGUGUCUUCAUUCCAACAUAUCAAGCGAGAACAAACUUUGUUGCAGACGUCAUUGCUAAACUCAGACAUUCCUUUCCAGCUCAAGCUUCGCAAUCUGCUUUUCCUCUCAAUGUUAGCCAACCCUUUUAUUUUGAUAAUUUAGGAGUUGGUUGUAUUAGAGGUUUUCAGUUGUACUUAGUUGUUACUUUUGUUUGUAAAAAAAAAAAAAUGUCUUCAUGGUUUAAAUAUCUUUUGACCUCUCGAAUUUUGCAAACGAUACAACAUAAACUCGGCUUCAAGAUCGAUCAUGUCAGGUAUGGUAGUGGAAGGUUGUUGAUAACCAACAUGGUGUUUACCAUCAUUUGGCUAUCAAAAUAACACUUGUUAUGACUCAGAUUAUGAAUUAGAGUAUGAUACGGAGAGAACUUGUCUUGUAGUGAUUGACUAAGAUAAAAUGGGCCCGCAAAUAUAUUUUCGGUGUUCUCUCUUCCUACUAAUGAGAUGGAAUAUCUUAUUGAGAGCGUUAUGGAUUUCUAUCUAGAGUUUCCUGUCACACCUCAAUUCAUGUUGUUUUUUUUUCUUUAAGUUGAAAGUAUGACAGGUAUAAACAAAUAGAAAUAAUGAAGCUAAACCAAAAAAAAUAACUUCAUGAUUAUUUGCAUCAUUUGUAAGCAGUCCAAAGGGAAACAAAAACUUGAUAACAUUUAAAACCAGAAAAAAGAUCCAAACAAUGUCUCACCUUUCAGAGAAACAAACUUUUGGUAUCUCAACUUUGAAAAACUUCAAAAACGUAUCACACGUUCUUACUCUGACCAAAGAUUAGUAUCUGGAACCAUUAGUUUCGUUAAAAAACUAAAGGUAUUGGUGCUUUCAGACAUGAUUGAAUAGAAAGCUAUUUAGACACAAAAAUAAGAACAAUGCCCUUUUACAGGAAAAUAUGCAGCAGACCUGCAACUUCGAAAAUUCACAACUAAUUUAAAAAAAAUUGUUUUAGAAGAUUCCAAAUCUGUCAUGAUCUUUAAGAUGUCUAUUACAACUUUUAUGAAGACACCAAGUGCAAACAACCAACCAAAUUGUAUUGUUUUUAGUAAGAAACUAACUGGUUCAAAAUCUCAAAAACAUCAAUCUACAGAAUUUCUUUAUGCAAACCUUGAACUUUAAAAAAUCAUAACUUAAUCUAGAAAAAUCUUUUUCAAGUGAUUCAAAUUCUGUAUAGCUAAUUGUUGUCAGGUUGUUGGAGGGUGGGGCUAACUGUUGCCAUUCUCUAAUUGUUGCCUACAGCAAGUGUUGUCCCUGCCACGUGUUAGGAUGGACAAGAGGAGGAGGAUUGCUACACAAAUCUCCUUAACAAGGUCCCGAAUAGUUUGCUGUUGUUCGUUAGUUAAGGGCUGAUCUUAAAGAGGACCUGGCUGGGGACUAGAAGGGACACCAGGCGGGGGCAAGGGGAUGUAUUUCUUCCCUUAGGUAUCCUCAUAUAACCGGACAGCUACAAUGUCACGCCUGGUCAUUUGAAAACAAUCAAAUUGCCAUUUUGUGUGACACACAAUUAAGAAUAGUCUUGUUGUACUAAUACUUCUUUGUCCCCAUAUACUGACUAGCUUCACUAUAUAUAGGCUUUGUCUCGGGUCCUAAUUUUGACCAUCGUGCGAGUGUGAUUCUGUUCAUUCUUGUAAAGAAGUAAAGCUCAUUUCGUUCUCGGCAGUACCUUUCAGCAGCUGCAAGAAAAAGUAUUUAUUACUUAAGUUGUUUAUUUCAGUUUUGCUCUAAUUGAUCACCCAGCUAUACACAACAUGAAAAGUUCAACACAAUAUGACUAAAUUUUCCUAUUGAAGGAAAAUGGCCAGUGACGAUUCAAAUGUUAUUGUUGAUGAUAAAGGGAAAAACUUAGCUAAUCCUAUAUCUGUGGUGAUCCCAAACUCCUCUACACUUGGAGAGAAACCAAAAAAGUUCAAUUAGACAUAUUUCAAAAGAUGCCAACAAAAGAUAUUGUUCUAUCUAACAACCUUGAGUCUGACAAAGUUUCUGAAGGAAGACCCUCAUGCUAGUGGUUCAUCUGUGAAGACUAUUGCUUGGCACCAUUCUGAUUUCUUGUGCAAAAAUUACAUCUUCAAUGGAUUGGACAAUGCAUUAUAUAAUGUCUACUGUCUAAUGAAAAUUGCCAGGGCUUUUUGGGAAUCACUUGACAAGAAAUACAAGACUAAAAAUGUUGGAAAGAAGAAAUGCAUCAUUGGAAGAUUUCUUGAUUAGUCAUGAGUUAACCAAGAGUUCCAAUUGAUUUUACAUGAAAUGCAUGAGAAAAGAUGGAUAUUUUCAAUCACCUUCCUUGGUUCCUUGGAGGUUGCUUACUCGCUGGAAUGAUGGAAUGUCUCUUCUACGUGAUUCUCAAAUUCGGAUAACACACAUUUUCCGAGAAGGCAACACCCUAGCUGAUGCAUUAGCUAACUUUGACGCAUCGUCUGAUGGGUCCUAUUAUUAGGAUGUACUUCCUCAGUUCCUAGUUCCCACGUAUGGGCGCGACAUUGCUACUUGGCCAAAUUACAUAUGUCGAUAAUCCAGUUCUUCUUAAUGUGUAGUUUGGGGUUCUAUGCUUUUUAUGUUGUAUUGUCUUUUUAAUUUGCAUUAUUUUGUGUUUCAGUAAGUUUGCAGAUUUUGUAUGAUUUGCUUCCAGGAAUUUUCUAGAAUGUUCCUCGUCUAUUUUGUAUAUUUCUCAGAGUGUGGGUUUGGCUUAGUCCUCAACCUCAUUUGUUAAAAAAAAAAAUUUCUAUCAAAAUUUUUUUGAGAUAGGACGAUAAGUUAUUUUUAGUCUCGCUUACCAAAAAACAAAAGCAGAAAAGAUGGAUAUGACUUCAGCUUAGCAAGUAGGUUGUGUGAUUGAAAAGUUCCCUCCUUCUUGGAAAGAGUUGAAGAAUUAUCUUGAGCAUAAACACAAAGAAAUGGAUCUUGAAGGUCAAACUGUGAGGUUAAGGGUUGAAGAGGACAAUUGAAUUGUUGACAAGACAAAUGAAUUUAAUUCCAUGGGAGCCAAUGCACAUGUUGUUGAAGAUGAACCAGAUUAUAAAAAGAUGAAAUAUUCUAUUGAAAGUAAUGAGCAAGGGGACUUAAAGAAACAUCAUAACUUCAAAGGUAGAUGUUUUAGUUGCAACAAACAUGGGCAUAAAGAUACGGAUUGUCGUAGCUGGAAAGGAAAGAACAAUAAUGGUAAGAUGUACAAGGGAAAAGCCAAGGAAAUUCAUAUAGUUGAGGAAGACGAUAUUUCUUGUGGAAUUUCUGAUAUAAACCAUUAUGUUGUGAAAUAUGAAGUUAAUAUAUUGAUAAGAAGUGAUAAUUGGUGGGUGGAUAUUGGGCUACAAGCCAUAUAUAUUUUGACAAGGAGAUGUUCACUACAUAUGAAAAAGUGGAACACAUUGUGCCACUCGAUGUUUCUGGAUAAUUCCUUUACUUCAAAGGUUGAAGGCUUCAGGAAUGUGACGUUGAAAUUUUCAUCUGGCAAGGUACUCACUUUAACAGAAGUACUUCAUGUUCCUGACAUUAGGAAAAAUUUAAUUUCUAGAACGUUGCUCACCAAAAAUGGUUUUAAGUUUGUUUUGAGGCUGACAAGUUUGUGUUGACCAAGAAUGAAAUGUAUGUGGGGAGAGGUUAUCUUAUGCACGGCCUCUUCAAAAUUCAAGGAUGAAGACGAUCGGUGUAGCUUUGAUUUAUGAUAUGUUCAGCAAAAUAGUCUAUAUUAUAUAGGCAUAUAUAUAUAUAUAGGCAUUUUCAGAUACAAACCUCUUUAUUUAUUCAAAAAGUACGGAUUUCCUUAAUUAACAUACUUUUUUAUCAUAUUUUCUCAUUUCAACCAUUCAUCAUUUAUGUAUAUAUGAGUAGAUCAUCUCUACAAAAUUUCAGCCAAAUUGAUAAUCAUUAAGGUAUUCAAAAAAGUGAAUUACACGAACAGUUCUUGUUGAACAGAUUUGGUUCGUUCAUUAUAAUCAUAUAGUUUCAAUACCUUAACGAUCACCAAUUUGGCUUAAAUUUUGCAUAGAUGAUCAUGUCGUAUAUAUUUAGAUACUAGUUGCUUAUGAUAAAAAAUAUGACCAAAAAGUGGUUCUAUUGGCAAAAUCUGUACCUUUUGAAUAAAUAAGGAUGUUUAGACUUGAUAAGGACUGUAUGUGUGUGUGUGUGUGUAUAUAUAUAUAGGCUUUCUUGGCUAAGAAUGUCCUUAUUUAUUCUUAAGGUGCGGAUUUCCACUUCAGAUUCACUUUCCAAUUGAAUUUUCACAUCUCCACCGUCUAGUCUUUAGAUACUAAUGUAUAGAUCGGAAGCCCUUCUAGUGAGGACCCUUAAGUUGAGGACUUUGUGAGGACUUUUCGGUUUAUGGUUUAAAAGACCCAAUUUUCGAUCACAUUUUGACAUCUUAUCCGUUCAGUUUUUAGGUUUAUAUGAGUAAAUCAUUUCUACAAAUUUUCACCCAAAUUGGUGUUCGUUAAGAUAACAAACUAGAUCAAAUUAAUGGACGAACCAAAUCUGUUAAAUAUAAACCGUUCAAGUUCAUAAUUGAUAAAUCACACUUAUGAAUGUCUUAACAAUUUUCAAUAUAGCUGAAAAUUUGAAUAAAUGAUCUACUCAUAAAUACAUAUAAACUGAACGGUCAAGAUGUAGAUAUAAGAUCGAAAUGUGAGAUAAGCCGAAAAGUCCUCACCAAGUCCUCAACUUAAGAGUCCUCACUAGAAGGGCUCCCUGUAUAGAUCAUCUGUGCAAAAUUUCAGCCAAUUUGGUUAUUAUUAAGGCACUCAAAUUCGAUUAAACCAAUGGAUGAACAUAAUUCUAUCGAACUUAAACUAUUCAUGUUUAUAACAAAAAAACGCAGUUUCAAGUGUCUUAUUAAUAACCAAAUUGGCUGAAGUUUUGUAGAGAUGAUCUAUACAUUAGUAUCUAAAGACUAUACGGUGGAAAUGUGAAAAUUCGAUUGAAAAGUGAGUCUAAAAUGGAAAUCUGCACCGUAAGAAUAAAUAAGGACAUUCUUACCUAAACUAUUCAUGUUUAUAAUAGAAAAACGCAGUUUUAAGUACCUUAUUAAUAACUAAAUUGGCUGAAGUUUUGUAGGGAUGAUCUAUACAUUAGUAUUUAAAGACUAGACGAUGGAAAUGUGAAAAUUCGAUUGAAAAGUGAGUCUAAAGUGGAAAUAUGCGCCAUAAGAAUAAAUAAAGACAUUCUUACCUGAGAAAGAUAUAUAUAUAUAUAUAUACGGAUUUUAUCAGCUGCGGACGUCCGCACCAAUUUUUUGGGGCGGAUUUCCAUUUUCGCACCACUUUUCGAUCGAAUUUCCUCAUCUCCACCGUCUAGUAUCUAGAUAAUAUUGUGUAGAUCAUCUCUGCAAAAUUUCAGCCAAUUUGGUGAUCGUUAAGGCCCUCAAACUUGAAAAACAAAUGGACGGACUCAAUUUUGUCCGGUUGUGUUCAUACCAGAAAAACUCGAGUUUGAGGGCCUUAACGAUCACNNNNNNNNNNNNNNNNNNNNUUUUACUAUUUUAUACUAGUAAAUGGCUUCAUUUAACGAUUUUAACCUUUAAUCCUCUAGAUUCAUAUGCAAGAAACAUGUCUACAAAAUUUCAACUAAUUCCAUAAUCAUUUGAUCAUUCAAAAUGACGUAAACAAUUGUUGGCCGUUGGAUAAAAAUUAAAAUGAAUAUUGUGCUAAUCAAAUGGUUAAACGUUUUUUAUUUUGGCUAAUUUUUUGUAAAAUUCAUAUGUAUGGGUAGGUAAUUAGGGAAUGAGUUGUUUUGAUUGUCAAAAUACAUGCUAGAACUAAAAACAUCCUCAUUUUAAGAGUUUAAAGAGUUCCUCUUUAGAUAUGGACUAUAUAUAUACAUGCUUUCAGCUUUCUUGGCUAAAGAGGCCAUUAUUUAUUCUUAUGGUGUAGAUUUUCACUUUAUACUCAAUUUUUCAUCGAAUUUUCAUAUCUCCACAGUUUAAUCUUUAAGUACUAACGUGUAGAUCAUCUCAAUAAAUUUUUAGCUAAUUUGAUAAGUGUUAAGACACUCAAACUCGAUUAAACCAAUGGACGAACUAAAUUGUCGAAUUUGAACCUGUUUCCGUCAAGGUUGACCGGAAAUCAUGAAACACACCAUAUCCAAAACCUCACCUGCAAUCAUAAACAAAGGCGUUAAGAGGGGAGACUGGGAGUUGCCCGGCCUUCCACUCCGAUGCCCAAGUCAGGCUUAUUCAAGAGAAAGGAGAGUGAAAGAAGAUGGAGUAGUGGUGACUUACAAUUAAUAGGUGGAGAUGCUUAUAUUUAUAGAGAUAGGGUUGGGCAUCACCCAUCAAUUACCAUAAUACCCCUAGCUAGUGGAGAGUAUGGACUCUUGGGCUAUCAUAGAUGUUGGGCCAUAUUUAAGCCUUCUUUAGGUUUCGUUUGACGUGUAAUUCCGAUGUUUGGGCCCGGAAAAGGGGUCCGGGUAUAAACAGAACAGUUCAUGUUUAUAAUAGAAAAACGCAUUGUUUAUCACGGUUAUCCAAUUGGUUGAAACAGAGAUGAUCUAUACGUUAGUACCUAAAGGUUAGAUGGUGAAGAUGUGAAAAAUCGAUUGAAAAGUUAAUCUAAAGUGGAAAUCCACACCAUAAGAGUAAAUAAUGAUGUCCUUAAUAACCUGAGAAAAAAUAUAUAUAUAUAUAUAUAAAGUUUGAUAUAUAGUAUGUUAUAGUACAACAAGUGGAUAUCAAUGAACCACAUAUAAAUAAGAUGUCCUUUAUGUAUUUGCAUUGAUAGAUAAGUAAUACUAUUUGAUUUAUAAUCUGAGACAACUCAUUUGGUUUGAAAUUGGUUUGAGCAUUUUAUAUCAUUCUCAACACCCAAAUAAUUGUAAGAGUAUAGGUAUGAGAAGUGGGUGGUCUGUAAUUGAUGAAGAAUGGAAAUAAACAUUCAAUAGAGUGUUAUUCAAUGGUAAGCAAACCUAUCUGGAAAGGUUAUGAAUAUGGUUUAGAACUCUUUGUGAAAAUCUAAAUGUAUUGGAUGUUUAUUUUGUUUUUUUUUAUACGGGGUUUGGAACCUAACCUAGUUAGGAGGCUCAGCCCCACGCCCGAUUUGAAAUUUAUUAAUAUAAAAGAGAAUUACGGAUUUACGACACCAUAAUUAGCCAAAGCAUCAGCAACCGUGUUGCCUUCUCGGUAUAUGUGGGAGACCUUAAACUGCAUCUGUCGACUGAUAAAUAAACCAUUAUUUCAUAUCGUCUUGAGCCUCCAUGGGGUAAGCAAAGGAUUUCUGAAAUAAUGAACCACAAGUGACGAGUUUGUCUCUAGCCAAAUAUGUGUCCAUUGAUUUGCCGAAUCGAUCUUUAAGGCUUCAAUAACUGCUAACACCUCUGCAUCAAUAGGACUACGAACAUCCAUUUUCUUAGCAAAAGCCUCUAGAAAAAGACCGUCAUGAUUUCUGAAGAUACCUCCAAAGCUCGCUGUACUAGAAUCACGAAAAGAUUCAUCUGUGUUAACUUUGAACCAGUUAAUAGGAGGAGAAACCCAUUGGACUGGGGUAUAUUUUGGAGCUCUCAACCUUAAAGAUUAAAGGCCAAGUACAUGAUACAUAGUUGGCACUCUUGUUGUUGUCAAGUAAAGAGUAAAGUGAAGUGAAGCAGAUUUCCUCAAAGAUAAUAAAAAAGAAUGUUUAAAUCUUGAGAAAUUAAAAACCACCUCAUCAAAUCCGACCUUAUUUCUUUCUAUCUAAAUGCACAAAAAAGCAUUGCAAAUUACAAAUCACCAUAACAAUCUUGUACUGGAGCCAUGUUUUCAACUAAAUUCGUUGAGAUGAGUUGCAAAGGAGAGGUACCCGGCAGAAGUUGCACUUGAAAAACACAAGCAAGCCAAUCCCAAAAAACUUUAAUGAUCGGGCACUCAAAGAAAAGAUGAUUGAGUGUCUCACCUUCAAUUCCACAGAUGGAGCACUUAGAACAUAAGAAUGUGCCCCUUCUUUGAAGAAUAUCGUCUAUUAGAAUUUUGUCAUGAAAAACUUUCCUAGCUAACCAAGCUCUUACGCGGUUGCACAGCUUUAUGCCAAAUCAAUUUGCUCCAAUUUACAACCGGCCGGGUUGGGGGGGGGGGGGGAGAAGAAAAAAGAAAAGCAUCUUGAGUAGUAAGCUGCCGAGACGGAUUGUCAGGCCAAACUACCUGAUCUUUGGAGUCAUCUAAAGGUAACUGAACCAUGGUUAUCCUAGUUGCAAUAUCUAGAAAAAAAAAAUUAAAAAAGGAGAUAAUGACUAUUGUUUAUUAUUCAAAACACCAUUAACUUUAACCGGCAUGAAUGAUUUGGAAACUGAAGAGAUUGUAUGGAGACUUGAAAUGGGAGUUCCAAGGAGAAAUUUUUAGAUGCUACAGGAGAACCACAUGACAGUAUGACGUGGUUCUACAUUCCAAUCAAAUAUUGACAUGUGGAUUUAUUACAACUAAAAUAUAAAUUAAUAUUUUCUAUUUUUUGUGAAAUGACCUUCAUGGGUCUUUGUUGAGUUUGGACUAGGGUUUAGGGUUUAGGGUUUAGGGUUUGGGGUUAGGGUUUAGGGAUUAGGGUCUAGGGUUUAGUGUUUAUAGUUUAGGGUUUAAAAAGCAACAACAGACCCAAAAUUGUCUUUGAUAAAAUAGCUAAUGUAAUUUUUUCAUAAUAAAAUCUAGGGUUUAGGGUUUAAAAGCAGAGCCCUAGAAGCAGAGCCUAAUUCAACACAAUUAUAUAUACUUUAAACCCAAACCACCUUAAUUCAACGGGAGACAAUAAGUGUCACAUGCAACAAGCGCAGAACCCCGCUUCAAUGGAUCUCCAGACCAGAAAAAAUUACGAGUCCAAAGUUGCACUUUCAGCAGAAUAGAGCGCGAUCAAGCGUACCCUUGGAAACUGUGAAUAAGCUAACUCUGUAUAACUGAAGAGAUCAACUACAGUCUUGCGGCCUGAGACACCUUUCCAAGAAGACAAUUUACAUAUGAUUUUAUCAGCUAUAGCUUGAAAAUGUACAGAUUUUCGGCAUCCUUGAAAUAUAGGAACCUUAAGGUAUAUGAAUGGAAGGGGAGCUUCACGAAUGCCUAAGACAUUUUGAAUAGCCACCUUAUGCCUUUGAGCAUAUUUACCCCAAAAAAAAAAAUAUAUUUUACCUUAUUCACCACCUGACCAAAAUUUCGGCCAUAUUCAUUCAUAAAAUUCAUCAAAGCAUGUAGGCUACGAGGACUACUUUGCAUAAAAAUUAUUACAUCAUCUGCAAAUAAAACAUGAGAUGGGGGAGUCACCCUCGCAGGGGCCGCAAUCCGAGUGACUUUACCUUUGGAAACCAGCUUGGAUAACCCCCUGCUCAACACUUCUUCAGCUAAGCAGAAAAGUAAUGGGGAUAACGGGUCACCUUGAUGAACCCCUCUAAAGCAUUGAAAGAACCCAUAAGACUGACCAUUUACUUGAAUUGAUAGCCAUACCGAAUGAAGAACAUUUUUAAUCCAAGUAACAAAAACCAGAUCAAACCCAAAAGUCGCUAAGACACGAAGAAGAAAGUUCCAAUCUAAUGUAUAUCCAAGGCUUUGCUGAUAUCUAAUUUUAUGGCAAUGUUACCUCAUGAGUUGCUUUUGGCUAGAAGAUUCACACAUUCAGAUGUAAGAAUAGUUGGGUCAGUGAUUGAAUGACCCUUGAUGAAUCCACUUUGAUUAGCCCAAACAAUACGAGAGGCAAUUAAUCCAAGUCUGUCAGCAAGAUGCGAGAUUAUCUUGAAGACAAAAUUAGCUAAUGCAAUCGGUCUGAAAUCUGAGAUACUAUCGGCUUCCUCUUUCUUUGGAAUAUAGGUGACUAGGUUGGAAUUAAAGUGCGACAAGUGAUGGAAUUCUUGCAAGUAUACAAGGUGGAUGUAGUAUAGUGAAUGGAAGAAAAGGGGUUGUUGUUCCCACAAGCAUCUUAGUUCAAUUCAAAUUUUGAAAUACCUAAACUAACUAUACUAAAACACAAGAUCACGAUAACAAUUUAAAGAAAUAAACAAACAAGAAAUAAGUAAACAAACAAUUAUGAAUGAAUCUAGGAUGUCAGAAUCAACCACUAACAAUCGUAUUCAUGCUUUAAUGUAACUAACCAACUCUUUCGUUUCUCUAGAUGACAAUUCUCGUAUCUAAGUCCUUCUCAGGUACUCUAGACCAUAAUUUUCCUCAAGUGUAUAAUGCUCUCCCUCUCGGGUAAAGGUCAUAUAUCCUAGCUAUGUAGUAUAUCCUUCUCAAGUAUAAAUUUAACAUGCAGGACUAGUUACGUACUAGAAAAUAAGGGAAUCAAACAAACCAUUAUUCUUUCUCAAGCAACAAUGUAAUUCACCACGCUUAACCACAAGAAGCUAUAUAAAUUAUAUUGCAUCUCUGCUUCAAAUUUAUCUUCCAAUUACUAAAUGCGAAGCCCUAAGGUGAUCAAUCAAAGAACUUAAACAUAAAGCAUAAAAUCAAACAGUGAUUAAGCAUUCAUCAUUAAGAAACUAUAAAUCUAUUAAUUAAUAAUCAAAGACAUAAACAGUCAUGUUAGGGAAUCAUCCUAACCCUAGAAAAGAUUUAACAAAAAAUAACUAAGUAAAACAUAACGAAAACAUAAAAAGAACGAAAAGGUGAAGGGUGGAUGGAUGGAUGGUCUCUGCUCCUUUAGGUGUUUUCAAUGUGCUCUCGAGACCUCCCUCAGUGUGAAAUUCGUGCUCCCUUAAAUAGAGAAGUUUUCUGCUCAUCUUUGACUUCAAUUUUCGUUGUAAGACUUGGAUUCAGACUCCUUUCUUGAUAUGGAAUAGGAAAACCUUGAGAUAUCUCUUGUAGAACUAUGAAUACAUGUACUCCUUGAAUCCUCAUCUGCAUUAUUGUCCUUGAAGCUUUAGGGUUGAUGGUCUUGUGCCAUGGAACUUGAGCUCUCCACAAAUGUCUGAAAAUCCGAGCAAAUUUUCUGAUAUGACUUUUCUUCACUCAAACAAUCAUAACUCAGUCUAGAAAUAUAAAAAUCAAGAUCUAUAAAAUUCUACAGAAAGUAGACAACUGUAGCUUUCCAAUGAUGUAAGCUUCAUAGUCUGAUUCAAUCCAAGUAAUUCCCAGUAAUUCGGCAAAGCUAGCUGUUCUGCAUAGACAGAUUCUGGCACUUGGGAUUGCAGUCGCCUUUCAAUCCUUAUUUGCGCAUUUUAGCUCAUUUUCUUCUCUCUCUAUAACACAAACCUCUAAAAGCACUAAAUUAACGUAGAUAAGUCAUAAUGAAGAGAACUAAACACAAAUCUCAAGCAUAAGAGGCUUAAAAAUAUAGGAUAAUAUGAGCACAUCAAAUGCGCCCACACUUAAACUUCGCUAGUCCUCGAACAAAACUAUGAAUAACUAAAAAUACAAACACACAUGUCAAAGAAGAACACACUAAAAACACUAAGCACAUUAAACACACUAAGCCUUUCAACGAUAGUCUUCAAAAAUCUCUUACUUUCAUGUACAAAAGAAUAGCAUGUAACAAAGACUUAGUCUUAUAAUCAUUCGAGAGUUAAAUAAAACAUAUACCUAACACAUCACAUGUAGGACUUGGGGGCAACAAUGAUGAUUGGUCGGAGCUUAACAUGUUUUAGACAAGUAAUGAAUCAACCUCACAAUGGAUGCACUCUAUUUUUUUUCUCAGAAUCAAGGCUCAUGCUUAAAAGCUUAUUCACUCAUAUGCAUAUGUGAGAGAAGAUAUACAAAAACAAAUAGCUCACAUAUUAAGAAAGAAAAACACUUUGUGAAAAAGAAAGAUCUCAUGAAGGAUAUUAAUUACUCGCACAAAUGGACCUAAACCAUAUGCUUACUCUUGUAACGCAUCUCCACAUAUCAAAGGCUGCUUAUCUUAAGGAUCAUAAAGGACUUUAUCAAGGUUAUAAUUGGGCCAUGGCUAAGGUUUAAAGAACAAAAAGAUAUGAAAUAACAAAGCAUCCUAAAAAUCGAGUAGAGUCAUAAGAUCACCUUAAAACACUCAUGAAAAAGGACAAAGACCAUAUAUAACAUUNNNNNNNNNNNNNNNNNNNNNNNNNNNNNNNNNNNNNNNNNNNNNNNNNNNNNNNNNNNNNNNNNNNNNNNNNNNNNNNNNNNNNNNNNNNNNNNNNNNNNNNNNNNNNNNNNNNNNNNNNNNNNNNNNNNNNNNNNNNNNNNNNNNNNNNNNNNNNNNNNNNNNNNNNNNNNNNNNNNNNNNNNNNNNNNNNNNNNNNNNNNNNNNNNNNNNNNNNNNNNNNNNNNNNNNNNNNNNNNNNNNNNNNNNNNNNNNNNNNNNNNNNNNNNNNNNNNNNNNNNNNNNNNNNNNNNNNNNNNNNNNNNNNNNNNNNNNNNNNNNNNNNNNNNNNNNNNNNNNNNNNNNNNNNNNNNNNNNNNNNNNNNNNNNNNNNNNNNNNNNNNNNNNNNNNAACACUUCUCUUUUUUUUUCUUUUUUUUCAUGGACAAGUCUAUCCCACCCCCACACUUGAUUUUCAUCAACUCCUUCUUUUUGAACAAGUACAAAUCACCAAAGUAUAGCUCUACUAGAUCUUUAGAACAAAGGGUAAGGAUUUAACUAUACUAGGCUUCAUAGGUAAAGGAUAAUAUGGGUGAUGAAACAAAAGGCUAAACUUGUAGGCUCAAAGGGGUUAUCUAAGGGGUGUAUAAUUAGGGACACAUGACAAUUUGACAAUGGUGGAAAUCCUAAGUCCUUUUAAUCCUUUCUGAAAUCAAAGCAUGUAUUGACUAAAAGUUUCAAAUAGCAUAAAAGUGAGUUCUAGUAUAAUUCUCUAGUCCAUUAAAAUAUUUGGCGAAUAAUCAAUCGAAAUGAAGAAUAAUAUACAUGAGAUCAAAAAUUCAAGCCAAAAGAUAAGAAUAUAUUUUUUCAUUUAACACUCAGAAAGAAAGACACAUAUAGGGUCAAAUUCUCACAAGGGUAAUUUUUGAAACAAAACUUAUCCUAGCAUGCUCAUAUUUUGUACCAUGUUAGCAAGGCCAUAUCCACUACACAUUAUAUGCCACAUAUAUAUCCUAUUUAACCAAAGAAUAAUAUUGAACAAGUCUCGAUAGCAUGAUCAUCUUUAAACACGAUUUCAAAGAUAUAGAACAAUAGUUGUUGAAAGACAUAUAUCCUAAGACUCAAGAAAACAAAGAAAACAUAAUUAUUUUUUUUCUAAGUUUCAGAACGAACAUACAAAACUAACAACCUAAAAGAAAGAGAAAUCAAUGUCCCUUCCCCCACACUUAGAGGUAACAUUGCCCUCAAUGUUGAAAGAAUUAAAGCAUGCAAUGCACAUAAAAGCAUGGAAGAGAGAUGCGAAAAAUAAAAGCACGAAAGCAAAGAGAAGAGUUUAGAGCUCCUUGGGAUUUAGUGAAGAAUAGCAUCAAGCGAAUGUUGAAGUCAAAAACAUCGCUAAAGUUGUCAUAAAAAUUUGAUCCUCGAGUUGGAUAGUGCAGACGACUGAAUUCGGUCGAAAUUUGUCAGGGCUCAUUGCAAAGCAACGAGUCUUGUAGAUCUCGUCAUUCCACUCAAAAUCGACAUAUUGCACACUCGAAACGGACACUUCUGCUGAAAGUUAUCGUCACACGAAUUUCACAGUCAAAACAGUUGUAUAACACACAAGAAACAUAAAAACUAGACUGAUUUCUUAAACACACUUUUGACACAAAAAUGACACAAAAUUCUAAAACUAAUUCACACUGAAUAAACUAGAAUUAGAAUAGGAAUCCAGAAUUUAAAUGAAACUAAAUAAUCCCUGGCAAUGGCACCAAAAACUUGAUGAAAUUCCUGCAAGUAUACAGGGUGGAUGUAGUAUAGUGAAUGGAAUAGAAGGGGUUGUCGUUCCCACGAGGAUAUUAGUUCAAUUCAAAUUAUGAAAUACCUAAACUAACUACACUAAAACAUAAGAUCACGAUAAAAAUUUAAAAAGACAAACAAACAAUAAAAUAAGUAAAUAAACAAUGAUGAAUGAAUCUAGGAUGUCAGAAUCAACCACUAACAAUUGUAUUCAUGCUUUAAUGUAACUAACCGACUCUUUCGUUUCUCUAGAUGACAAUUCCCGUAUAUAAGUCCUUUUCAGGUACUCUAGACCAUAAUUUUCCUCAAGUGUAUGAUGCUCUCCCUCUCGGGUAAAAGUCAUAUAUCCUAGCUAUGCAAUAUAUCCUUCUUAGGUAUAAAUUUAACAUGCAUGACUCAUUACGUACUAAAAAAUAAGGGAAUCAAGCAAACCAUUAUUCUUUCUCAAGCAACAAUGUAAUUCACCACACUUAACCACAAAAAGCUAUAUAAAUUAUAUUGCAUCUCUGCUUCAAAUUUAUCUUCCAAUUACUAAAUGUAAAGCCCUAAGGUGAUCAAUCAAAGAACUUAAACAUAAAGCAUAAAAUCAAACAGUGAUUAAGCAUUAAUCAUUAAGAAACUAUAAAUCUAUUAAUUAAUCAUCAAAGACAUAAACAGUCAUGUUAGGGAAUCAUCCUAACCCUAGAAAAAGGUUUAACAAAAAAUAACUAAGUAAAACAUAACGAAAACAUAAAAAGAACGAAAAGGUGAAGGGUGGAUGGAUGGAUGGUCUCUGCUCCUUUAGGUGUCUUCAAUAUGCUCUCGAGACCUCCCUUAGUGUGAUAUUCAUGCUCGCUUAAAUAGAGAAGUUUUCUGCUCAUCUUUGACUUCAAUUUUCGUUGUAAGACUUGGAUUCAGACUCCUUUCUUAAUAUGGAAUUGGAAAACCUUGAGAUAUCUCUUGUAGAACUAGGAAUACGUGUACUCCUUGAAUCCUCAUCUACAUUAUUGUCCUUGAAGCUUUAGGGUUGAUGGUCUUGUGCCAUGGAACUUGAGUUCUCCACAAAUGUCUGCAAAUCCGAGCAGAUUUUCUGAUAUGACCUUUCUUCACUCAAACGAUCAUAACUCAGUCUAGAAGUAUAAAAAUCAAGAUCCGUAAAAUUCUACAGAAAGUAGACAUCUGUAGCUUUCCAAUGAUGUAAGGCUCAUAGUCUAAUUCGAUCCGAGAAAUUCCCAGUAAUUCGGCAAAGCUAGCUGUUCUUGUCACACCCCAAUUUUCGAAGGAUAAAUUUCACAAAUUUGGGCAUGAUAUAACUCAAAAAUAAGACUUCAAUACCUGCUCAACAAUCCCAAACUAAACCCAAAAGCUGAAAAAAUAAAUAUCAACAAAACUCAUCACUGAGUUAUACAUUACAUCUCCUUAAUUACAUUAACUUCAAAAGUCUAGGAAAAUCAGGACGCUCAAAUGCGCUUAAAAACAAACUGAAAAUUAUACAAUAAAAUGUACUUCAUCUAAUACCCAGCUACUAUGUUUCUGCCUCAACCCUGCUGAUCAUCACCUGCAGGUCUAACCCCUACACCAUGAAUUGGUGCACCGGGUUGUAAACAACAAACCCGGUAAGCUAAAAAGCUCGUGUGAGUAAUUCUCAAAAUUUACUCAACAUCUCCAACACCACAUAAGAUAAAACCGGUAAUUUCUGUUUUAGAACUUAGUUCAGGAAUCACCUCACAACAAUAAAAAAAUCAAAAGUGAGUAAAUAAGAAAACUCAACAAUCCACAACAAUCAAAAUCAUAAGUGAAUCCUGCAAAAAGGAUAGUUCAGGAAAUUCACUAAAAAUCAUACAAUUACGAUUAAAGAAUCUCCUGCAUUAAGCAUAGUUCAGGAGAUAUUCAAAUAAAGAAUUAAAUGACAACAAUUAAGAAAAUGUUAAAACCACAUAACUAAUACUUUUACAAAUACACAUGUACCCAUGAGUCUCAGAUACCAAUAAGGUAUCUCCCAUGACCUACAACAAACACAUGUACCCAUGAGUCCCAGAUAUUAAUAAAUACCUCUCAUGACCUACAACAACAAUUUAUGUACCCAUGGAUCCCAGAUUACCUUCAGGUACCUCCCAUGACCUACACCGACAGACGGACUAGAGCUCUAUUCCUAACCGUAACCAAUCACCCGGCCAAAGGCUUGGAACCCCGGUUUGACUGUCCAAUAUCACAUUACAAAAUAAUAAUAGCGUCAUGACCGUAACUAAUCACCCGAUUAAAGGCUUGGAACCCAGUUUGACUAUCUACACAACAAAUCACAAAAGAGUAGAAUCAUCAUAACCGCAACCAAUCACCUUAUUAAAGGCUUGGAACCCGGUUUGACUAUCUAACUUGUUUUAUCUUACUUAUGAGCUGUCGACGAUCAAGCUCAUUUAUUUUUAAAAACAAACAAUAACGUAUACUUAAAUUCAACAUCAUUAACAUCAUCAUCAUCAUCAUCACCAUCAUCAAAAUCAUUAUCAUAGCAACCACAAUUAUUUAAAAGCAUAACAUUUAAAUCAUCAUCAUAUUUUUAAUUUAACAUCAUCAACAACACAAAGAGCACAUCAUAAAAUUAUAUCCUUCCACAUAGAUAUAAUUAUAUGAAUAAAUCUAGAUAUUUCCACAAGAAAUAAUCUAUCAAUCACCAAUAAAAUUAUGAUCACAAGGAACUUAAAAUAAUCAUAUAAGGAAAACUUGUUUUAACUUACCUAUGAGCCGUUGGCGAUCAAGCUCAUUAUUUUAAAACAAACCAAAAAACAUAAUUUUUUUAAAUUAAAAUCAUCAUAAUAAUUAUCAUCAUAAUUAUUAUCAUCAUCAUCAACACAAUAAUCAUUCUCAUCAUGAUCAACAUUUUCACCAAUCAUAAUCAUCAAAAUAACCAUAAAUAAAUAGGUCACAAAGUGAACCUUAGUGAGAUGUUACUCACCUAAUAAGCCCACUGAAAUUUCCACAACAACAAGAGCAAGCCAAAACACCACCUCACAAAUCACCUAAAACACAAUUAAAACCUUAGUAACUAAAAUACUAUAGGUUAUCACAAAACCCUCAACUAACCCUUAGAUCAAGGGAGGACAACUUUCCAAAGUCGUCGAACUUAGAGACCCAAAAAAUGGCUGCCUCAAAUCCUCAAAUCCUAACUCAACCCUCAACCAAACCUACUAACUACUUAAAGUCCUAUCAUGUAAACCUUGCGCACAACCUAGGAAAUCUACAUCUCAAUAAGCUCACCACAACAAGAGCUAGCCAAAACACAGCAGCCUAAGCCACAAACCCUACCGGAAGCGCUGCCACGCGCCGCCACAGGAGGCGGCAAGUGGGCCCCACGCGCCACCAAAAACUUUCGAAUUAGAGAAAACUCUCAACAGCAAAGUUGAAGCUUGAAGCAAGGGGAACAACUUUCAUACCUGAGGCUUCAACCAAUUUUGGCCGGAACCGGCCGGAAACUGCCCCGAAACCCUAACCCGGAAUCACACCUCAAACCUGCAAAACCGGCCUCAAAACCUCAAAAACUUGCUUCAAUCUUUGCCUAGACACUACCAGGAGGAGGAGAGGACCAAAACUCACCUAGGGUUGCCCCUCGUUGCCGCCGCAAACGGCGGUUCCGAUCGGUGACACAGCCGUGCUCUUCUCCGGCCAAGAGCUCUGUCUCUAGCUUGCUACGCCGUGUCACACCAGCCUAGAAUUGAAGGGGGCAUCCGUGUGAGUCGAACGGGACCGGCGGCGUCCCGAUUGGUGGCCGGAACAAGAAGAACUCUGGUGAGACCGCUGCAGCUCCGCCGCUUCGUGGCGGCGUCUAGACGGCGAGGCGGCGAGCGGGACUGCUCCAGAAAUGGAGAGGAUGUCUGCAGGAGUCGAACGGGACCGGCGGCGGUCCAAAUGGUGGCCGGACGGAGGAGAACCGAUCUAGAGAAGUUUGCGUGCGGGAGGAGGUCGGGAGAGAGGAGAGAGAAAGUGAGGCUGCUAGGUUUCCAAAAAUAAAACCCACCACUUUCUAUUUAUAUACCUUCCAAAAUCGGAAACUAACUUCCUCUGACCGUAACUUUUUCAUACGACCUCCGUUUCAAGCGUGCUGCAUGUCUACGAACUCGUAUCGAUAAACUCUACAACUUUCAUGAAGGAAGUUUUCGAAGAUAACUUAUGAAAAAUAAAGUCAACUUUUAGCCUCUUAAAAGUCAGCCAAAAAGUCAACCGAAUAAAAAUAAAAGAAACUAGCAUCUAAAAAUUCCGGGGUAUUACAGUUCUGCAUAGACAGAUUUUGGCACUUGGGAUUGCAGUCACCUUUCAAUCCUUAUUUGCGCAUUUUAGCUCAUUUUCUUCUCUCUAUAACACAAACCUACAAAAGCAUGAAAUUAACGUAAAUAAGUCAUAAUGAAGAGAACUAAACACAAAUCUCAAGCAUAAGAGGCUUAAAAUUAUAAGAUAAUAUGAGCACAUCAGCAAGAUAUAUCCAUUGUCAAAGAAGCUAGUGACUGCUGCAACCACAUCUUCAGCUACCACCGGCCAACAAGUCUGAUAAAAUGAUCCACCAAACCCUUCAGGACCAGGCGCGCUACUCCCAUCAAGAUUCAUAACAGCUCUAUGAAUUUCUUGUGCAGUAGGCUUUGCAAUAAGACACUCAUUCUCCUCAUCUGUCACAAGUGAAGGAAUAAUCCGCUGCACUAAACCCGUAUCAACAAUAUUUGCAUCUCUGGUAAAUAAAUUAGUGAAAUGUUGCACCACAUGUGAAGCAAUCUGAUCAUGCCUAUAAAUUCUCUAUUGUCCCACUCUAAUAAAAACUAAAGGUUUAUGAACCCGCUGAAUUUUCACCAUAUUAUGCAAGAAAGUGGUGUUCAUGUCUCCCUCCACCAACCAACGGACCCUAGAUUUACUUCUUAAGAAGGAUUCCUGCAUUGAUAAAGCAUUAUGAUACACCACCAUAGCCUCAUCCUCACGUCUAAGAAGAUCAUCUGAUGACCCCAAAUCUGAAAUUUCUUGUUGCAAACCAUCUAAUUCCUUUUGUGCAGUCCUGACUCGAAUAUUAAUAUCCCAAAAAAAAUUAACAUUCCAUAAUUUCAAAUACGCCUUCAGAGAUUUCAAUUUAGCAGCUAAAACAAGAUGAAAUGAUAGGACUUCUACAUCAGUUAAAUCAGUACAUAUACUUGAAGUCAUAUUCCAACAAUUAAAGAAUGUGAAGGAUUGAUGAUACAAUUCAAUUUAAUUAACUUAAGAUUUCUGGCCAAAACCUGAAAACAAAUCAAAAUUGAAAGUUCUGAUAUCUUCAUUAAUAAAACUUCUCAUAAUAUGAGUGAACUGUGGGCGUCAGAAAAUUAUAUUUCUUAUACUCUGCUCUCAAGGGAUGCCAAUCGAAUGGAUCCAAUAUGUUAAAGGGUUGACUAAAGAGAUAGAUUAAUCAUCGAAAGGAAAGAGAUUAAAGCCUAAACUAAAAACCAUCAUGAUGGAUACCAAACCUAGUUGAUUGGAGAUCCUUAGAUCUAGGUUCAAAGGAACAACUAAAUUGUGUGUGGCUUAUAACACUAAGUGGAGAUACUUCUCCUACUCACUCAUAAGUCUGAUGAGAUAAUAUUGUUUGCAUUGUGUAGGAUAAAAAAAAUAUUUUUAAUGACUUCCAAAACUUGGAAUAAGUACAGUAUAGUAAGAUAUCGUGGAAAGGAAACUCACCUAUAUUAGUUUGAAAUGAGGUCGUUUCUAUGAGAAUUUGAGGCUUGAUUCUCUAAAGAACUAAUUAAUACCGGGUAUUGUCCAUGGCCGGAAAGACACAACCAUAGAACCAAAUGUGUUCUGUAAGAUGUUGUGUGAUUACUAUUGUCUCAGUUUGCAUAAACGGCUAAAUAGUUCAAGACAUCGUGUUCACUAUUUAGCUACUAAACUUGAUAGUAUAUUAGUUGGGAAGGUUCAAGGCCAAAAGCUACAUAUUUUCAUGUAAUGUUUUAUCUAUCAUACUCUCUACUAAUUAUACUCUCUCUUGCAUAUGCAUUAAUAUUCUUUUUUCUUCCAUUGCACAAUUUCCAUUCAUGUGGGGGAUUGUAGAAGUUUAACAAUAAGUAUUAACACCUUAUUCAAUGGAAACUACUUUUACUUAUUUGUAAUUAGGAAGUUAUUUUUAACAGUUCUGUUCAAAGAAUCCUAUUGGAAUAAGACGACAUUUCUUGAGGCAACUCUUAUGUUUGAGAAGAUAUGUUCUUUCAUGAACAGAUAUCUCACCUAUAUAAAGGGAAAUGUCAAUUCUCAUUCUAGUAUUCAUUCAUUUGCAAGAUCUUUGCGUUAGAGUUUCAUCAUAUCAUUCUAGUAAGUAUAGAGAGUACCACACAAUUUGAGUUCGUCUGUUUCUAGAUAGUAGCUUCUUCUAGAGAAUUUGAUCAUUGAAAUCCUAGGAAGCGUUUGCCAAUCAUCAAUCACCCUUCAAGCACCGACGAGGGGCAAUUUCGCUUUAAGUAAAUAGAUCCAAGUUCUAGCCUCGAUCGUUUACAACAAGUUUUUCUAACUUUCUAUUUGUUCUGGUUUUCAUAGUUAAGCAUCUUAGAUUUAUACGCAGCAAAACUCAAUAAUUUUUCCAACAUUAGGAUUGAUAAGUGAUUCAAUCAUACUUGGGAAUAACAUCUCCAAAAACAAAAAUAUAUUUUGUGGUAUUAAUCAUCUUGUUUACUCUUACUGGGAAGGCUUGGAGAAUGAUGAAUCUUACUAUUGUAUAUGUGCAUGAUAUUUUGCUAAAAACGGGUUAUAGAGAUUAAGAAGGUGAAGAAAAUAAAUAUAAUGAGGUACAUUUUAUCACUUGAACUUAUGACAUGUCUAUCUACUUAUUAAGAACAAGUUCUCAAAUAACAAUAUAUGAACAUUUUCUCUAGCCCACUGAUGGAUGGAGUUGUACGUCUAUUGCGCACGUCAAGUUGGCAUUAAAACCCAUGGGUAUGUAUUUAUUCUAUUGGGUAUAAAGGUUAUACACGAGUGAACUUUUAAUGAUGCUCCGGCUUUCGCGGUGCAUCGCCAAAAAGCGACACCUAGGUUUUGUACUAAGGGCAGCGGGCUUCACGCUCUAUCGACCAAGCAAGAUCAGAUAUGCUCUGGUUGCUGUUCAGGGAGGCGAUAGCUUUCCACACAACGGCGCUAGGAUCUCAUCUCUAAGGCUAGAAGACUGGUGUAGAUUAGAUCUGAAAGUAGAUGAACCAACGAUGGUUGAGGCUUCGUCGUCGUUUCGAGGCUGGGAUGGACUCCCAAUUGGAAUAGGUAAGGUGUUGGUUCUUGUGAAUGGAUUGGAGAUGGUGAUCUCUGUUGUGAUUUCACCCAAAGUUGAUGGAUCUUGGUGGCCGGAUAUGGCCAUCUCUAUUGUAUCAUAUGUGGUGGUGAUUCUUGGCAACACGUGGAUCAAGGCUAACAUGUGGAUGUCGCCAAAAACUGUGGAUAUUGAUCGAAAUUGGCAUAACAAGUUGAUUUCACCGUUGAUGGAGCUGGUUUAGCUGUGGACGGCAGCGGCCUUCAUGUCGGGAUAGAUCUCCAUUGCAACAAGUCUAAAGGUCAACCCUAGAUGGACUAGGUGGUGUGAGCUUCAAUUUUUUGGGAAAGUUGAAUUCGGGCUGAAAGCUAGUGGGUCAGAUGAGGCUUGUGUGCUCUUUCAAGGACUCACAUGACCUGCAUUUCUACAUGGGCCCAAGAAGAAAAGUGGGUGCCCUAUUGGCUCACAAAAAAAAAAAAAACUACCUAACUACCCACCAAGCCAUGAUCCAAAGGGAAAAAACAAAAGUCUAGAGUGUUAGAGAGCGAAUAGCUUGGCAGACUAUGCAAGCUAGCUGCAACUAGAUGGAUCCAUGAAGCUUGGAGUACCACAAUUGAGUGUCUUGGCUCCGGUUUUUAUGUUUCUUUGGUAUCUUGUUUUGUAUCUAGUUUAAUCUUCGGCUAAGCUCAUAAUAAGUGAGCUAAAUGUCUAAUGUAAUGACACUAUUGUGAUCAUUGUGGUCAUUGUAAUCUCGCCAUUCUGGCUUUCGUUUUUAUGAAUAAUUUAUUACUUUAAAAAAAAAUUCAAUUGGGUAAAAAAUUUGGGAUGGUUACCCAUCUUAAAAGUUUUAGGUGGGUAAUGUCCAUUUGAGAAUACAUAUGGAAACACAGGUGAGUAUAGUAAGGGAUAUUACACAUGAGUAACAUAAUUUACACAAUACCUGAUAUCAAACUAGUCGUUAUUACCCAAAACAGUUCUCUUAUUCUCUUCUCUACUGAUUCUCUGCUCUAUGGAGACGUCCCUUACCUCGCCUACCAAAACCCGAAUUCUUCAUCUAGUUCAAAAGGUUUAUAUUUGUGCUGGCGAUGUUGUUUCUGAGCUGCUUGAUCUGCUUGGAAAGCUCGGCGUGAUUCUCCGGAUUGAUUAUAAGAGCUCGAGCCAAAUCCAUGUUGAUCGCGCUCUCGACGGAUUUGUUGGUCUUCGUCUACGUCACUUCUCCUUCUUUCCGGACUGUGUGGGGCACCCUCUCUUCGUUUGUUGUGACCUAAUUUCAAAAUUGAGCUCCAAUUGAGAAAUUAAUUCUUAACAGUGUAUGGAUUACCUGAUUUACUUCAAAUUGAGUUUGUUUCAUAUCUCUAGAAAGAAUGGUGAUUUCUUUUCGGAGAUUGGGGAGGUCUUCGACGACGGAUUUGAGGAGGGCGAGCCAGCCAAUGACGGUUGCGGUUGUUUCGUUGAGGGAUUUGCAAAGAGAGAGGUAGUGGAUGAGGACGAAGAUCUUGCCUUUGGAGUAAAACGACAUCAUAUCUUACAAAUGGGUAAAUGGGUGUGGGUAUGGGUUUUAAUCAUUAAAAAUUGGGUGGAUAAUUACCCAUACCCAGUAUCUUGCAAAUGGGUAUUACCUAAUAUUUACCUACGGAUAUUACCCAAUGAGUAUAAAUGUCAUUCUUACGCACGUGUUACAAGGAAAGCUAGACUAUAGCUGCAGAUAUAUUGAAAAUUAGUUUACAACUACCAAAAGUAGUUUGUGAUAGACAAAUAUUGUACCUAAUGAGAGGAACCUCGAUUGAUCAGUAAGAACAAAAUGUAUCUCAAAUUCUUAGUCAUAAUUAACACAGUAAUAUUUAUGAUUCUUAUCAUAUAUGUUAUUUGGGACUUCACACUACGCCAAUAAGUGCAACAAAUGAUACUUUUCACAUAACGGUGUAGAAUAGCAGUGUUGUACAAAUUUCAAAAAUGCUUCAUACAACGUUCAUAAAUUGUUAACCGUUGUGUGGAUAGUCUGAGAUCAUUCUAGAUUUUUUUUUUUCCUUAAACCAGUAGAACACUUUGGACUAUAUUUUGUUGGGUGAAUGAAGAUAAAAAUGAGGCCCAUUUGGCUUAUAACCCCACUCUAGUUUGACAUAUAACUGGGUUUCAUUACACAACAAUGAAACAAAUAAAUGUUGUGUGAAUGUAUAAAAUUUAAACUAUCACACGAUACUUUUUGUACAUCUGUUGUACAAUAUAUCUCUCAUGCCAGGCUGCGGAAUUCUAGUUUUAAAAUUGCACUUACAUCCUCCGAAAGCCUAAAUUUUUUGUGAAAGAUAUCCUUGGUGGUUUUGAUGUAACAACGGAACAGUCAAACCUGUUGUGUGAGAGUAUAAUAUUUUUAGCAAUCACACAACGACUUUUCAGUUUUUGUUGUAUAAUGUAUUUUUGUGUCAUGAAGCCCAUCUCUCACAUUUGACAAUACUACUUUAAGUUCUUCAUCUAAUAACAAUCAACUAAGAAAUGUUGUGUGAAGGUAUAAUAUUACACAAUUGUUUUCAAUAUUACGUUGUAUGUAUCGUAACCCCUAACCCCUAAAAUACCCUAAACCUUAAAAAACCCUAAUAAAUUCCUAUUGUAGUGCCACAACAGUUUUUUUGUAAUACUGAUGUGUGACGUAAAAUUAAUAUUGUUGAAUUUAUGGUUGACCGAGUUGAUCGAUACCCAAACGUUGCCGAAAAUUUGUGAAUUUUGUUACACUACUAUACUUCACUAUCAUAAUUAUAUCAAACGGUCAAAUUUUCAUGAUUUUAAUCCUAAACAUGUAGAUCACAAUCAACCUACUAAUGAGGUAUAACAUGUUUACUAUGUUGCACAUAAUGUGACAUAACAUGUGUAGUACAUAUUAUAUAAAUGUGUGUUUAUCUAGAGAGACACCAUUGAGGAAAUGAAAUUUUGAAAAUCAAACCGUAUAGACAUGCAUGUUUAUGAUAUUGAAGCAUGAUUGUGGUACAAAUUUCAUCAAUUUUCGGUAUUACAUGAGUGUCGAUCAACGCGGUCAACUCUAAUUACACUUACUUUCACUAUGGAGAGCCAAACCAUCAUGAUAUAAUUGACACCAGUUUCCGAAAUGAGUUCAUGCAUAAUAACCAUUUGAGUAUACGAGUGUCGAUAAAAUCAAAAAAAUGUUUAGAGUAUUGCAUUUCGACGUGUUUUCGGAUGAUGAGCCUCUCAUAUUUAGACAACUCUUACAACUCUUAGUGCCUUUAUGCGUUGUGUGAAUGAAAACUAGGGUUAUUUUAAAGAGUGACUCGUUAGAAUGAAAAGUAGCCGUAAAUUUCCCGCCCUCUUGAUUAAGUGCAUGUCUCUAUUUUCUUUCUUCUCAGACAACACAAAAUAUGUAAUUUAUGUUGUCUGAUUUGUAAAAUGGAUAGGGAAAAAAAUUAAAGCUGAGAUGUAGCAGCAGGAAAUCUCCCGCUCUUGUAAUAUAAGGAUGUCAUUUCUUCUCAGACAACAAAAUAUACAAUUUACGUUGUGUGAUUUGUAAAAUGGAUAGGGAAAAAAUUAAGGCUAAGAUGUAGCAGCGGGAAAUCUCCCGCUCUUGCAAAUUAAGGAUGUCAUUUCUCAGACAACCAAAAUUUGGAGUUAUGUUAUAUGAUCUAGAAAACACUAACCUAAAGGCCGGACUUGACACUUAGACAAAAAAAAAAUCACUCAAAAUAAAUACCGCUCACGCACACACUUUCAACACACAAACACCUUCAACACACACACUCAAAAGUAUCGCUUUUUCUCAACCACGCGUGCUCUCACUUUAUCUCUUCUCUCUAGCUUCCUCAAUUUCUUCUCAAUCACUCCUCUCAAUUUCUUUCUCUCUGGAACUCAAUCACUCCUCCCUCAAUCGAGACUAAGCCACUGUCACUCGAUUAGGGUUCGUCGAUUUGGGGGUUCGUCCAUUUGGCGCCUCUGAUUUCUUCCAAUUUGGGUUUGAGGUUUGUACUCUUCUCCUUUCUCCGAUUAGGCUUCUACUAAGGGGUUUCUGGGUUGGUUUAGUUUGAGGUUAGUUUCGGGGUUGGGUUAGUUCGAUUUCUUCCUUUCUCCGAUUAGGCGAAGAGUAACAGAACGAUUGGUUAAAGUGGAAGGAUUGGGUUCUUCGAAACGACGUCGUUUUGGUCUAAACAGAGGAAAGGGGUCGGCUUUGUGUGAGUGCUGCUGUUGUGGGUUGGUUAAAGUCGAGUCCUUGGCGGGUUCAGGUUCGGGUUUGGGUGAGUCUGGGUUUGAGUUUAGCUACAAUGUGAAGAUAUUGAAGUGUUUGAGUGGGAUGAGAGAGGAGGAGAUAAGAGAAUUGGGUUUGUUGAUGAGAGGUGGUAUGAGGCAGUGUAGGAGGAUAGGGAGGGUUUAUGGGUUUUGGGGGAAUGAGGAAGAUGGGGUUUUGUAUUUGGUGUGUGAGAGAGGGAACGGGAGAGUUGAGGAGAAGUUGAGGAGUUUGAGGAAUGGGGGUGGUUUUGGGAGAGAUGGGUUGGGGGGUUUUGGUGUGAUUGGGAUGGGGGUCUGUGAGGCUGUGAUGGAGAUGCAUUUGGAGGGGUCUGUUGGUGGUGGUUUUGGUGCUUAUUGUUUCGGUUUUGAUGAUUUUGGUGGUGUUUUUGUGGACUUGAGGGAGGUGGUGGUGAUGGGGAGGAGGGUUUGGAGAGGUGUUGGUGGUAGGAAGAGAAUUAGUGGUGAAGAAAUUGGAGAGGUGUUUGGGGUACUAAGGGGUUUCGAGGUUGGUCUAGGUUGAGCUUAGUUUAUGGGUUUCUGGGUUGGUUUAGUUUAUGAGUUUAGUUUCUGAUGCUCAUUAUGGGAUUGCAGGUUUUCUGGAGAUAUUGGCUUUUGUCGGGUCGACUUUUGCUGCAUUUGUGGGUGUUGGCUUCAGCUUAAGGUAUUGCUGCAUUUGUCUAUGACUUAUGUUUCUGGAUUCUACGUAUUUUGAUGAUAUAUGUAUGUUUCAUUAUAAAGCAUGUUGAUAAAAGUAUGUUUCAUUAUGAAAUAUGUAUGUUGAUAAAAGUUGAGUUGUUGAGCAUCUAUUAUAAAGUAUGUUGAUAAAAGUUGUGUUUGUUGAUUUUUGAUUUUGCUCUACUUGAAUUUGAUGAUUUAUUAAUUCAUGGUAUCAUUGAUUUAAAUAAACUGAGUUGCUCGACAUGAGCUUUCUCAUCUUGGCUGCCUACUUCAAUUUUUCUUGUCAUGUUGGUAUUGGUAUUGGUAUUGUGAAUUAGAUGUUAUUUGAUGGGAUUGUUUUGUGGAUAUGUUAGUAUGAUAUAUAUGUAUAUAUUUAUAUAUGUAUGGUUGGUUAAGAAUUUCUAUAUGAUAUAGUUGUAAUUUUUUUUAGUUUAUUGUCAAUAAAAUGUAGAUGGCUAAGUCAUGGAUGCGAGCAAAUAGAAGGUCUAAUGAAUAUAGAUCUGGGGUGGAAGCGUUUAUUGAGUUUGCCUUGGUAAAUGCUAGGGACCCGUACCACAUUUGUUGUCCUUACACAAAGUGUGAGAAUGACAAGGAUUUUUUUGCCCAAGUGAUUAAGAUUCAUUUGUUUUUGAAUGGGAUUAACUUAGACUACGACAUAUGAGAUGAACAUGGGGAGGCUGUAGUUAAUUCGGAAUCAUAUUCAGAUAGGUAUAGUAAUGAGAUAGAUGAAGACAGUGAGACAGAUUCAAAUGGUUCAUCUAUUGUUGGGGGUCACAUAGAGGCAGAAUAUGAUGUGCAAUCAGAUAGUGAUAGGGAUGAAUAUCUUUCCGGUGAGUACACUGGUUUUAGGCAGUUUGUUGAUGAUGGCAACAAACCCUUGUAUCCUGGUUGCACUACGCACACAAGGAUGGCUGACAUUAUGAAGCUUUACAACAUCAAAACGAAGCAUAGUAUGAGUGAGUCUGCUUACUCAAACGUGUUGGCUGCCUUUGCCGAGUUUCUUCCCACAAGACUCAAUACCGGACACUCUUUCCGAGGCAAACAAGGUUUUGACCGCAUUGGGGAUGGACUACACUAAAAUAGAUGUAUGCCCUAAUGAUUGUAUUCUAUACAGAAAAGACUAUGAAGAAGAAACCAAGUGUCCUAGAUGUACAAAAUCUAGGUGGAAAUUAGACAGUAAUGACAAAGAGAGAGAAGGAGUACCUGCAAAAACCUUAUGGUACUUUCCUAUUAUUCCUACGUUCAAGAGAAUGUUUCAAUCACCUAAAACAUCAAAGAGCCUAACUUGGCAUGCCACAACCAAGAAAAAGGAUGGUUUUCUUCGCCAUCCAGCAUAUUCCACUUCUUGGCAGUUAGUGGAUGAAAAGUGGCGUGCUUUUGGGGAUGAACCACGAAACCUAUGACUUGCAUUGUCAUCGGAUGGUUUCAAUCCUUAUAGUGUCCAAAGCAGCAGUUACAACUGCUCGCCCGUUAUUCUGGUUACCUACAAUCUACCGCCAUGGCUGGUAAUGAAGAGGAAGCACAUGAUGCUUUCCUUGUUGAUAUCAGGGCCUAAACAACCGGAGAAUGACAUAGAUGUGUAUCUUGAACUGUUGAUAGAUGACCUGAAGCUAUUAUGGGCAGGAGUUAGUGGGGUUUAUGAUGCAGUGAAGAAUGAAAUCUUUACUCUUUGGGCUGUACUUUUCUGGACAAUAAAUGAUUUUCUGGUGUACGGUAACCUUUCGGGGAGUAUUGUUAAAGGUUAUAAUGGUUGUCUGAUUUGCCUUGAUCAAACAGAACCCACAAGGCUAAAAAACGGAAGGAAGAUGUCCCACAACAAUAAUAGGAGAUUCUUAAAGAAGUAUCGUCCAUAUUGAAAACUGAAAGCUGCCUUCAAUAACCGCACCGAAGAUAGGACUGCUCCGGUGCCCUUGAUAGGAGAGGAACUUUUGAGAAGGCUGGAGGAGGAAGUUCCUAAAUUGCCUUUGGGCAAGAAAGAUAAAACUCCUAUUUAUAAGGGGGUGAGGAUGAGAUAAGGCCUUGUUGAAAGAAAAAGUCCAUAUUCUUUGAGGUUGAUUAUUGGAAGUAUCUCUCUGUUAGGCACUGCCUUGACGUUAUGCACAUUGAAAAGAAUGUGUGUGAUAAUCUAUUGGGGAUGUUAUUGAACAUUCCCGGAAAAACUAAGGACGGACUCAAUACUCGGUUAGAUUUGGUGGAACUUGGUAUAAGACCAGAGCUGCACCCUAACCUAGACGGUCCGGAAAAAAAAACAGUUGCCUCUAGCAAGCUAGAACCUAAGAGUUGAUGAGAAAAAAUGUGUCUGUGGUUAUUUUUUUGGAAUGAAAGUUCUUGAAAACUAUUCUUCGAACAUUUCCAGUCUUGUUUCCAUGGAUGAUCUAAGGCUCACGCAACUUAAAUCCCAUGACUGUCAUGCCUUAAUGCAACAACUACUCCUUGUUGCAAUACGAGGAGCGUUGGAAAAACCUGUCAGAGUUGCUAUAAUUAAGCUUUGCCGUUUUUUCAAUGAAAUUUGUAGAAAAACCAUAGAUCCAACAAGGCUUCCUAAAAUCCAAAGUGAUCUAGUUGAAACUUUGUGUGAGCUUGAAAUAUAUUUUCCCCCUUCAUUCUUCGACAUAAUGGUCCACUUAACUAUACACUUGGUUAGAGAAGUUGAGUUAUGCGGACCUGUAUGUUUUCGGUGGAUGUAUCCUUUCAAAAAGUAUAUGAAGGUGUGCAAGGGAUAUGUUAAAAACAGAACCUAUCCGGAAGGGUGCAUGGCUGAGCGGUGCAUUGCUAAAGAGGCAAUUGAGCUCAUAGAGGAAAAUUACUUCGACGACACUACUGUUGGGAUUCCACCUGACCCCAACACGGAUGACAGGCCUACAUCGGGUGCUACUGUUGAGUCUCAUUUUGGCAAAGAUUUGGAUGAAGCUUAUGUGUGCUUCAAAACACCGAUGAAUUCAAAGGCUAUUUUCUGUAAGUCCAUGUCGUCUUUCCCUUUUUUCUCUUUUUUUUUUCAGUUUUGAUUUUUUUGUCCUUUGAAUUGUCAUGGUAAUAUUUAUCUGCAAAUUUUUUGCAGGGAACACAUGGAGUAUUUGAAGAGGGAGUUUCCACAAUACAAAAAGAAAUCUGCUAAGUGGCUGGUUGACAAACAAAACCUUACUUUUGCUGAUUGGGUGAAGGAGAGGGUAAGUUUAUUAACCUCCAAUUUGUUUUAAGGUUUAGAUUACCAUGUUCAGUGUUCAAUAUUUUGUUAUAAACAUCUGUCUACAUUUGCAGGUUGCUAUUCAGCUUAGUGAACCCGAUUGUGAUGCCCUGAGAUUGUGAAGUGGCUGGCAGAUAAACUAGGGAAUGAAGUAUCAAAGUUUCAUGGUUAUAGAGUAGGGGGUGUGCAAUUUAACACAAAGUCACGAGAUGAUCUUCGUAAGACACAAAGUAGUGGGGUUUACUUGGUGGCAGAGACACCUCAAGUUGCUAGUUCUAAGGAUAAAAACAUAGUUACUGAGGACAUGAGCUUCACGGGGUUAUUACCGAAAUAUGGGAGCUUGAUUAUGUUUUUUUCAGGUUUCCUUUAUGUAAGUGUGACUGGGUUGAGAGUCAUAAGGGUGUUAAAGUAGAUGAUCUUGGUUUCACUUUGGUGAACUUAAAUAGGAAAGGUCAUUUGCAAGACACUUUUGUUUUGGGAAGAUGUGUAGAGCAGAUAUUUUAUGUGGAAGACCCUGUAGAUUGUAUGUGGUCCGUUGUAUUGAGACUCCCCAAGAAUGAUUACAAUGAUCGUGAGUCUUUUGAUAAGGUUGGGGACACUACUAUUCAGCACCCUCCUUCGUCGACUACAAUGCCCACUAUACAGUUAGUAGAGAACUUGGCUGAUGAGGAUGUUUUGUGUUACAUGCGUGCAAGAGAGGAAAGUAUAUAUAUUAGUGAUGGAGAAUGAAGAGGAUAUUUUCACGGUGUUGAGUCUUACUGUUUUGAUUAUGUAAUUAGUAACUUAAAUUGUUAUAUUUUGGAUGAUAGUGAUAUAUGAUGGUUGGUUAUUUUAAUUAAUGCUCAUCUGUUUUGAUUAUUUUCUUAGUUGAAUGUUUUUUUUUAUGGAGAUUUAUUUUAUUGAUUCUAAUAAAGUGUGUAAUGAGUUACUUAUGAUUAGUGCUUUGAAUAAGAUUGCGAGGAACUUUGCAGUCGCUCAAUCACGCAAGAAGAAGAAAUUGGAAUCAGUUGAUGCCCUUGAGGAAAAGAAGGAUUUUGAGUCAGUUGAAUACCCUGAGAAAAACAAGGCUUCUAAGUCUAUUAAUGUCCCUGAGAAAAAGAAGUGGACUUAUAGGGUUGGAGACCCUGAGAUUGAUUGCAAGUUGGUUGUGGGUUCAAUGGAUAACAUUGUUGCUCAUGCCACAAUAAUGGAAUCAGGUGAUGAUCCUGAGGCAGUCAUUCAUGGAAGACCGUUAGGGGAUGACAAUAGGUGUGUUUCUGUUUACUAUGCGAUUGAUGAAAAAGCGAAGGUCCCCUUUCCUGUUGAAGAUGAAAUUGUUACUGUUAAGCAUGCAAUGGGGAGUUGGGUAGCCUGGCCUAAGGACUUGAUCAUAUUGCCAAAUGAGGUAAAAGUUUAGUACAACUAUUUAUACUUUGAACUUGACUUGUUUAAUAAAUAUUAGUAUUUCCUUGAUUGUAGUAAUCAUACAUUAUAUUUAUCUUCUUAUUCUAGAAACCAGGGAUGGAUAAAGUCUCCAAGAAGAAGAGAAAACGUCCAGAACUAGCGGUCCAAAUGGAGGAGGCUGAUGUGACCUUGGCAGAACUUGCACCUAUAUUAUCUAGAUCAUAUGAGACGCUAUGUACUGCAUUCAAGGAUGGUCGAGAACUCAAUUCCAACAUUGAACCUGAAAUAUUUGGAUAUAUUUGCAGCAACUAUAUUACCGAAAAGGAUGUUGUGGUUAUUGCAACCAUGAAAAAAGUCACUGGAAACUUGAUUGCUUCUUACCAGAGGUAUAAAUUAUGCAAUAUCAUAUUUUGCUUGUGAUUUUAUCGUAAUUCUCUUGAUAAGUAGGCUUUGCUGAAAGAUAAUGUGCUGGUAUGGUUGUUAGGUACCUAUACAGCAAGUUGGAAGCUUAUAGAAUGAUGCACAUAGUAGCGUUUGUUCACCCUUCCCAAAUUGGUGCAAUAGGGUGUGGGACUGAAACUCAGAGGACCGAAAAUAUAGCUCAAAGGCUUGCAACUGCCAAACCGGGUCAAGUGUUCAUGUUGCCAUACAACUCAGGGUAAGUCCAUGCUGGUUUUCAAGUUUUGAUAUAAAUAAAUGUUUUUAGUAAUUAUGGCUGAACUGUGGGAAUGGUACUCGGGUAUUGUUUGCUAAAUAUUGCAUAUGAAUUUUUUCUUAUGUGGUAGCGAUCACUGGACUUUAACUGUUGUUGAUCCGAACAAUGACAUUGUCUACUUCAUGGAUCCUGUGAGAAGACAUAUAUCAUGUGGAGAUUGGGCGAAGAUUGUAAAACAGUAAGUUAUAAUGUUCAUUGUGCAAAUUGAGGUAAUAAGAAGUGGGAUGUCUUGUAUUGUCUCCCUUACAUCCUUUUUUUUGUUUUUUGUUUUUGUCUUCUGUAGUGCAAUGGGUAUGGCUAAUACUACAAGAAAGAUGAAUGGAUGAAGCUCAAUGAUCCCUAAAAAUUUGGUUGUGAGUGUCAUUUGCAUUUUAAGUAAUAGAUGUCUUAGUGUAUCUUGGUUGUGUGGAAUUGUUUUGUAAUGGUUUGUUUUGAGGGCAUGCCCUUCCAACCAAGCGACAAAGAAUGUGGGUACUAUGUCAUGCGAUACAUGAGAGAAAUAAUCGAAGACAAAGACACGUCACGGUUUGUUACCAAGGUAUAAAAUCUGUUUUUGGAGAGUCAUUCAAUGCAGCUUAAGUAUUAAUAAUAUGUUUAUUAUAUAUUAGGAGUUCCAUGGAGCAGUACUAUAUAUCAAAGACUAGAAUAGUUUUCUUUUUUCCCACCAACUUAAUGAUUCAAAUACUACAAAAUAGAUAGACUAAACAGAAGAUUAUACUGCUAAUUCUAGUGCCCUGACUUGAUGAAAUGAUUAGAAUUGGUAUUUGUCUUGAAGUGAUAUCUCCAUUAUAGGACUGAGAUCUGAUCUUUGUUAGCAAAAUCAGUCAAUCAUUACAAGAUAAAUAUUAAGUUUAAUUUUUGCUAAAAGGGUGACAGCUAGCUGGUAUGAAUACACAGAUUAACUAACAGAUCUUAUUAAUUUGUUGCCUAAUGGAAUUUAUGUUGUAAACUUAUUGUUUUGAUCUAUCAUUUUUGGUGUUUUGUUGAAUGAGGAGGAAUGGUUCCUUUUUGGAUCUUAGUUUCUAGUUCAUUGAAUCUUCAUCAAUCUCAGAUUAACUAACAGAUCUUAUUAAUAUGUUUAUUAUGUUUAUCAUAUAUAUAUAUAUAUAUGGAUUUUCUCAGCUGCGGACGUCCGCACCAAUUUUUUGGUGCGGAUUUCCAUUUUUGCACCACUUUCAGAUCGAAUUUCCUCAUCUCCACCGUAUAGUAUCUAGAUAAUAUUAUGUAGAUCAUCUCUGCAAAAUUUCAGCCAAUUUGGUGAUCGUUAAGACCCUCAAACUCGAAAAAUAAAUAGACGGACUGAAUUCUGUCCAGUUGUAUUCAUACCAGAAAAACUCGAGUUUGAGGGCCUUAACAAUCACCAAGUUAGCUGAAAUUUUACAGAGAUGAUCUACACAAUAUUAUCUAGAUACUAGACGGUGGAGAUGAGGAAAUUCGAUCGGAAAGUAGUGCAAAAAUAGAAAUCCGCUCCAAAACCGUUAGUGCGGACAUCCGCAGCCGAGAAGGGCUAUAUAUAUAUAUAUGUAUAUAUAUACUCUACGAUCAGCUAAUGGAACAAAAAUGGCUAUUAAAUACGAAAUCCCUAAAGCCCAUAUAUGCCAAAACAAUGUUAAUUUGUUUCAAAACUUCGUUUGUCUUGGUAAAAAAUUUAACUGAUAAAGUAAUUCUAGGAUUACCUUUCAUUACUUUAAUUUACCAUUUCAAAACUGAAUAUGAUGGUAUUAUUACCUACCCUUUUGAUGAACCAGAUAAAUUUACUUUUCUUUCAAACCCCGAAAUCCAUACUCUGAAAGCAUUUCAAGAAAAUAAUAUUUCAAAAACUCUCGGUUGCAUUCAAGCAAAAAAUAAACAAAUAACCUUUCUUCAAGAAGAAAUUAAUUUCAAAAGAAUUGAAAAUCAACUCCAAAACUCUUUUCUUCAGCAAAAAAUCAAAACUUUUGAAGAAAAGAUAAUCAAAGAAAUAUGUUCUGAUAUUCCUACUGCCUUUUGGCACAAGAAAAAACAUAUUGUUUCAUUACCUUACAUCAAAGAAUUCAAUGAGAAAAAUAUCCCUACUAAAGCUCGUCCAAUCCAAAUGAGUCACGAGAUUAUGGAUUUUUGUAAAAACGAAAUUAAUGAUUUACUCAACAAAGAUAUUAUUCGCCCUAGUAAAUCCCCUUGGUCUUGCCCGGCUUUCUUUGUUCAGAAAAAUACUGAACUAGAAAGAGGGACUGCUCGUCUAGUUAUUAAUUACGUACAAACCCCUUAACACAGUCUUAGAAUGGAUCAGGUAUCCUAUUCCCAAUAAACGAGAUCUCAUUAACAAGUUAAACAAAUCUGUUAUCUUUAAUAAAUUUGAUAUGAAAUCAGGAUUUUGGCAAAUUCAAAUCAGUAAAGCUGACAAAUACAAAACUGCAUUUGUCACACCCUUUGGUCAUUACGAAUGGAAUGUUAUGCCAUCCGGAUUAAAAAACGCCCCUAGCGAAUUCCAAAACAUAAUGAAUGACAUAUUUAAUCCUUAUAGUCACUUCUCCAUUGUCUACAUUGACGAUGUUUUGAUCUUUUCAUCCUUGGCUUAAGAUCCUAAAGACUAUUACUCACUCUUCGCCACUCAUGCCUCACCUGAGACUUAGUGUUUGGACCUGGACUUAAUGUUUGGUUAAAGAGAAUAACAGGCUUAAAGAAGAUAAGGAAAAGAAAAUAAAACCGAAAUCCUUAAAAUUAAGGGACAAGAAUCAAAACACUUCACAAAAUAAAAUUCAUAAAUAGCCUCCCAAAAUUAUUUGCUCAUAAAAUCAGACAAGUCCUUAGUAAUGAAACAUGUCACAUUAACUAUGAUUGUUUAACUUAUGGAAAUAUAAUUACAGUUAUCCAAAAAGAAGGAUUAAAAAUGUGUAUAGAUAUGAAACUAAAUGCCCAAAUAAAAUCAGAUAAGAAAAUAGCUAAAUAUGAACUAGGAAAUUUUUGUGAACAAUAUGGCUUACCUCCCUUACCUCCUUCAAGGAGAAAAAAGGCAAGCAAUAAAUUUAUUUCAUAUCAUUCAAAAAGAAAAUUUACACCUUACAAAAGCAACUUUGAGCCAAACAAAUUUUAUUCCAAAAACAAAUUUCGAAAAAAUUGGUUCAAAAAACCAAAUCGCCAACUAAAGAGUAAACAUUUCGAUAAAAGUAAAACUAAAUGUUCUAAAUGUAAUAAAACUGGCCAUUUUGCAAAUAAUUGUCCAAUUAAAAGUACUAUUAAUCAACUCAAAAUUAGUCAAGAAGAAAAAGAAAACUUUGUACAAACUUUGAGCCAAUGGAACAAAAUAUAUAUAUAGCAGUGUUAAGUUACAAUGAUAACUGAAAAACCAAGUGUUGUGUCUGGUUUAUAUGUACAUCUAGGUUGAGAUAGCACAUAUAUAGCUUAUGCCUCUAAGGGCUUGAUUGGAUAUAUAUAUAAUUCUUUGUUUACUUUAGUGGGACAAGAGAGGUAGCUGCAAAUACACUCAAGAAGAUUUGGAUGAGGUGAGAAAUGAGUGGGCAGACUUUAUUGUCAAGAAGUAUGUGAAGGAGCCGUGAUUGAGGUAGCAUCCUCUUGUUCAAAGAAAAACAUCUUUUUUGUGCUUCUCAGCUGGUACAAUAUUCAUGCAUGAUAUAUGGCAUGUUUUUGGUACAAUUGAUACUAUAUAUCAGCUAGCUUUUGAUGUCCCUAGUUGAUGGGCACGUACUUAUUUUUAAUGGUUGUUAGGAUGAUGGGCAUAUGCUUUAGAUGUCCCGUUAAUGUUAACAAUGCAUUAGAUGCUUUAUAUCAUAUUUUGGUUGUUUGAAUGUUAACAAUGCUUUGGAUGAUUUGGAAAUAUUACUUGUAAUAUUGUUCAUUAGGUAAAUUUGGUAUUAGGGCAUCAAUAGAGCACAUCAUACAACUAAAUGAUGGUAAUCCAAUGUUGUAUGAAAUGUAUCAUCAUACAACAAGUUAAUGACAAUCCAACGUCGUCUGACUAAAUGAUCCUACAACUAUAUUCUAACAUUGAUACGUUGUGUGAGUAUUGAUCACACAAUGCCUAUUAGCAAAAACUUUGUGUACUAUUUAACAAUCAAACAACCAUGAAACCUAAAAACUCGUUGUAUGAAGAUAACUUCACACAAUAGUUUAUAGCAAGAAAACUAUUGUGUGAGUGUCGACAGAUGUUGCCGACUGCAAUGUGGAAUGAUCUCGACGUAUGCCGAUGAAAUCUGUCGAUAUUCACACAACAACUCUUGAAAGGAAGCCGUUGUGUAACUUGACAAUCACACAAGGGUCUUUAUUGGAAAAGCUGUUGUGUUAUUCUCAGUAGAUAUCAUCGACAGCUGAUGAGAAACAGGUUGGCAUGUGUCAGCAUCUGUCGAUAAUAUCUGCCGAGAAUCACACAACAAUAUUCUACAAAAAACCAUUUUGUGAUUCUCGGCAGAAUUCAUCAAUAUAUGUCGACAGCUGCCGAGAAGCAGCUCGACAUGUGUCAGUAGCUGUUGAUGAUAUCUGCCGAGACUCACACAAUGGUUUUUAUUAUAGUGUUGUAUGUCAGUUAGUCAGACAAGCUCUUUUUAGCCGUUGUGUGAUAUGUUGAUCAGACAGCGAUCGGAUUAACAACGGUUUUGACUUUUAACAGACGAUGUUUUUUCGCCGUCAUCGUGUGAUGCAUUAUCUGACAUAGUGUCAGUGUAUAAAGUUUACUCUUUUCAUGUCCCAGCAUAUAUAUGUAAUAAAUCAGUGCUAGGGGUCGAUCAGCACGUACAUGUUGAUGUUAGCUCGACGUACAACAGUGUCAUAUGUUAUUAUUCGUACAAUAAUUUCGACUAAAACAAUGCUAAUUAGCAGGAUCAGCUACACGCUGAGGAAAUUAAACAGGAGAAUCUAGGAUAUACAUACACUUGUGCUCAUCAAAAUCUUAUUAACAAUCUUUCUAAAUUAUAAAUUAAAUUCAAGGCUGCACAAAGGAAAAAUCCGUGUUAUGCAUUCCUUCCUCCCUUUCUGGUCGACGAUGAUCUUCUCUUGGUAAAGCAUUGAUACUGCCAUGACCAUUAUGUGAAGAGCCGCCCUCCAUCUCCGAUAGAUCGGUAUCAGAUUGGUAAGAAACAGAUCUCGGAGAGUUAAGGACACUUUCAAGAUCCGAUUGAUUAGACCUGUACUUCUGAUUGUGGAGGAGGUGCAUUGGUGAUGAACCCCGGCUUGGUGUGUUUUCCGGACUCAUAAACGAGUUAACAGAAGCAUCGCCUCCUCUGCUCCUUAACUUUUUACGAUUCUUUGCAGCUUUCUGCCAGUUCUUGAGAGCUUUCGCUGUUUGCUCCUCGAAAAUUGCUGUCUUCAUGUGAGAUCCCAUCUGCAAAUUCAUUCGUAUGCAUAGUAUGUAAAAUUCAAUCCCAUUUAUAUAUCAUGCAAGGCUAUUGAUGGAAAGUUUGAAAAUAAAUGUACUCACUUGUGUGAUCAAAGCAUAAAGAGGGAAGGUAAUGUAACUGCAGAGGAUUUGUAAGGCAACUCCAAGGCAAACCCUAGUGAUUAUGAGAGGCAAGUUUUCGUGGAAGCAUGAACCGAAGCCAAAUUCAGACUGCAUUUUUAUACAUAUGUGUAUCAUUUUAGUUAAAUAGUGUAUGAUAAGUUGAGGGUAAUUGUGGAUAUAUAAUCUAAAAAUGUGUAUGAAUGUUUGUGGAAAUUACUUACAGAUACCCACAAGAAAUAUGCCAUUUGGAAUGCAUUCUGCAAAUCCAAGUAAAUGGGUAUAGUUAGAAAUUAUGUUGGACUCGUUCUGCACAUACCCUAAUAACUAGGUUAAUAUGAUUAUACCUGAAAUAGUGUGAAAUGAAUCAAGAGGAGAAUCCAGUCGGGUCGAUUGAACCAGAAGUACUUGUUGCUUGGUUCUACUACUGGAGCCCCUUUCACAAUUGUAUUUCGAUCGUGCAUUUCUUGAGCCAACUCCAUUAUGAUAAGUUCAAGCUUUGUACCCACCAACAGAAGAAUCUGCCAUGCAAUUUUGUAUCGUAUACAUAAAGUGAUCGAUGGACAUGAAAACGCAAGCUUGUGCCACAAGUAAUUGAAAUCCAAAUGAUAGUACGUUAUAGAUUUCUACUUACAAUGAGUGGUGCUAAUGAUAACCAAGUGAGCGUGUACCAUCCUGCAUAGAUUUUGAUCAGUAACUAGCAUAUAGAGAGAGAGAGAGAGAGAGAGAGAGAGAGAGAGAGAGAGUUAAGUACUAGUNNNNNNNNNNNNNNNNNNNNUAGUAGUAGUAUAUAUAUAUAUAUAUAUAUAUAUAUAUAUAUAUAUAUAUAUAUAUAUAUAUAUAUACCUUAUACCCACGACCACCUUAAAGUCAUCUUCCAUAGAUCUCUUGAUGUACUUGUGGUAGUCAAAUUUACUAUUUGGAGCAAAAUGUGCCUGCAUGCAAUAACGUACACAUGCAUGCAUAGAUUGUUGUGAGUUUUACGUACGUUGAUAAAGUAAUAUGAUCGAGCUUCACAAACGAAUAAUGAGUUCGAUUAAUUCUGGGCUUAUGAGAUUUUUGGUACUGAUCGAGUUGUCUCAGCUUACAAUUAGCUACAUUGAUAUUGUUCGAAGCAUAAUAGUAUCACUUACAUUUAUAAAUCCAUGGCGCAUGGUCAGGUAGUCCACCUUUGUCACCGAACCGAAGAAUUGCCUGAAGAAUGCCACCUACAAUGAUAAUGGAAAUAUCAAAAAGAGAAACAUAGAGUGUGCGUGGAUCGUAAAAUAAGGAGUAUAUAUUUCACUCCCCAUAAUUAAUAUAGUUGAUGAAAGCAACAAAUGAAGAUAGUAUAUACACGAAUCGGUCUAACUUACAAUCCAUCUGAUUCCAGGCGUUGUAGAAAAGCCAGAGUGUCGCCUCACAAACGAUGUUUGACGAGUAAACCUAAACCUUGCAGGAUCUGCAACAUACAAUAUUGACUGAUAAGUUUAGCUAAGCUACAAUUACAAUGUUCACAAUUUGUACGUAAAUUAUUCUCCCAACAGAAAUUUUUUCAUGAAAAGACAAAUACAUAUACCAUUUGUAAAUUGAUAUUCCAAGGAUGUUGUCUCAGAUUCCCAGGCCUUCCAUUUCUUCAUCUAGUCAAGUACAAAAGCACAAAACCAAUCAAUUAACUAAACAAAUUGGUUUUGCCCUUUCUUUUUCAUAUAUCUCCAUUAUUUCAUUUCAUUUGAGGUGGUUCUCAUAGCGCAAUCGUUUUCCUUUACAUUUGGGUAGGAUGCCAAGCCAACACAAAUUCAAGUAGACAAUCAAGUCCAAAGAAAGAAAAGAAAAACAAAUUAGACUUCUUUGGGUCCAAAACAUAGGCAGUCAUCGAUUAUUACAAAUAAUAUGCAUGUUAUAUAGGACUCAUUAUAGGUACUAAUCAAACAUCAAAAUCAUGCAAUAAUUUAUUAGACAAGUAACAACCAAUAUUUCUUCGAUCUUAUUAAUAUAUAGUUCUAAACUUAUCAGUAGGUUUUUGUUUAAUCAGAAUAUACAGGGUUAAUGUUGAAUUAUAUUUUAGACAAACAUAUAUGUGAUCUUUAAUGCUGCUUUGAAACCAUGUUAAAGGCUUAAUUCAACAUGGAACAAACUCACUUACUUUGGCCUGCGCAAGUGCCAUAGUGAGGACACUGUAGAGAACAUGAAAAACAGCAAGGACGAAGAUGAAUAUAUGCAACUGGUGCAUUCCAGAUAUUGAUAUCAACGGAACUUUACCCUGAAAACAAUGUAUCAUUCAUUCUUAGGCAUCAAAAUUAACGUCGGUAUAUAAAAAUUAACAUUCUGCUAAUUAGUUAAUAGUCAAGGUGAUGAUCCUGGGUACUUACGUAUGAGCAAGAACUGGAAUCUCCACUGGGAGCUAAGACUCGACGCCAUAUCAUGUCUUCGGCAUAUGAAAGUAGCUUUCGUCUGUCACCGCCAUCUUCUCCGCCUCCUCCUUUACCUUUAUCAUCACUGUCGCCUUCAUAGGGUGGCUUUGAUUUGCAUGGAAGCAUCGUGUCUGCAAUAUUUGCAGGGACGCAUAUCUUUGGAAGAUAUCGAGUUCCCACGGUGAGUAGUAAAGAUAUGAAUCCCAACAGCAUUAGCUCUGCACACAUCCAAAUUAUACAUGGAUGAACAUAUCAAAACUCCACCCAUUUUUGUAGACUUCACGAACUUUGAUGGUUCUAAUUAUUGAUCCCUGCCGAAAAUUAAUAGGGAAAAUGUAGAAAUGUCCAACUAACCAGCUUUAAUUUUCUCCAAAGCUUCAAUCAUGGCUUUCUUGUGGCGUUUCUGGAACCACUGUCAUUGUAUAUGUAAGAAGCAAACCUUGUAAGUUUCACAGGAUAUUCAUAAUAAGUCCCAAUAAUGAGGUUCAUCUAACAGACUUGUUCUGUGUCAUUUCAAUAGAAAAAACUAUAUACAGACAUUUAGAAUUUUGACAUCCGUGAUAUAUGUACCUUUCCAAGAGCAUGAAUUCCAUGUUCUAUGAUUAGAGAUAUGAGUAUGAAAACUGCACAGACGGCCGCCACCGUCCAUGUGGGCGUAUCUUGUAAACCCCUCUCUCCCGGAGCAGCAGGAGGAGCCAUGGCUUUACUUAAUUAAUUAGCAACUAAUUAACGUUUCUUAGGAGGAUUAAUGAGGCUAUCAUUUUGGGAGCUGAGGGAGCUACAUGCACUAUAUAUAUUGCUUUACUCUCUCUAGCAAACGAAACCCUAGCGAUCGAUUUUAACGCGUUUCGGAUUCAAUUAAUUAAUAAUGAAUCAUAUCACACGCUAUAAAACUUGUUAAUUGUCAUAUGCAGGAUGUAGUUUUGUGCCAUGUCUGUAAUGGUUAAUUAGGUUAUCUGUUAUGCGGUUGUGGAACUAGCCCUUCUUUUCCCUCAUCAGUUUGGAUCAAUUUUAAACUUCAGGCCGGCUAUUCGAGCCAAAAUAAGCAUGACAUCACAGUACAAAGACAAUAUAAGUUUUGUUUCUGGUAGUAGAGGACGAUGAGAGACCGCAAUAGUCCUAGCUACAUGGAUCGGAUCGAUAUAUAGUACUCGAUCGUCAUUGUGUGCAGCUUUGUAGCUAAUGCGUUAAGUAUCCCACCUAGUAUGUGAUACUGUGAUAGUUCCUCCAACUUGGUAUAGCAAUGGCUGCAAUGGAUGUCUUUACGAGACAUGAGCUGAUGAAAUGUAAUGACAUCAAUCUGUGAUCGAUCGAAUCGAGUUCUUGGGACAAAUGUGGAAUCGAGUAAUAAGGCCAGACGUAGAAAACUAAGGAGUCGAAGAUUAUUAAUUUGUUUAUUUGAUUUGGUUGUAAAAGAAAUUCUUAGAACACACCGAAGUGAUCGAUGAGGUGAGUUCUUGAGCAACUCCAAUGUUUUGUUUGCUGUUGGCAAGCGCCUGCUUUACUUAAUUAAGUCAUUUGUUGACUCGAGUUUUGUAUACUACUUUCUGGCUAAUUUGCGUAGGAUAUCAUGAUCAACAAGGUAGGUAGCUAUUAAUCAAUCAAGACAAUAUUGCAUUUUUUUGACCAAUUCCCUUUCCCCAAACUUUGCAGUUACAAUCAUGUAUAAUGUGUUUAUUUGGUCUUUGUCGAGUCCAAUGCCAUCAUGCGCGCAUAGACUUCUUCAAACAAAUAAUGGGUGUUCAGCUCUAUGCAGAGGUUGUUCAUCAUAAAUUAUAGCAUGAACUCGCUCCUUCAAAAAAAAUUCAGUUGAAAACAAUCGAAAAUUCUUCUACGCACCAAGGUGCAAGUGAACCGAACAACUAAUAUACAAUAUUUUGAUCCGGCCAUCUAUGUCGCACUACAUGCAUAUAUACUAAUACCGUUAACAAAAUUGAAACCCAAAAAAAUUGUCCUCAAGUGUUCCCAACAAGUAGUGUUCCCAACUAAAGAGGUGAGAACACUAGGUCGAAGAAUAUGUACUCUUAUUAUGUGCAUCUAAUUUGAUCGGAUCAAAAACGAAAAUGAAAUGAAUGACUUUAGAGUCUUUAGUCUUCAUUUGAUCUUCCCAUACGACGAUUUGUGCACUUACACAUUAAUGGUGCAAGUGCAUCUUGGUGCAUAGAAUCCGCUCCGGAAAAUAGCGACACUAAAUGUUAAUUUGGAAGUCGAUCGAGAUCAACUCCUUGUACUCAUCAGAAAUGAAUAAAAAGAAAGAAAAAAAUUAUGAAUUUAUGAUGAUUCUAAAUUCAUAUCCCAAAUGACAUACUUAAGUUAGGGCACUUCGAAAAGAGUGACUCAACAAAAGUAUGUAUGUCGAUCACUAAAACUGAAACAAUAUAUAUGCAUGCAUAUAACACUAAUAAGGGCAUGAACAACUUUGAGCCGUGGUCUAGUUAGUUAAUGUGUUAACUAACAACUUUGAGGUCAUGGGUUUAAAUCUCAUUGACAUAUGUAGUGUGUGAGUUAUUUAAUAAUAUUUUUUCCUUUUUUAAAGGAAAAAAAGGCAUGAACAAAAACCCUAGCCUAAUAUAGUACGAGUGUCAAUAAGGUCUUAUAAAUUGCAACGCAUGCAAUCCAAAAUUUAUACUAGACCCUCUAUUGUGGGAGUGGGAGUUGGCAUGAGUUAAUUUCUUCCUCAAGUUAAUCAUGGCAAUUCGAUCAGGCUAGCUUUUUGGACCGUCUUAUCUUUCAUUUAGUACUUCAAGCGCUUCUAUAUAUACUUCUACGAAGCCCUUCUAAUGAGGACUUUUAAGUUAAGGACUUGGUGAUGACUUUUUGGUUUAUCCCACUUUUCGAUCUUAUAUUCACAUCUUGACCGUUCAGUUUAUAGGUAUGAGUAGAUCAUUUCUCCAAAUUUUCAGCUAUAUUGAAAAUUGUUAAGACAUUCAUAAGUGUGAUUUAUCAAUUAUAAACUUGAACGGUUCAUAUUUGACAUAUUUGGUUCGUCCAUUAAUUUGAUCUAGUUUGUUAUCUUAACAAACACCAACUUGGCUGAAAAUUUGUGGAAAUGAUCUACUCAUAUAAACCUAAAAACUGAACGGAUGAGAUGUCAAAAUGUGAUCGAAAAUUGGGUACUUUAAACCAUAAAUCGAAAAGUCAUCACCAAGUCCUCAACUUAAGAGUCCUCACUAAAAAGGCUCCUAGUUCUAUGUUAAGAUCCAUUUCAUUUAGUACACCAGAUAUAAGAAAAGGAAAUUGUUGUUUCUUUGUUGAGAUCCAUUUUUGUAAAAAUGUCCUGGUAGGAAGCAAGCACUAAUAUGAUGAUCCAUGAAUGCAUGUCUUCACUUUUUGUGAACCUGAUACUGCAACGGAGAACAAGUUAAAUUACUUGGCUAUUAAUUAUUUUCUAUUUUUAUGCAAGCACUAAUAUGAUGAUCCAUGCAUGCAUGUCUUCGCUUUUUGUGAACCUGAUACUGCAACGGAGAACAAGUUAAAUUACUUGGCUAUUAAUUAUUUUCUAUUUUUAUGACUAGUACUGGUGCUUCUAUAUAUUGCUAUAAUAAUUGACAAAACAUGGAAAAUGUUAAUCGACGGUGAGAAACAACAUGUUUCUCUGACCAUCCAGUGGCAAGUAAUCGACGGCGGCCGUUCGAAGGAGAGCGAUCCUCUUAAGCGAUGGCGGUCACAAGAUCCCAGCCGUACUAAGCCUCCAGCCGCGGUUGCUCUUUGCAGGGGAGAAGAUUUCCAAUGGAAGAAAAUCGAUGGUUCUUAUUCCGUCGACAGCGAGAUCUGAUGACCGGGAUCAAGAGAUGGUAGCAAAUCUGAUCGGCGCUCAAUUUGACAAGGUCGCUGCGCGUGAUGGUAAGGGGUUAAGGGCUGAAGAGAUGGUGGUCAACCUGCCAACGUCGACGAUUGUGGUGCCAGCGAAAGAAGUCUGGUCAUGGAUGCUGGCGGUUGAUCAAUCAUGGGCGUCAUCAGUGCUGAUGACGGCGGUGGACGAGAGGAGGAGCAUACCUGCUAGGGUUUGGGAUUGGACUCAGGGUCUUAGGCCUGGGUUUGAUCUCAAGCCCAAAAAGAGUCAAUUUUGGAAUUGGGCCUAUGGGUGGUCUAAUUUCAAUAUGACUAUGGCUUAAGUCUUGGUGUUUUGGAUAACUUGGCAGACUGAGCAAGCUAGCUGCAGGUAGAUGGAUACAUGAGGCUCGGAGUGUCACAAUUGAGCGCCUUAGCUCCAGUUUUUAUGUUUCUUUGGUAUUUUGUUUUGUAUCUAGUUUAAUCCUCUGUUAGGCUAUUUAAAUAAGUGAGCUAAUUGUCUAAUGUAAUGGUGCUUUGAUGUCACUCUGGCCUGAGUUAAUCAAUGAAAUUUUUGGGGCUGCUGCCUCUUUUCCCUCAAAAAAAACAAGAAAAAAAAAGAAGAGAGGGUAUAGCUAGAUUGGGCAUCAAAGAUCUAAAUAAACUGCAAGCUUCAUUUCAAAGCCUAAACACCCGUCUGAAAAUAAGACAACAAGCAUAUAGAGCGCCUAAAUUAGGUUAAAGGUCUUUAUGCAUGUCUUUUUCCUUAUAUGAGCAAAUAACAUAUAUGCAAUGAGAAUCAAACUCAUGCCAAUAUAUAUAAGAGAAGUUCAUUUGCCAAUGUUCUUGUUGUUAAGGCUUCUUUAUGUUUAUAUACAGUUCACUCUGUAGUAUGUGGAGGCUUUAACUAUAACAUCGCUCACGUUACACAACAUCAUCGGAAAUAUUGUUUUUGUAUUAAUAAUGCAAGUGACGCAAGACUUAUCAGAUGAUUUCAGCCUCCAAUAUCAGUUUUUUUGUUUUUCAAUGUGUUUGGGGAUAUGCUUGGUAUUUCGUGCAAUUAGACCAUUUUGUCAAAUAUCUAAAUCAGGUUUUCACUUUGAGAUAUCCCAAAACAAGGCGCAACAUAAGUAUUAUCGAACCCAUUAAACUCUUCUCCAUAUUCCAAACUUCCCAACACUCGUUAUUUCCACUCUCUCUCUUUGUUCCAAACUGCAAAAUCUCUACUUGAAAUCAUGGCUGCUAUUUCCAAUUCGCUGACUUCUCCCCACCUAUCUUCUGGUAAAUCUCCCUCCUGAUCUAUCUCAAACUGUCUUAUUUGAUUCUUUCCUCUUCUUUGUCAGUCUUUUUCUUUGUUUUAAGUUCUUCAGAAUCAAUGUGCUUUGUUGCUAUUGUUUAGGAGCCUCAGUUGAUGAAAUGUCAAAGAUUGUUAAUUGGGUUAUCAAAGAUUGCAUCUUGAAUUAGUCUAUUCAUAUGGGUAGCCCCUCACAUUGAUUCCCAGUUGAGUUUAGGGUUUAGUGUCCCACUUUCUAUGUGCUACAAUGGAGUUUCAUGUAAUUAGUCAUAUUCUUUAGCACUAAAAUUUGGAAUAAUGUAACCAUUUUUUAAAUGUUGCACUAGGAUCUUCUCUGAAGCAAUCCCAACAAUGUCUCGGGCUUACAAACUUGUCACUCAAUUCAAACCGUGCCGGUAAAGUUCAACUUUCAAGCUCCAAGAGGUCCUUCGCUGUUCAAGCCUCAUAUAGGUAUUCUGUUUGUCCUUCUUUGCUGAUCCUUACGCAUUCUAUGCCUUGUUUAUGAUUACGGCAUGCUAGUGGCAUAGAGUAGACUAAAUUGUAGCUACUGUUUUAAUUGCUUUAAGUUUGAGUUGCGCAGUUGGUUUGGGAUUUUGGGUUACUGGACAUACUGAUAUAAAAACUUGACAGUCUUGUUUAUCAUAAGUCCAACUAUUGGAUUAGUAAUAGAUACAAAUUGGGGAGUUAGUCGGAGAGUAAAAUUGACUUGCAGCAAGACAGUCGGAUGUUUGGUUGCAAAUCUGUAAUAUCUGUUGUUCCCUUUCCGGUUUGUACCUCUUAAAAUGUCCUUGCUACCAUUCAAAGCAUUUAAAUAUGGGUAAUGAUCAGUGGAGUUUUCAUAUGCUUAUGAUGGCAGUAAUGUAACAAUCACUUUUCACAACAAAUUUCUUACUUGUCAUGCUUUUUGUAAUUUACAGUAUGUCUGAGUAACAAUGAGUCCAAUUUAUUAAGUAUCAUUCUGCCUUCCUCAAUUGCACAAAAUUUGUUUGAACUUUUGGUUUAUUACGGUACUAAUACUAUUUAUGUGUUCGAGGUGUCGGUUAGCAACGAUCUUUUGAUUUUGCAAUAUUAGGAUAUGCACACGGCGCUAUAAUGUCAGUCUCUGCUUGUGUAAUUACAGUGAUGGUGGAAGAUCAAACAGUGGAAGCAUCUUUAUCAGUGGCUUUGUUUUGGGAGGACUUAUAGUUGGCACUCUGGGUUGUGUAUAUGCUCCUCAGGUUGUCAUUUUCAACAAGUACAUUUCUUUUUCCUGCAAAUGCUUGUAUAAUUAUUAUUUUUCAUGUGCAUUUAUAUGCUAUUCACUGCUGUAGAUAGGGAAUUGAGGUCUUUUGGUGAUCAACCACUGUAGAUAGAUGAUAACACGCUGUAUACUGUCAAGCCCCUCAACUGAAAUGCAUGUUAUUCGUUACUAUACUCUUGGUGUUCCUUAUCAGGUUUAAGAUUUCUACCAAUUCGUUACAAUGAGUUCUGUUUACCUAUUCGAUAAAUUUCUUGCUCAAUUGUGCUCAACUGCCCUAGGAUUUAAAUCCAACAGUGGAUAACAGAGAGGUAAAUAAGUUAAUUUCUGAUAUCUUAUUAUUCUCCACCCUGUGAUUUAGAUCCAAUGACAGUUGAGCACGACUGAGCAUAAAAUUCAUUGAGUAGGUGAACAGAACUAUUGUUACAAUAUAACAGACAACAAAUAUAACUUUUGACAGCUUAAUGGUUUGUAUUUGUACUAUGGUCCCCCUUAGUGUGCUAGUAGUUAACUCCCAAAGUUUUUCUUAGCUGCUAAAUGGACUGCCUUUGUGAAAAUAUCAGCAAAUUGCUUUCUUAUCUGUGAUUUGCAUCUCUGAUGAGAUGAAAUUGAAUUCUACAUGUGUGGUCUGGCUAUUAUAAACUGUAUUCUUUGCUAUAGUAAUAGCAGAUUUAUUGCAUGCAAUUAAUCUACGUAGCUUAUUUUGGUCCAGUAUCUUUAAACAUCUUUCUCAGCCAUAUAGCUUGAGAAGCAGCUGUCAUACAUGCUGCUUAGAGCAUCUUUAGCAAUGUUAGCCAUUUUUCAGUCAAAUUUUAGCCAAAAUAGCUAAAAAGUCAUUUUGGCUAGCCACUUUAGAAAUACAUCUACACCGGUACUCUCUAUUUCAACUUAAGUUUGAUUUAUAUUAUUGAUUAAAUAAAAAAUUUAAUUUAACUGUGUUUUAAUAUUACAUAAAAUGACUUAAAAGGAAUACAUUGAAUUAAUAUAAAUUAUAAAGAGCCUCAUCUCGCUAGCUAUAUUUAUGUCACGCCCCGCCAAUUAACAUGGAAUUUCCUUGAGCAUUUUUGAUGCAUGGCUCAAGGAAGGUUUUGGUGAGCACAUGAGCAUUCUGGAAGCAUCCCCGCACGAGUGGCUUAGAGAAAAGUAAGCUCGUAACAGUUAGCUAGCAAGAUAGAUAAAAGUUAAAAUAGCUAGCCACUUAGCAGUCUGCUGGAGCUGGUAAAAUUGAUAAAAAAACUAAACCCGCUCUCUAAAAUGCUAAGGAGCCAAUAUAGAGAGUCUGCUAAAGAUGCUAUUAGGCAGUGGAAUGAACAACGUACUGCUGCUCUUGGAAAACCAUGAAGUAUGCCAGAGCACAAUGAAAAGCACAGCCAAAGGCGUGCUUUUCUUGUCAUCUAGAUAUCACACAAUAACCAAUUAACUUUAGCUUAAUAUAAUAGAAGAUUCCAUAGUCUAUGGUGCCUGAUAUCUAAAUUCUAUUUUUUCUGCACUAAGAUGAAAAUGGCUUGGACUGUUAAUAAAUCGCAAGCAAACUUGUUGCAUACAUUACAGCUGGUCUUGUACAAGUGAGAUAAAUCACAUCUUCUAUUAAACUCAUGUUUCUGCAAUAUUUAUGCAAUAUGUCAUUCACCAUUAGGUGAGUGUUCUAGGCAACCAAUCAUAUUCCAAACUUCUUGACUUUGGUAUACUUCUUCUAGCAAAUAAACAGUCUCACUGGUUUGGCUGUUUUUUCUUCUUUUCUUUUUUCAUUUCUCUGUUUGAUCAUUUCUUACGGGAAACAAACGUUUCUACAUGUCAGCCCCCAAUUUUGGCAGAUUGGUCCAUCUUUCUCUACCCAAAAGUGACAUAGUUAAGUUUCUGAAAAUCAUUUUUCCUCGUUAUUUACAACCCUUGUAGAUAGGAUUACAAGGCUUUAUAAAAGAACUUUAAAUCUUCCUAGACAUUAAUCCGUGGUGUUCACUAUCAGUGUCUUCAUUUUCCGGCCCAGCUCUCACGAUUCUUAACAAUUUUUUUAACUCCCAUUUUAAUUUUGACAGCAGAUCAGUUGGUUGUUAUAAAUUGUUCAAUGUUUGUAUGUCCUGGCUAUGAGUUUCAGUUCUAAAUGUAUGUAUAUCUUCAUGGUGUACCUCAAAAUGUCGGAAUUGUUCAUGCUGUGUUAUCUUUGUGGCUAUGAAUUCGGUUUUUUUUAAGUUUUGUUAUCAUUUUAUGUCCUCAUGCACUAAACCAAUGAAAACUUUCUCACUUAAUGAAAAUACAACAGAUCAGUAAGACACUCGCUGGAGCUGACCGAAAGGAAUUAAUGAGAAAGCUUCCCAAUUUCUUAUAUGAUGAAGAGAAAGAAGUGGAGGUGAGAAGUCGCCCUUCCCUGUUUGACCUUAUCUUUCCAUUAUCACUUGCAAGGAUGUUUUGAACUGGCCUUUGCUGUUUGCUUUUCUAUAUGUUGUUCACUAGUUCUUGGAGUUGCUGAAAAUGCAUGCGAUUUUGGCAAAGUGAUGUUUCAGUUUCUAUCCACUCUUUUAACAACAAUGAUGUGCCAAAUGGUCCAAAUCUUACGUUAAUAUUGGAUAUAGUGAGGCUAUCAUGUUUCUACUCCCACAGUGCUUUCCUUUUCAAAGUCACAUUAUGUAUGUUUCUCCUUCACAGAAAACACGAAAAAUACUGGCUGAGAAGAUUGCGCAGCUGAACUCAGCUAUUGAUGGUGUCUCUGGUCAGCUCCAAACCAAAGAGGACCCUGAUGAAGUACAUGUGAACGGAGAUGAAGUUGAAGCUGCCAUAUGAGAUUACACUGAUAGAUUUAGCCUUUUUUCUCCUCAAUAAUAAGGGUAGUAAUAAGGGUAGUUAUCUUCUUUCAAUUUGAGUGACCUUACUUUGGUGGAUGUAAUUGUACCUCUAAUAUUUGGGCAACAUUAAAUACCGUAUUUCUUUAAGCUGCAGUGUAGCCUAUAACAGAUGUCACAGAUCUGUCAUGAUAUAUAGGUAUGAAUAGUCUACUUUUUCCUUCUUUCUAGAAAAUUAAUUCUUAGCCCUAGUUAUAAAACAUUGAACAGGUGUGACUCGAGUGAAUUUGUGCUCAGUUCAAUGUCAGGCUCGCUGAAGAAUCGGUGCUUUGUGGUGGAGCUGCUUCAAGUUUGAGACUUAAACAUGUUGUCUGUGUCAUGAAAUGUGGGAGAUGUUCUCAUUGAGUUGAAGCAGUUUGCACCAUCCACCAUGUUUUCAUGUGAGCCAGUAAUCUCUGCUUAUGCAAAACCUCUUGGAUUUGGAUUGGAUAGGUCACCAUUGAAUAUGUGACACUGUCUUCGUAACCUCUUAAUGUAAUUUGACAUCCCCAUUUGGAAGGACAUUCCAGGAAAGAAGAAUGAGGGAAUCUUCUGUGGUUCAUACUUUCGAACCCCAUACAGAACAUGAUCUUAUCUCAUAUAUCUACUUCCUAUACUAUGCUAACCACAGGUUCCUAUAAUUCAACAGCCACCAUAACUUAAAAAAAGGUAACGUUGAAGAUUAAAGAUCCAAAUUGUAACUAUAUAUAUAGCAUCCAAGUCACUCAUCAAGCUUUAGUUGCAAACCAUGGCCUCCCACGCAGCUCUAGCUUCUACAAGAAUCCCAGCCAACACCAGGCUUCCCUCCAAGACUUCCCACUCUUAUCCCACUCAGUGCUUCUCCAAGGUGUCACUCUCUUGCUCUCUCUAUGUCUUCAACAUAGCUACUUUUGGCUUGGUUUAUAUGUAUGAUGGCAUAGCUUUGUUGCACUAUAUAUAAGAACGCCUUUUCUUUUUGGCUCUGCAGAGGCUGGAAGUUGCUGAAUUCUCUGGCUUGAGAUCCAGUUCAUGUUUGACCUAUGCAAGCAAUGGUAGGGAGGCAUCAUUAUUUGAUGCUGUGGCUGCUCAACUUACUCCCCAGGUACAUCACUAGUCCAUUAGCCGAUAUAUGCAAAUAUGCAAUGUAUGCUUGUAUUCAUCUACGAAAUAGGAUCAAAUUUAACAUUUACUUUAGGAAGUCUGCUAUUAUGAUGAUUCUAAAUUAGCGGAUGUUUUGAAGCUUCAACUGAGCAGUUAGAUAAAAGAGUAGCAUUAGCAAGGCAGUAAACAAAAGCUUAACUUGUAUUCUUUGAACUUAAUUAACUUUUACUUUGAAGAAGGUGCACACUUGUGCUCCAAGUUCUGUAGGGUGGACUUUCUUCUAUAUUAGUGAUGGCUCCUAAAUUUUUUAUUUUCUACCAGACUUCAGGAUCAGCUCCUGUUAAGGGAGAAACAGUGGCCAAAUUGAAGGUGGCAAUCAACGGAUUUGGACGUAUUGGAAGAAACUUUCUCCGGUGCUGGCAUGGCAGGAAGGACUCACCCCUUGAGGUCAUUGUUGUCAAUGACAGUGGUGGUGUCAAGAAUGUAAGCAAGAGUAUGAAUAUAGUUAAGAUGGUUUGAUAUCUGAGUAGUAAAAUUAAUUACCGUUAUUACCGAGUAAUCUCAAAUGCAGGCUUCCCACUUGCUGAAAUAUGAUUCUAUGCUGGGUACUUUCAAAGCAGAUAUAAAAAUAGUGGACAACGAAACUAUCAGUGUUGAUGGUAAGCCUAUCAAGGUUGUAUCUAACAGAGAUCCCCUGAAGCUUCCAUGGGCUGAGAUGGGCAUUGACAUCGUUAUUGAGGUAAACGACCACUAUACUUGAUCACUACAAAGAAAAUAUAAAUAGGAAUGUUUCGAUGGUACUGAACAAUAUAGUACCUUAUAGUAUAUUUGCAUAACCUAUAGGGAACAGGAGUAUUUGUUGAUGGCCCUGGUGCUGGUAAACACAUCCAAGCUGGUGCUAAGAAAGUUAUCAUUACUGCUCCAGCAAAAGGUGCUGAUAUUCCUACCUAUGUUGUAGGAGUGAAUGAAAAAGAUUAUGGCCAUAGCGUCGCAGACAUCGUGAGGUCAGUUUCUCAAGUGGAUUAGAAACACAUUAAACCAAAAUAGUAAUGUGUUGCUUGUGUUAUUCAACUCAUUUUAAUUACAAGCACCUCUUAUAAUGGUAAAAACUUGUCUUUUGUGCCAAACUUUGCUUGCAGCAAUGCUUCUUGCACCACAAAUUGUCUGGCUCCAUUUGUGAAGGUCCUCGAUGAAGAAUUCGGUAAGCAGACAUCUAUAGCAGCAUGAAUUAAUUAAUCAAACAAAAUGGCGCGUUAGACUAAUACUUUGUUCUAAUGACAACUUGCAGGUAUUGUCAAGGGAACCAUGACAACUACUCAUUCCUACACUGGAGACCAGGUAAUGAACGAUUCCUUCAUUUGUGAAAAUCAAGCUUUGAAUUGCAACAAUUGAAUGAACCUGUUGUAACAGCUUGUUUAAUCUUGGCAUCAAUAUUUCAGUACAUAGUGGAUAAGAUAACACUCUUAUUUAUGGCAUGGCCUAUGUGUGUCUGCAGAGACUGUUGGAUGCUUCACACAGGGACUUGAGGAGAGCAAGGGCAGCAGCAUUGAACAUAGUGCCCACAAGCACCGGUGCAGCUAAGGCUGUAUCUCUAGUACUGCCUCAGCUCAAAGGCAAGCUCAAUGGCAUUGCCCUCCGUGUGCCAACACCUAACGUGUCAGUAGUAGACCUUGUUAUUAAUGUUGCGAAGAAGGGCAUUACAGCAGAAGAUGUCAAUGGAGCCUUCAGAAAGGCAGCUGAUGGGCCAUUGAAGGGCAUAUUAGCAGUGUGUGAUGUUCCUCUUGUGUCUGUAGACUUCAGGUGCACUGAUGUUUCUUCCACCAUCGACUCUUCCUUGACCAUGGUCAUGGGUGAUGAUAUGGUCAAGGUUGUGGCCUGGUACGACAAUGAAUGGGGAUACAGGUGAGCUCACUCAUUUCUACUAGAAACUAUGUUGCAUUGCACCUUCAUCUAGUUCACUAUUCACAUUGGACACAUUAAAUAAGCUAUUUGCUCAAGUGAAGUGGCAAUGUAAAUUGAACCUUGAUGUGAUGAAGUGGAUUGUUUGUUAUGUAAUUUACAGCCAAAGGGUUGUGGAUUUGGCACAUUUGGUUGCAAGCAAGUGGCCAGGGACACCAGUAGAGGGAAGCGGAGACCCGUUGGAGGAUUUCUGCAAGGACAACCCUGCUGAUGAAGAGUGCAAAGUCUAUGAAGCUUAGAAUGAUGUCUAUUUUUGGCUAACUGUAUAGGAGCCAGGGAAGCAGUAUUUGUUAUCAGCAAAUGCUUAUUUUGUUGUAAUCACAAUUCACAACUGAGGCAAAUAAAUUUAUUAUUGACUGGUGAGAAUACGGAUGUACAAUCACAACCAAUACAAACGAACUAGGAGUUGUUUGUCACAAGAACAAAUCUCUAUCUUGGAAUAGGGUGCGGCUUUGAGACCUUAAAAUUUACUCACUUGAUCUCUUAUGUUUUUUGCACUUCCAAUCAAAUGUUUAAAUAACAAAUUUACUCACUAAACUCAAGUUCCUCAAAUAGAGUAGUGCUAGAGACACCAAAUUUUUAUACCAAAAUCUUAUACUAAAUGAUAUGACAUGUUCUAACUCAUCAGCUUUAUUUGGAAGGAAUAACUACAUGGAUUUUCUAUACUAUUUUUUUAUACAAGAAUGCAUUAAAAUCAAUAUAUUCUUUUCUAGUUUUUAUCAACAGAUUUUAAAUCAAUCAAUCAUCGAAAAAAAAGAAGAUUUAAAAUCAAGAAAAAUGAAAUAUUUGUUUCCAAAAAAAAUAUAUCUAGACCUUUUACAAGGUCAUCACCCUAUCGAUCAAGAGCAGAUGAAUCAGAUCAUCAUAUAUCAUCCAACUCUAUGGACAUGUUGUUGGUCUGGUGAUUAUUUCUUUGUGCGGAGAUACCUUCUUUUUAUCUUUGUAUAUAACUUAACAAUGACAAAAUUUUAAUUAUAAGUUAACAAUGAUAAAACGAAAUGAAUUGCAAUAUAAGUAUAGCAAAAUGAGAAUCUUAUAUAUUAUUCUUAAAUUCAAUCCUUCAGUUCAGAUGUUAGAAGAAUAGUUUUGCGAAGAGAGGGGAGUAUGAGAAAGAGAAACAAAAUUCUGGUAAUUUGAGCGGUUUUAAUUGGCUCCCAUCAAGAACACUGUAGAAUUCAAAACGAUGCUCAACAACUUAAAAGAAGAAGAUAAUUUUUUUCUAUUAAAGAAGAAAUUUAGGUAAAUAUAUUUUUAUAUUUUUAUUCAUUCUUCUUUAGGUACAAAUAUAUUCUUAUCUUUUUAUUCAUUUUUCUUUAGGUACAAAUACUAUGAUAUCCAUAUCAUCAUCUGAUUAGUAGGAAAAUUGAUGAUAUGACAAGUGCCACAUCAUUUGGUAUUAAUAUUUUAGAUAACUUUUUGGUGUCUCAAGCAUUUUCCCCUUAAAUAACCUCACUACAUAAUUUAUAAGAGAAAAAUGAACCAUUAUCCCUUAAUUACAAUUUCAUUCCUUCAUUUAAGAUCAUAAAUCUCUUAAAAAUCAAUUAAAACAAGGUAUUAAGUUUUAAAAAAUUAUUUUUAUCAAGAAGAAAAUGUUCUUACAUAAAAAAUAAAUAAAUAAAUUGUUCUUACAUGAAUUAAUUUUUCUUUUUCUAUUUUACUUAUGCUAAACGACGAGAAAUUUUGAAGAAUGGCCUCUUUUAGGUAGUCAAAAUGAUUGUUAACCAUGUUUUCUCAAAAUAAUGAAAAUUGACCAUCUUGAGGGAUGAAUAGUCAUAACUGUUUUUGUCAAAAUUCUAAUAUCCAAUUGCUAUACUUAUAUUUUCGUAUCUGUCUAGUACCUGCGGUUAAUUUAUGUCACCUCUUCGUCAAUUUGAUCAUGUGCGACGCACGUGAAUCGUUAAAUGAAGAUAGAACAAUUGAUUUGCCCCUCUAUUCGUUUAAAGUUUAGAAACUCUAUCUAUUUAUUGGGCACUUUCUUAUAUCAACUCCCAUCGAAUUCAACCUCAAUCAAUUCCACUUGAAGCUUCAUUUGUCUGUCACCCCUCUAUUCUCACUUGAACGAGUUAUGCACACAGAGAACGGGUAUAAAAAUGGUCAACGUUAACGAUGCGUCACAUAUGGUCAAUAUUAACGAUGACGUGACGGAAAUCGAUGAAGGCUCCCAUCUAUGCCACUCCACCAAUGAUUCUUCAAACAUUCAUCGGGGACAAUAUAACUGAGGAAGUGAAGUAAGGAUACGAAAAAGCUAAUUUGUUGCAUUUUUUAUUUGUAUAGCAAUUUCUCAUUUCGUAUAUAUAUGUGGUGUUGCAGUAUAAUGAGAUUUCUAUUUUACCAUACAUGCUACCGUGUUAUGAUUUGUGGUUCUUUCCAUUUGUUGAAGAACAAUUGGUGGGGGAGAAUGCAUAGAAGGCUCCCAUCUAUGCCAGUCCACCAACGAUUCUUCAAACAUUCAUCAGGGACGAGCGUAAACAUGCAAACAAAAUGGAAUUUCUGUAUUCUUUAACUGAGGAAAUGAAGAAAGCAUUGGAAAGAGCUAAAUUGUUGCAUUUUUUAUUUGUAGAGCAAUUUCUUAUUUUGUGUGUGUGUCAGUGUGUGUGUGUAUAUAUAUAUACGGUCAUCUGCUAAGGAUGUCCUUAUUUAUUCUUAUAGUGCAUAUUUUCACUUUAAUCUCACUUUUCGAUCAAAUUUUUAUAUUUUCACCGUCUAGUCUUUAGAUACUAAUGUAUAGGUCAUCUCUGUAAAAUUUCAGCCAAUUUGGUUAUCAUUAAGGCACUUAAAUUCGAUUAAAUCAAUGGAUGAACAUAAUUCUGUCGAACUUGAACCGUUCAUGUUUAUAACUAAAAAACGCAAUUUUGAGUGCCUUAAUGAUAACCAAUUUAGCUGAAAUUUUGUAGAGAUGAUCUAUAUAAUAGUAUCUCAAGACUGGACGGUGGAGAUGUGAAAAUUCGAUCGAAAAGUGAGUCUAAAAUGGAAAUCCGCACCAUAAAAAUAAAUAAGGACAUCCUUAGUAGAGAAUGACUGUAUAUGUGUGUAUAUAUAUACAGGCCGAAUAUGAAGCGGACGUCCGCACGCCCUUAAAGUACGGACGUCGCAUGCAGACGUCGCAUGCGGACGUCCCUCCGUUCUUCUCCGUCCGGCCUUGACGACGGCUCGCCUCCACCCGAGCGGACGUCUCUGGCGUCCCCGACCAUUUUUCCUUCCCGGCGAGAUCGAUUUGAAGGUCUGAGCAGCAAUCUCCGCCCAAAACUUCAACCAAGAUCGAUCUCGCCGAAAAACUGGAAUUCAGCAGAUUCGUCGGGAAGGGAAAGUGGUCGGAGACGGCAGGGAUGUCCGCUCGGGUGGAGGUGCAUCGUCGUCUACGCCGGACAGAGAAAAAUGGAGGGACGUCCACAUUUUAAGCCCAGUGUGGACGUCUGCUUCAUAUUGUUUUCGUGUGUGUAUAUAUAUAUAUUUAUAUAUGUGGUUUUGCAACAAUGGGAUUUCGAUUUUACCGUACAUACUCGUGUGGGGGGAGAAUGCACGGAAGACUCCUAUCUAUGCCACUCCACCAAUAAUUCUUAAAACAAUCAUUGGGGACGAGCGUAAACAUGCAAACAAAAUGAAAUUCUUGUAUUCUAUAACUAUGAAAGUGAAGAAAGGAUUAGUAAGAGCUAAAUUGCUGCAUUUUUUAUUCGUAUAGCAAUUUCUCAUUUUAUAUAUAAUCGGGGACGCCAGAGGUGUCCGCUCGGGUGGAGGUGCGGCGUCGUCGGAGCCGUCCGGUGAAGAACGAAGGGACGUCCGCACUUUAAAGGCUGUGCGGACGUCCUCUUCAGAACGGCUCCGUGAAGGUGGACAAUUUAGGGAACUAAUCACACCCUCAAGCCCGAAGGGAAAUGGUCCACCCCACUCAAGGAACCACCCCCCAUCCCCUUAUUUGAAUUUGACAGUCGAUAAAGUGAUUUCUAAUGGUUGCUGGAACCUUUCUCUUGUUCAACAGUUUCUUAAUCAAGAUAUUUUACUUACUAUUUCCUCUAUUCCACUACCUUUACAUCCUUAUGCUGAUCAGUUUGUUUGGGGACUUAGAGCAUCUCCAACAGCUUCCCCAGAAUUUCUCUAAAAUGGGGAAGCAAAAGCUAAAAUCUCCAAAAAAAUUAUGCUUAAAAUCCAACAGCUUCUCCAUUUUAGAGAUUUCAGCAUUUAAUACAAUAAUAAAAUAUACUAUAUCAUUACUAAUUAUAACAAAAAAAUAUUAUAUUUCAUCGUAACAAUAAAAUACCCAAUAAAAUAUUAUACUGUUAUCUUGAAUUCGUUGGAGCACGUGAAAAAUUUAAUUUUGGAGAAGGAAGGCUUUGCUGCAAAUUUAGGGAAUGAAGACUUCUCUUUCUUCUCCAUCCCCAUUUUGGGGAAUGGGAUGGGGAAGCUGUUGGACCUUAAAACAGCUAUAUAUUCCCUAAAAUUGAGAAGUUCAAGAAAAUGAGGAAGCUGUUGGAGAUGCUCUUACAGGUUUUGGUCAAUUUACUAUAAAUUAAGUCGACCUUUGAGAUUCAAAAUUCUUAUUUGAAUGAUCAUAUUUAAGCUGCUAACUUUGAUGUCGAAAUUAUACAUUCCUCCUAAAGUCAAGUCGUGUUUUCAUCACCCAAUAUUCCAAGUACUUGUGCCUUUUGGAAUACUCAUGAUGAAACUAUUGAUCAUCUUUUUUGAGAAUGAUCUUUUGCUUCACAGGUGUGGACUCUUUCAGGCUUACCCGUACCAAAUCCUCAAGACAAUCAACGAAUACUUUCUUGGUUUAAAACUCUGCGAGCUCAACCACACUCAGAUGCCCUUAGCUAACUACCGGUUUGUCACUCCAUUUGGUCUACUCGGAAUGCUGUCAUUUUUCAGAAUCAAGUUGGAAGUCUGGGUCAAACUGUGGCCAAAGCUAUACAUCUAAUUCAAGCUUAGCUAAUAGGAUAAGCAUCUUGGUCUACCGACAUUUAUCAGAUGACAUAUCCACCUCUUUCUUUCAACUCUAAAAUUGAAUUUUGACGGCUCUGUCUUGCCUUCCCAGCGUGCAGCUGCUGGCGUUGUAGUGUGUGAUACCUUUGGUAACCCUAUUAUAUAUAGCUUUUUUCAAGAAUCUUGGCGUUCUUAAUGUACUUUCUGUUGAAGCCCUUGGCUUACGUGAAGGCCUUCACCACCUUCUUUCUGGUACUUCUAAGUUUCUAAUUGAUGCCUUAAAACAUUGCACUGAAGUUCCUUGGUGGACUAAGUUUCUUGUCCAAGAUAUCAGAAACUCAAUUUCUCAGUUUGAUUCAAUCUCCUUUGUUCAUGUGUGGAGAGAAACCAACUUAUUGGCUGAUGCCUUAGCUAAUUUAAGCCGCUCGUUUCCUUCCUUUGCUUUAUGGUCGGAUCAGUUACCUAUCUCGGUGCAGGCUGCAUUUCACUUUGAUCAAGUCGGAGGCGGGUGUUUCAUUUUAGAUUUUUCUUUGUAUUUUUUUUUUCUUCGACAAAAAAAAAAAAGAAAACGAUUUUUUUAAUUUUUUUUUUUAACAGAACUAAAAAACGGUUGCACACGCGCGGCAUUCAAAUAUAACCAUAUCAGCAGUCAGCAGCUAAAUAAAUAACGAAAAAGUGACAAAACCCCAUUCAGCUGUCUUCUCCAAAAUCCCCAAAUUCUCAAAUCCCUAGAUUCCCGAAUCUACCAAUCCAAUUCCAAUUCCAAUUCCAAUCCCUCUCCGAAUCAAAUGAGACGAUCCGUGAUCUUCCUUCUCCUAUUCGCUCCCCUCAUCAGCUCUUUCGUCUCCGCCGAUGACACCUCCCUCGCCAAUCCCGACUCCGGCGGCGCCGCUCUUCAGCUCUUCAGCUCUCUCCUCCCGCCUGCACUG